UUUAGUCCUGUUUGGUCGUUCGCGGGCCUUCUACAUAUUUGUAUGUUUCCACUCUUUCGUGAUUUCAGCUCAUUUAGUGUUAAGUUUGCCUUCGAUUUGAUGUACUACUCGUGUCCGGUUCUGUAAUAGUUAAAGAGUUACGAUCCAUGUGCUUUGGUGUAAAUGGAUAACGAGGACACUCGAAGGCGGCAAUAAAGUGUAUGUGGUCGAUUUUCUUUAUUCCGGUAGUUCAUAUUCCUCGGGAAAAUUAUCAACAAAAUUCAAAUUCAAACACGUCUUUUUUUCUGAAAAAGAAACAUAUGGAUGUUCACAACACCACUACAAAAAUUCCAAUCAAAAUUGGACAUACACAUAAUCUCUAUCGCUACUCCUAUAAAAAUACGAGUUGGUGGUGAUGGUGUGCCUGCCAUCUACAAUUUUCGACCAUCGGAUACAGGAUCUGCCCUUGUGCUCUGUGUCCUGCUCCAUCGAUCCCCAACUCACCCAACCAGGAAACUAUAGAGGCAUUCGAUCCUUCUCGAAGAGGGGAGAACACAGUGGAACCAAACUGGCCAACUGCCGCUGUCGCUCACACGCCGCCGGCGCCGGCCGCUCCCAAUUCCUCUUCGGCAGCAGCCCCACCACUCAUGUCACCUCCCCCUCCUACCUGUUAUCUCUUCUUCCCCUACCCUGUCUCCUUCGAUGCCGAUGUCGGCAUGUACGCCGCCGGCGCCGUCUGUCCCCGAGGUCCACGAAACCUCUUAUGUCUCAUUCUUUGAUGCAGAAGCCCCUCCGCCCGCCAUCUCCCCCUACCGCAUCUCAUCGGCGCUGACAUCGGCAAGUACGUCACCGGCAUCGUCCGCCCCCUGAUUCAGCAAUGGCUCUCAUGCAGCAGCGCCAGCGCCCACAAGCUUCACCUCCUUCCCAUCGACGCGCUCCACGUCCGUCUAAUUCGAGUUUGAGCUGCUCCCCAGGACCUCUAUGCCGUUUGCAACAGGAGCACCACCCACGAGCUCCACAGUCCAGACCCGCAUCCUCCUCCUUCCGUCUUGGAGAUGGAGAUGGCAAAAUCUGGUGUGAUAAUUUACGUGAAGGUACUGUGCUCUGAUAGUCCCUCUCCUUCCCAGUCCCAAGUCAAAAAUUUCCGUCACCCAAAAGUUCAAAUCGACACGCCUAUCUCAUACUGUCUACAAACCACUCAUGUCAUUUACUCCCUCCGUAAACUAAUAUAAGAGUGUUUAGAAUACCAAAGUAGUGAUCUAAAUGCUUUUAUAUUAGUUUAAAGGAGUGAUCUAAAUGUUCUUAUAUUAGUUUACAGAGGGAGUAGUUGAAUAUGGGACUCACGCUGCUCAAACUACAUCCCCAAGAAGCCACGUAAUCUUUAGCUCGAACGGAGUGUGAGGAGGCAUGAGUCACUGUCAUUUUCCAUCUAAUCUACUUUUUCAAGGACCAUGGUUUGGGUGUGGAUGAAUAGUGGAAUCUUCUCUACUUCUCAUGAACCCCUUGCUUCAUCUCUGUUAUACAAUCCUUACUUGUGCAAUUUGAUAUGUGACUGUGGUAACAGAUGGAACAGCCUUAUAUUGUAUCCAUAAGCAGUAUCCAUUGUAACAAUGUUUGAUUUCAAUUAAUUAUCCAAAAUCUUCUUGUGGAGUGAAAUUUUGAGUAUUGAAAAUGUUGGUGUAUACCUCUCUGAACCGGUAUUUUCACAUGAGCAGCUCUAUGUUUCUCUUUCUAGAGCUACCAUUAGAAGUGUAAUAUAAAGCUUCUUACUGUCCCGAAUAAGCAAAAGGAAGACCACUCCAACUCCAUUACAAAAUUUACAAAGAAAUGGUCUACAAAAAAGUUCUCAUUGUGCAGUCCAAGGUAUGAAUCAAGUACUGUUUGGUGGCUGUAAAAAUACAAUAUAUCUAACUAGGGUCAGUCAUGUAAAAUUGCUUCCCAUGUAUGGCUUUGAGGGAAAUAACUUAGAUACUUACUUUAGUGUUUAUGAUAUUUUUAUAAAGAAAAUGUAUAUGUGUGUUUGAAUUAUUUUUUGGUAAUUCUCUUUCUUACUCCCUCUACUAAUUUUUUCUGGAUGACACCUAUAACAGAUCUCUUUGUCAUCGACGCCUCUCCUUUGUUUGGUAGCUCCACAUCCAAAUUUCAGGUCAGACCCCAAAUAUUUAUUUCCUUGUUGUGUGUGAUCGGCAUCUUUUUCUGGCAGAAACCUGGUUGAUGUAAGAAAGUUACAAGAGGUCCAGUACUGUACAAUUUUUAUGUGUGUGUAUGCACAUUCUGUUUCUUUGCUUGGUACAAAAUAUAUUGCAAGGGAUGUUCUUUUUUGCUUUGUUUAAAUAUACUACAUACCCUCUACAGACUCAGCUUAUUUUCCUUUUUCUGAAUAUAACACAGACGAUUUGUAUGCAAUAGUUGUUGGAAUUCAGUAAUGUUCAGGCUUGUUCCAGUGUUAGUUUUCUUCAGGCUUUCAGUGUUCCUUUUUCUGAAGAAAGUUACAAAGGAACUUGUAAAUUUUGGUUGUUAUUCGUUGAGAUUGUAUCCUCUGUUUUUAUUUGGCUAGCUGGACAGGUAUAUCUUCUGCGAUUGUUCUAAUGGGACGCCUCUCAACAUGAUCCUCUAUUCAUUUUUUUGUUAUGGCUUUGGUUGUUUGAAUCGCUUUGCUUUGACUCAAAUAUGUCCUAAUAUUUUAGCCAACGAAUUGAGCUUUUGAUAGCUUUGGAACUUGCUGGCCAAGAGAUAAGAUCUUCUUGUUAAGGAUAGGUCUAUAUAUAAAGCCAUGUAUGGUAGGUCCUCUGCAUCAAUCUCAUCUGGUGUUCCUCCACAUACAUCUGAACCUUGGCAUAGAGAGAGCUACGUUGGUGAGAACCUGCUGGUUCAUCUCCUCUUGAGUGCACAACAGGAGAUACGAGAUCAUUGUAUCUUGGACGAGAGCGCCGUUUAACUCGUGCACCACGGCGAGGGCGUGAAUCUCCUUGAAGAUAGCGCCUACCAGUGUGCCUUGAUCCAGUCGAGCUGCUGCACCAUGAUCUGCUGCGACCACAUCUUCAGCAACAUACGACAUCGCCGACGCCAACAAUAGUGGUUGUCUAAUGUCUUUUUAGGUGAGCAGAUAAAUGAAGAGAAAACCCCAUAACUAAUAUUGUUGGCAUAUAUAUAUUUGAGCAAGAAGGGUAUUACUAUUCUUGACAAAUGAUUAUAUGGCCUGAUCCUGGUAGAUGACUAAUGUAUAUAACUAAUUAAGUGGAACUAGCUGGGUGAGUUAUGUCCAGAAUAUUUCUUUUCUUCAUUGUAGUGUUGUAGGCAGAUUCAUUUUUCUUGCAUAUUUAGCAAAUCAUUCUGUUAAACACUUCUACUUCAUUCUUGUUUUCCCUGGAACCAUUCAUAAUUGUGUGUUCAAACUAUAGUAUGUAUGUUAUUUAGAUAUAUUAGUUUCUGCCGUUUAUCUGCACAACUAGCCGAGAUCAAGGUUUUCAUCCGGAUCUGCUCGAAGAACCUCCAUCAAAAACCGUGNNNNNNNNNNNNNNNNNNNNNNNNNNNNNNNNNNNNNNNNNNNNNNNNNNNNNNNNNNNNNNNNNNNNNNNNNNNNNNNNNNNNNNNNNNNNNNNNNNNNNNNNNNNNNNNNNNNNNNNNNNNNNNNNNNNNNNNNNNNNNNNNNNNNNNNNNNNNNNNNNNNNNNNNNNNNNNNNNNNNNNNNNNNNNNNNNNNNNNNNNNNNNNNNNNNNNNNNNNNNNNNNNNNNNNNNNNNNNNNNNNNNNNNNNNNNNNNNNNNNNNNNNNNNNNNNNNNNNNNNNNNNNNNNNNNNNNNNNNNNNNNNNNNNNNNNNNNNNNNNNNNNNNNNNNNNNNNNNNNNNNNNNNNNNNNNNNNNNNNNNNNNNNNNNNNNNNNNNNNNNNNNNNNNNNNNNNNNCGGCGUCGUCAGGCCCACCGCACUUGCCUGUAGUCGCGGCCCCAAACCACCAGCCCGCCCAAGCCCAUCUGGGCCACGCGAGACCCAAGCUCCCAGCCACCACAACAGGGGCGCCUCCGCCACGGGGAGGUUGUGCCUCCAAUGUCACCGUUGGCUCGCUCUCGUCGUCGGGAUCCCGCCGCUCCUCCCUGCCGAUUCUUCGCCGGUCCACGCGUCGCCGCCACCGGGGAGCUCGCCAUCGCCACGCGAUGGAGAAGGCCCCGCCGUUGCCGUCACCGCCCGGGCUUCGCCCGACAAGACCCCUGGCGUCGGCGGGAGGGAGGGGACGAGGGGUGGUAGGGCCGGAGGCAGGCGCCGUGGUCGCCCCCCUCCCCCCUGUGUCGCCUAGGGUUGUGCUUGAUGUGUAUCUGUCAGAAAUUUAACAUCACUUUGAUCAUGUAAAGGCAGUGUCUCGGUACAUUUUUAUUAUUCAUAAGAUCAUACAGGUUCCUAACUAUGUCUCGGUAUAUAUACUUCUUCAUUACCAUAGCAACAUACAGGUUCAUGAUCAUGUCUCGGUAUGUAUUUUUUUCUGUAGGGGUUCCUGACUAUAACUUAAGUCCAUCUAAUCUUGUGUGACCCGGUAGCGUAGCACGGGUAUCUUACUAGUAGAAAUAAAAGAAACAAGUCCAUCAAGAAUAGUAUCAAAUGAAGACGAACAAAAAAUGACUUCACAUUUGAAUUUGUCUUUUUUUUCUCCUUGUGUAUUUCGAAUUUCAAUCUAGUUUUUUAGGGGUUGUCGACAUGUGUUGUGAACCAGCUCAGCGCCCACGACCCGUAGAUGCGUGCGGCUGAGCCGCCAUCAUAGGCCUUGUCCGCCGUGGCGAACAUGCCCAGACACAUCUGGUCGCGCGGGGCGAGGUGCGCGCGGCUGCGCCGCCAUCACCACGACGUUCUGCUGCUGGCCUUCUCCUCGAGGCAAGGCCGUUGUUGGCCUUCUCUUCGAGCUUUUUGAGCUCGCGUUUGAUUUUUUUUAAGAAGAAAUGGUGAUGUAAUAAAGUAAAGAUAAGUAUUUUUCUCGGUUUGAGAACCAAGAUAUCAAUCCAAUAGAAAGACACGCAAGUCACGGUUACUUGCAAGAAUGAGAACUGAUUGUCAAUCCACAUCAUCUAUAGUGCAGGGCCGACUUGUUUACUGGAGCGUCAGAGGCGAACCGGUAUUACAUCUGGCAGGCACCCCUUAAAAACCAAAUCUGGCACCAAGCGAGGCAUAGUUCCUGGAAAAUCCUAUUUGAUGCUAACUGCGUCAAAAUGUCGAGCAUUCGCACAGGCGAUCCCCCGACAGUGAGAAUUGGGCCGACCCACUUCCCCACAGCAAGGCAGCCGGUUUUGCGAACCUUCCAAGUAAUCUGGAGGGAUUGACAGCCCCUCUAUCGUGUUGGGUGCAUGUAUUUAUUUGUUUAUGUAGGUGCAACCAUUAAUGACUUGUGUGUUCCUCCUACUAAAUUGAUACUUUGGUUUUUAAACUUAGGAAAAUACUUAUCUCUACUUUGCUGCAUCAUCCUUCCUCUUCAAGGAAAAACCAACGCAAACUCAAAAAGUAGCAGUCAUCGAGCCGCACAUGUGCUAAACUAGGAGGUGUCGUCCGUUCGGCACUAGAUCGGUUGAAUUGUAAUCGAACUGCGAAGAGUACGACUACAUCAACCGCGUUAUAUACGUUUCCCCUUUUGGUCUACGAGGGUACAUAGGCACACUCUUUUCUCUUGUUGCAAUGCUUCUCCUAGAUAGAUCUUGGGUGUCUGUAGGAUUUUUUUUAUUUUCAUGCUUCGUUCCCCAUCAAUCAGUCCGCGUAGAUAGGAGGAUCAGUCCGCGGACACGGAUGCGGGAGGCCACCAUCCAAAUCUAGUCGGAUACAUUUUAACAACAGUUCGAACAAACCAGUCCGAGGACACGGAUACGGGAGGCCGCCAUCCAAACAUGACAUAUUUCAUAUAAACUUGACUGAUUUCAUUCAUUUACAUCAAAACGGUGCUAGUCCAGCUCUUGAGGUAUAAUUAAUACUUAAUCUAAAUGGUCGUUGGUGCCCGUUUCCCAUGUCCGGCCAUGAGCCUCGAGAACUGAAGCUUCGCCUUAUCCAGUUUUACCUCGCCUCUCUCCAGCUCCACCUCCGGAGACCCGGAAAGUGAAGUCGUCCACCUCGACGUCGCCACCAAGCGACUAAUCGGCCGUCGAUGCUGAGCCCGCCAAGCUUGGCGUCGACGGGAGGUGAGGAGCGGUGGACCUACCGUUCACUACUCUUCAUCGCCGUCGGCGGCUCCUACGGAUGUGUUGGCAUCAUGGUUGAGGGAGUCUUGGAUUAAGGGGUCCUCGGACAGCCGGACUAUGUAACGUGGGCCGGACUGUUGGACCAUGAAGAUACAAGACAGAAAACUCUCUCCCGUGUCCAGAUGGGACUCUCCAUAGCGUGGAAGGCAAGCUUGGCACCCAGAUAUGAAGAUUCCUUUCUCUGUAACCAACUUUGUACAACCCUAGUCCCCUCCGGUGUCUAUAUAAACCGGAGGGCUUAGUCCGUAGAGGCAAUCAUAAUCAUCCAGGCUAUACUUCUAGGGUUUUAGCCAUUACGAUCUCGUGGUAGAUCAACUCUUGUAAUACUCAUAUUCAUCAAGAUCAAUCAAGCAGGAAGUAGGGUAUUACCUCCAUAGAGAGGGCCCGAACCUGGGUAAACAUCGUGUCCCCCGCCUCCUGUUACCACCAACCUUAGACGCACAGUUCAGGACCCCCUACCCGAGAUCCGCCGGUUUUGACACCGACAUUGGUGCUUUCAUUGAGAGUUCCGCUGCGUCGUCACCAAAAGGUUUGAUGGCUCCAUCAAUCAUCUACAAUAAUGCAGUCUAGUGGGAGGUUUUCCUUCCUGGACAGAUCUUCGUAUUCGGCGGCUUCGCACUGCGGGCCAACUCGCUUGGCCAUCUAGAAAAGAUCGACAGCUAUGCCCUGGCCAUCAGGUCAGGUUUGGAAGCUUGAAUUAUGUUGCCUAUAUCCGCGGAGACUUGAUCUUCGAUGGAUUCGAGCCCAUGACAGCCGCUCCCUGCCGCCACGAUGAACAUGACCUAAAUCUGUCAUCGGACCGUGCCCAGGUGAUAGCGCCUGUAACUGCUCUGGCCCUGGAUCCAGAGUAGAUUGCGCCGUCCGAGGAUGGGAAGCUCAACCCCGCCGCGGAAGCCGCAGACUCAGCGGCGUUAGAGUCGCACACGGAUCCAACCUCGAGCGGAGCCUGUGUCACCGAAACCUCGGAUUCGUCUCCGACCAUAGGUUCCGAACCGUGUGCAUCCGCGCCCAUCGAACCUGAUCCGUCGCCGGUCGUUGAAUUCAGUUCCGCGGACAUCUUCCGGCACUCACCUUUAGUCGAUGUGCUAAACUCAUUAAAAACCUCUCCUUAUCAGGGGACUCUCAUGUGACGCCCGGAUAAUUAAACUACAGUAAUCCCUUGUUAAUGGUGCCAUGUCAUCACAUUUACUGUUGCUAAAUCCCACGUUGUUUCAAACCGGUUCAAAUUUCUUUUUCAAAUUAAAGUCAAAAUUCAAAAUUCUCGAACAGUAAAACUAAAAUGUUCACCUUUUAGCAAAUAAUCCAAAACUAUUUACUGUUAAGGAACACAACGUCAUCAUCAUUUCUAAAUGGGCCUAAUGCAUUUUAACAGAGCAAAAACAACUUUUAAAAUGCCCUUUUCAUUAUUGAAUAAAUUCAAAUGAACUCCAAAAACACCCAAACUUUUUGUGGCAGUGCUGGAUAUUGCAAAGUACUUAUGUGACCAAGUUUCACAUUUUUGCAAAAUCAUAUGGAAGCUCAAAAUAUUGCUAAACCCCCCCUUUCUGUGAAAAGAAAAUAGAAAAGGACACUGUGCACUGGCCUAAGUGCACAAUGCCUAGAGCCCAGCCCACCAUGGCCUCCUCCUUCUUCCUCGUUCUCUGCUCAAGCAACCGAGGCGCGCCCGCCGUCGCCAUCGAACCCACCUCGCCAACCACGCCGCUACAGGUGCCACGGGUGGAUAAAGAUCCACCUCUCCUCCUUCCUGGCAUCCUCAUCCAUUCGCCCCCUUAUCCUCUCACUCUCCCCUCUCUAACUCUCCAUCUCUGUCGAUCUGGAGAAGAGGCCGGCGUGGCCGAUGCCGUUCAUACCCGCGGCCCACGCGCCUCUUCGGUUCUGCCGAUCUGUCCGGGAGCUCCGGCGCCUUCAACCUUUUCGUCCGUUGCCGAUGGAUCAAGUCAGGGAGCAGCGCAGCGACUCCGACAACCCAAUCCCCUUCUCCGGCCAGCGCCACGGCAUCGCCUCGAGCUCCUCCGCCGCUGCUCUUCUAAGCCCUCACCGAACCACCUUGUGUCCCCACGGUGAGCUCCACAUCCUCCCACCCCUCUGUCUUGCUCGGAUUUGAGCCGUGGGUAGCUGUUGCCAUGGUCGUGCCUCUGCUUCCGCCGGCAUGCUCGUAGCUGUGCCGUUGCUGCCCUCGAGCUCAAACGAGCUCAGGAUCGUGCUCAGCACAUCCGUGCGGGCCCGUUGCACCCCUCCCCCACGCUUUGUCGAGCCCCAUAGCGCUGACCCCAUGCUCCGAUCGGAUGCGCCUCUGAUACGUCUCCAACGUAUCUAUAAUUUAUGAAGCAUUCAUGCUAUUUUAUUAUCUGUUUUGAAUGAUUAUGGGCUUUAUUAUACACUUUUAUAUUACUUUUGGGACUAAUUAGCUAUUAACCGGAGGCCCAGCCCAUAUUGCUGUUUUAUUGCCUGUUUCAGUAUUUCGAAGAAAAGGAAUAUCAAACGGAGUCCAAACGGAAUGAAACCUUCGGCAGCGUGAAUUUUUGGAAGAAUAUCACCCAGGAGACUUGGAGUUCAUGUCAGAAGAGCCUCGAGGAGGCCAGGAGAUAGGAGCCCCCCCCUACUGGGCGCGCCCCCUGUCUCGUGGGCCCCUCGAGCACCUCCUGACCGACUUCUUUCGCCUAUAUAAGCCUACGUACCCUAAAAACAUGGAAUAUGAAGAUAGAUCGGGAGUUCCGCCGCCGAAAGCUUCUGUAGCCACCAAAAACCUCUCAGGAGCCCUUCCCGGCACCUUGCCGGAGGGGGGAUCCUUCACCGGUGGCCAUCUUCAUCAUCCUGGCACUAUCCAUGACGAGGAGGGAGUAGUUCACCCUCGAGGCUGAGGGUAUGUACCAGUAGCUAUUUGUUUGAUCUCUCUCUCUCUCUCUCGUGUUCUCUCUCAUGUUCCCUCUAUGGCACGAUCUUGAUGUAUCCCGAGCUUUGCUAUUAUAGUUGGAUCUUAUGAUGUAUCCCUAAAAUUGUGCUCAAGUGCUAGAAGAAGAAUUACAUAGAAUGCUUGGCGUGAAAUAUGUGAAUGAUGAGCAUGAUUUUAAUGUUGUUAGUAUGAAUUCCUUGAAUAUCCAUGAUGCUAAUGAUAUGCAAAGCCACAAGCUUGGGGAAGCUAUGUUUGAUGAGGAUGAUAUUUUUUGUCCCCAAGUUUUGAUGAGCAAAUUUAUUUUGAUGAUAGCAUGACUCCUAUUUAUGAUGAUUAUAUUGAUGAGAGUGGGUUUGGAAGAGUGUCAACUUUAGGUAGUAUUGAUCCCACUAUUUUGGAGGAUGUUGAAUCUUAUUGUGAUGAAUAUGAAAGUGGAUUUGGAAGAGUGUCAACUUUAUUUAGUGAUGAUUCCACUAUUUUGGAAGAGGUUCCAAUUGAUUAUGAGAACAAAGUUGCUAUCUAUGAUGAUUAUUGUGAUGACUUGUAUGCUAUUAAGAAUAAUGAUAACCAUGAAACUUAUCAUCAUGAUUUCAGUUUUCAAUUGGAUUAUGCCUCGCAUGAUGAUUAUUUUUUUGAGUUUGCUCCCACUACUAUUCAUGAGAAUAAAUUUGCUUAUGUGGAGAGUAGUAAAAUUUCUAUGCUUGUAGAUCAUGAAAAGAAUGCUUUAGGUGCUGGUUAUAUUGUUGAAUUCAUUCAUGAUGCUACUGAAAAUUAUUAUGAGGGAGGAACAUAUGCUUGUAGGAAUUGCAAUAAUAUCAAGUUUCCUCCCUAUGUGUUGAAAAUUUUGAAGCUAUGCUUGUUUUACUUUCCUAUGCUAGUUGAUUAUUGUUCCCAUAAGUUGUUUGCUCACAAAAUCCCUAUGCAUAGGAAGUGGGUUAGGCUUAAAUGUGCUAGUCAGAUGCUUCACGAUGCUCUCUUUAUAUUCCAAUUCUUAUCGUUUAUGUGAGCAUCAUUGUCAUCAUCAUGCCUAGCUAGAAAGGCAUUAAAGAAAAGCGCUUGUUGGGAGACAACCCAAUAUUUAUCCUUACUGUUUUUGUGUGUCCACAUGAUUAUGCUACUGUAGUAAUCAUGUUUUAUAGUUUUUUGUUUCAAUAAUGUGCCAAGUAGAACCUUUGGGAAGACUUGGGUGAAGUCUUUAUGAUCAUGCUGUAGAAAACAGAAACUUUUGCGCUCACGAGAAUAGCUGCCAUUUUUUUACAGAAGAGUGCUUUUAGGUUGAUUCUUUUUGCAGAUGAUUAAUAGACAAAUUACUCAUGUUCAGAAAUUUAAUUCAUAAUUGUUGGGGUUCCAGAAGUAUAUGUUUGAUACAGAUUACUACAGACUGUUCUGUUUUUGACAGAUUCUGUUUUCAUUGUGUUGUUUGCUUAUUUUGAUGAAUCUAUGGCUAGUAUGUAAGGGUAUGAACCAUAGAGAAGUUAGAAUACAGUAGGUCUUACACCAGUAUGAAUUUAGAAUGAGUUCAUUACAGUACCUAAGUGGUGAUUUAUUUUCUUAUACUAAUGGAGCUUACGAGUUUUGUUUUGAGUUUUAUGUGGUUGAAGUUUUCAAGUUUUGGGUAAAGAUUCGAUGGACUAUGGAAUAAGGAGUGGUAAGAGCCUAAGCUUGGGGAUGCCCAAGGCACCCCAAGAUAUUCAAGGAUAACCAAAAGCCUAAGAUUAGGGAUGCCCCGGAAGGCAUCCCCUCUUUCGUCUUCGUUCAUCGGUGACUUUACUUGGAGCUAUAUUUUUAUUCGCCACAUGAUAUGUGUUUUGCUUGGAGCGUCAUUUUAUUUUGUUAGUAUUUUCUUGCUGUUAUUUAUAUUAAGGUUUUGCAUCUCUAUUGUAAAUAAAAAUGUCAAGGAUAGCCUUUGCCAUGCUUAUUUUGCUAGUAUACAUGUUGCUGUUUGAAAACAGUAAGUUUACCGCUGUUGCAAAAAUUCCCUAGAAAAGUCAGAGAAUGGUAUAAUGUUAAAUCUUUUUGCAUAUUAAGUUCUGAUAAAUUUAUUACAGUGGGAAUUUUCUCUCAUAAUUUGUGGAGUCAGGGAAGUAUUGAUACUCUUGCAUUCUUUACAGACUAUACUGUUUUGGCAGAUUGCUGUUAUGGUUGCAUUGUUUGCAUAUGUUUGCUUGUUUAAAGAUUCUAUUUGAGGAUAGGAGUGUUAAAUAUGCAGAGACAUUUGGUAUGCAAUGUUGAAUAAUAUUUUUAGUGAUUUGUUACAGUAGAAAAUGAUAAGGUUUUGCAUUGGUUUAUACUAACCUAUCUCACGAGUUCUUGUUGAGUUUGGUGUGGAUGAAGCUUUUGAGAAAUAGAGAAACCAUGAUAUGAGAGGAAUUAAGGAGAGACAAAAGUUCAAGCUUGGGGAUGCCCAAGGCACCCCAAGAUAAUAUUUCAAGAAGUCUCAAGCAUCUAAGCUUGGGGAUGCCCCGGUAGGCAUCCCACCUUUCUUCUUCGAUAAUCAUUGUUUAGUAUCGGUUGAGCCUAAGUUUUUGCUUAUUCACAUGAGUUGUUCUAUACUUGCAAUGUCAUUUUGUUUCGCUUUGCUUGCUGUAUGAAUAAAAUACCAAGAUAUGAAAUUCUUAAAUGAGAGAGAGUCUUCACAUUAUUUAGCUACUCAUUGGUCUUCACUUAUAUCUUGUUGGAGUAGUUUGUCAUUUACUCGUGUGCUUCACUUAUAUCCUAUGAGUAAAUGGUUUAAUGAGUUGAUUGUCAUAAAUCUGAAAUUAUAUAUGUUUCAUUUGCUUAUCCCAUGGGGAGUAAUGACUUCACAUCUAAGAAGUAGAAAUAGUAAGUUUAUUGAAGGUUAGCUAGCAUUGUAUUGGUCAUUUGAACAAUUCAUGAAAGAACAUUGAAGGAAGAGAGAUUUCACAUAUAAAUAUAUUAUCAUAGACAUCUUUUAUAAUUGUGAGCACUCAUUAAGUAUGACAUGCUAAAGAGUUGAUGUUGGACAAGGAAGACAACAUAAUGGGUUAUGUUUUCUCACAUCUCAGUUAAAGUAUAUUGUCAUGGAUCAUUCAAACAUGUUGAGCUUGCCUUUCCCCCUCAUGCUAGCCAAAAAUUCCUAGCACCAAGUAGAGAUACUACUUGUGCUUCCAAAUAUCCUUAAACCCAGUUUUGCCAUGAGAGUCGACCAUAUCUACCUAUGGAUUGAGUAAGAUCCUUCAAGUAAGUUGUCAUUGGUGCAAGCAAUAAAAAUUGCUCUUUAAAUAUGCAUGACUUAUUAAUGUGGAGAAAAUAAGCUUUGUACGAUCUUGUUAUGGAAGCAAUAAAAGCGACGGACUACAUAAUAAAGGUCCAUAUACAAGGGGCAAUAUACAGUGACAUUCUUUCGCAUUAAGAUUUUGUGUAUCCAACCCUAAAAGCGCAUGACAACCUCUGCUUCCCUCUGCGAAGGGCCUAUCUUUUACUUUAUGUCUUUUACUUUAUGAAAGAGUCAAGGUGAUCUUCACCUUUCCCUUUUUCAUUUUAUCCUUUGGCAAGCACUUUGUGUUAGGGUGAUCCUGAUAUAUAUCCAAUUGGAUGUACGUUAGCAUGAACUAUUAUUGUUGACAUCACCCAAAGGUGAAUACGUUUGGAGGCAAAAUUAUAAGCCCCUAUCUUUCUGUGUGUGUGAUUAAAACUUCAUAACCACAAGUAUUGCGUGAGUGUUAGCAAUUGUAGAAGACUAUAUGAUAGUUGAGUAUGUGAAGUUUGCUAAAUCAAAGCUCUGACAUAGACCCUUCCUGAAAAUAGGAUGAAUUGCAAUUGUUUGAUGACUAAUAAUGAAGUUUGCUAGUUUUCAAGAAAGUUUAUGGUCUAUGCUUUAACAUGUGAAUAGCUUGUUACUUGAUUAUGAUAAGUUUUAUGAGAUGAACUACUGUUAUGACAUAUAAUGAUGCUAGUAAAGGUGAUUGAAAUUAUCAUUGAUCAAACUUGUGCACCUCUAGCAUUGACACUUCAUAAAUUCUUUCUUUUAUCAUUUACCUACUCGAGGACAAGCAUGAAUUAACCUUGGGGAUGCUGAUACGUCUCCAACGUAUCUAUAAUUUAUGAAGCAUUCAUGCUAUUUUAUUAUCUGUUUUGAAUGAUUAUGGGCUUUAUUAUACACUUUUAUAUUACUUUUGGGACUAACCUAUUAACCGGAGGCCCAACCCAUAUUGUUGUUUUAUUGCCUGUUUUAGUAUUUCAAAGAAAAGGAAUAUCAAAUGGAGUCCAAACGGAAUGAAACCUUUGGCACCGUGAUUUUUUGGAAGAAUAUCACCCAGGAGACUUGGAGUUCACGUCAAAAGAGCCUCGAGGAGGCCAGGAGAUAGGAGCCCCCCCCCCUACUGGGCGCGCCCCCUAUCUCAUGGGCCCCUCGAGCACCUCCCGACCGGCUUCUUUUGCCUAUAUAAGCCUAUGUACCCUAAAAACAUCAAACAUGGAGAUAGAUCGGGAGUUCCGCCGCCGCAAGCCUCUGUAUCCACCAAAAACCUCUCGGGAGCCCUUCCCGGCACCUUGCCGGAGGGGGGAUCCUUCACCGGUGGCCAUCUUCAUCAUCCGGACGCUAUCCAUGACAAGGAGGGAGUAGUUCACCUCGAGGCUGAGGGUAUGUACCAGUAGCUAUGUGUCUGAUCUCUCUCUCUCUCUCUCUCUCUCUCGUGUUUUCUCUCAUGUUCCCUCUAUGGCACGAUAUUGAUGUAUCCCGAGCUUUGCUAUUAUAGUUGGAUCUUAUGAUGUUUCUCCCCCUAUACUCUCUUGUGAUGAAUUGAGUUUUUCCUUUGAAGUUAUCUUAUCGGAUUGAGUCUUUUAUGAGAACACUUGAUGUAUGUCUUGCCGUGCUUAUCUGUGGUGACAAUGGGAUAUCAUGUGCCACUUGUUGUAUGUUUUGGUGACCAACUUGCGGGUUCCACCCAUGAACCUAUGCAUAGGGGUUGGCACACGUUCUUGACUCUCCGGUAGAAACUUUGGGGUAGUCUUUGAAGUACUUUGUGUUGGUUGAAUAGAUGAAUCUGAGAUUGUGUGAUGCAUAUCAUAUAUAUAAUCAUGCCCAUGGAUACUUGAGGUGACAAUGGAGUAUUUAGGGGACAUUAGGGUUUUGGUUGAUUUGUGUCUUAAGGUGUUAUUCUAGUAUGAACUCUAUGAUGGAUUGAGCGGAAAGAAUAGCUUCAUGUUAUUUUACUACGAACUCUUGAAUAGAUAGAACGGAAAGGAUAACUUUGAGGUGGUUUCGUACCCUACCAUAAUCUCUUCGUUCAUUCUCCACUAUUAGUGGCUUUGGAGUGACUCUUUGUUGCAUGUUGAGGGAUUGUUAUAUGAUCUAUCUAUGUUAUUAUUGUUGAGAGAACUUGCACUAGUGAAAGUAUGAACCCUAGGCCUUGUUUCCUAUCAUUGCAAUAUCGUUUACGCUUACUUUUACCACUUGCUACCUUGCUGUUUUUAUAAUUUCAGAUUACAAAUACCUUUAUAUACCAUCCAUAUUGCACUUGUAUCACCAUCUCUUCGCCGAACUAGUGAACCUAUACAACUUACCAUUGUAUUGGGUGUGUUGGGAACACAAGAGACUCUUUGUUAUUUGGUUGCAGGGUUGCUUGAGAGAGACCAUCUUCAUCCUACGCCUCCUACGGAUUGAUAAACCUUAGGUCAUCCACUUGAGGGAAAUUUGCUGCUGUCCUACAAACCUGUGCACUUGCAGGCCCAACAACGUCUACAAGAAGAAGGUUGUGUAGUAGACAUCAAGCUCUUUUCUGGCGCCGUUGCCGGGGAGGCUAGGUAAACGACACUCACACCCCGUCAACUAAGCUCUUUUUUGGUGCGGUGAGUGCUUGAAGGUAUAUCUUUAGAUCUUGCAAUCGAAUCUUUUACUUUCUUGUUUUAUCACUAGUUUAGUUUAUAAAAGAAAACUACAAAAAAUGGAAUUGAGUUUGUCUCAUAUGCUUCAUCUUUUUAAUGUCUUUCGUGAGAAUGAUGGAGAUGAAAAUUGUGCUCAAGUGCUAGAAGAAGAAUUACAUAGAAUGCUUGGCAUGAAAUAUGUGAAUGAUGAGCAUGAUUUUAAUGUUGUUAGUAUGAAUUCCUUGAAUAUCCAUGAUGCUAAUGAUAUGCAAAGCCACAAGCUUGGGGAAGCUAUGUUUGAUGAGGAUGAUAUUUUUUGUCCCCAAGUUUUGAUGAGCAAAUUUAUUUUGAUGAUAGCAUGACUCCUAUUUAUGAUGAUUAUAUUGAUGAGAGUGGGUUUGGAAGAGUGUCAACUUUAGGUAGUAUUGAUCCCACUAUUUUGGAGGAUGUUGAAUCUUAUUGUGAUGAAUAUGAAAGUGGAUUUGGAAGAGUGUCAACUUUAUUUAGUGAUGAUUCCACUAUUUUGGAAGAGGUUCCAAUUGAUUAUGAGAACAAAGUUGCUAUCUAUGAUGAUUAUUGUGAUGACUUGUAUGCUAUUAAGAAUAAUGAUAACCAUGAAACUUAUCAUCAUGAUUUCAGUUUUCAAUUGGAUUAUGCCUCGCAUGAUGAUUAUUUUUUUGAGUUUGCUCCCACUACUAUUCAUGAGAAUAAAUUUGCUUAUGUGGAGAGUAGUAAAAUUUCUAUGCUUGUAGAUCAUGAAAAGAAUGCUUUAGGUGCUGGUUAUAUUGUUGAAUUCAUUCAUGAUGCUACUGAAAAUUAUUAUGAGGGAGGAACAUAUGCUUGUAGGAAUUGCAAUAAUAUCAAGUUUCCUCCCUAUGUGUUGAAAAUUUUGAAGCUAUGCUUGUUUUACUUUCCUAUGCUAGUUGAUUAUUGUUCCCAUAAGUUGUUUGCUCACAAAAUCCCUAUGCAUAGGAAGUGGGUUAGGCUUAAAUGUUCUAGUCAGAUGCUUCACGAUGCUCUCUUUAUAUUCCAAUUCUUAUCGUUUAUGUGAGCAUCAUUGUCAUCAUCAUGCCUAGCUAGAAAGGCAUUAAAGAAAAGCGCUUGUUGGGGGACAACCCAAUAUUUAUCCUUACUGUUUUUGUGUGUCCACAUGAUUAUGCUACUGUAGUAAUCAUGUUUUAUAGUUUUUUGUUUCAAUAAAGUGCCAAGUAGAACCUUUGGGAAGACUUGGGUGAAGUCUUUAUGAUCAUGCUGAAGAAAACAGAAACUUUUGCGCUCACGAGAAUAGCUGCCAUUUUUUUUACAGAAGAGUGCUUUUAGGUUGAUUCUUUUUGCAGAUGAUUAAUAGACAAAUUACUCAUGUUCAGAAAUUUAAUUCAUAAUUGUUGGGGUUCCAGAAGUAUAUGUUUGAUACAGAUUACUACAGACUGUUCUGUUUUUGACAGAUUCUGUUUUCAUUGUGUUGUUUGCUUAUUUUGAUGAAUCUAUGGCUAGUAUGUAAGGGUAUGAACCAUAGAGAAGUUAGAAUACAGUAGGUCUUACACCAGUAUGAAUUUAGAAUGAGUUCAUUACAGUACCUAAGUGGUGAUUUAUUUUCUUAUACUAAUGGAGCUUACGAGUUUUGUUUUGAGUUUUGUGUGGUUGAAGUUUUCAAGUUUUGGGUAAAGAUUCGAUGGACUAUGGAAUAAGGAGUGGUAAGAGCCUAAGCUUGGGGAUGCCCAAGGCACCCCAAGAUAUUCAAGGAUAACCAAAAGCCUAAGAUUAGGGAUGCCCCGGAAGGCAUCCCCUCUUUCGUCUUCGUUCAUCGGUGACUUUACUUGGAGCUAUAUUUUUAUUCGCCACAUGAUAUGUGUUUUGCUUGGAGCGUCAUUUUAUUUUGUUAGUAUUUUCUUGCUGUUAUUUAUAUUAAGGUUUUGCAUCUCUAUUGUAAAUAAAAAUGUCAAGGAUAGCCUUUGCCAUGCUUAUUUUGCUAGUAUACAUGUUGCUGUUUGAAAACAGUAAGUUUACCGCUGUUGCAAAAAUUCCCUAGAAAAGUCAGAGAAUGGUAUAAUGUUAAAUCUUUUUGCAUAUUAAGUUCUGAUAAAUUUAUUACAGUGGGAAUUUUCUCUCAUAAUUUGUGGAGUCAGGGAAGUAUUGAUACUCUUGCAUUCUUUACAGACUGUACUGUUUUGGCAGAUUGCUGUUAUGGUUGCAUUGUUUGCAUAUGUUUGCUUGUUUAAAGAUUCUAUUUGAGGAUAGGAGUGUUAAAUAUGCAGAGAAAUUUGGUAUGCAAUGUUGAAUAAUAUUUUUAGUGAUUUGUUACAGUAGAAAAUGAUAAGGUUUUGCAUUGGUUUAUACUAACCUAUCUCACGAGUUCUUGUUGAGUUUGGUGUGGAUGAAGCUUCUGAGAAAUAGAGAAACCAUGAUAUGAGAGGAAUUAAGGAGAGACAAAAGUUCAAGCUUGGGGAUGCCCAAGGCACCCCAAGAUAAUAUUUCAAGAAGUCUCAAGCAUCUAAGCUUGGGGAUGCCCCGGUAGGCAUCCCACCUUUCUUCUUCGAUAAUCAUUGCUUAGUAUCGGUUGAGCCUAAGUUUUUGCUUAUUCACAUGAGUUGUUCUAUACUUGCAAUGUCAUUUUGUUUCGCUUUGCUUGCUGUAUGAAUAAAAUACCAAGAUAUGAAAUUCUUAAAUGAGAGAGAGUCUUCACAUAGUUACAUAAUUAUUUAGCUACUCAUUGGUCUUCACUUAUAUCUUGUUGGAGUAGUUUGUCAUUUACUCGUGUGCUUCACUUAUAUCCUAUGAGUAAAUGGUUUAAUGAGUUGAUUGUCAUAAAUCUAAAAUUAUAUAUGUUUCAUUUUCUUAUCCCAUGGGGAGUAAUGACUUCACAUCUAAGAAGUAGAAAUAGUAAGUUUAUUGAAGGUUAGCUAGCAUUGUAUUGGUCAUUUGAACAAUUCAUGAAAGAAUAUUGAAGGAAGAGAGAUUUCACAUAUAAAUAUAUUAUCAUAGACAUCUUUUAUAAUUGUGAGCACUCAUUAAGUAUGACAUGCUAAAGAGUUGAUGUUGGACAAGGAAGACAACAUAAUGGGUUAUGUUUUCUCACAUCUCAGUUAAAGUAUAUUGUCAUGGAUCAUUCAAAACAUGUUGAGCUUGCCUUUCCCCCUCAUGCUAGCCAAAAAUUCCUAGCACCAAGUAGAGAUACUACUUGUUCUUCCAAAUAUCCUUAAACCCAGUUUUGCCAUGAGAGUCGACCAUAUCUACCUAUGGAUUGAGUAAGAUCCUUCAAGUAAGUUGUCAUUGGUGCAAGCAAUAAAAAUUGCUCUUUAAAUAUGCACGACUUAUUAAUGUGGAGAAAAUAAGCUUUGUACGAUCUUGUUAUGGAAGCAAUAAAAGCGACGGACUACAUAAUAAAGGUCCAUAUACAAGGGGCAAUAUACAGUGACAUUCUUUCGCAUUAAGAUUUUGUGUAUCCAAUCCUAAAAGCGCAUGACAACCUCUGCUUCCCUCUGCGAAGGGCCUAUCUUUUACUUUAUGUCUUUUACUUUAUGAAAGAGUCAAGGUGAUCUUCACCUUUCCCUUUUUCAUUUUAUCCUUUGGCAAGCACUUUGUGUUAGGGUGAUCCUGAUAUAUAUCCAAUUGGAUGUACGUUAGCAUGAACUAUUAUUGUUGACAUCACCCAAAGGUGAAUACGUUUGGAGGCAAAAUUAUAAGCCCCUAUCUUUCUGUGUGUGUGAUUAAAACUUCAUAACCACAAGUAUUGCGUGAGUGUUAGCAAUUGUAGAAGACUAUAUGAUAGUUGAGUAUGUGAAGUUUGCUAAAUCAAAGCUCUGACAUAGACCCUUCCUGAAAAUAGGAUGAAUUGCAAUUGUUUGAUGACUAAUAAUGAAGUUUGCUAGUUUUCAAGAAAGUUUAUGGUCUAUGCUUUAACAUGUGAAUAGCUUGUUACUUGAUUAUGAUAAGUUUUAUGAGAUGAACUACUGUUAUGACAUAUAAUGAUGCUAGUAAAGGUGAUUGAAAUUAUCAUUGAUCAAACUUGUGCACCUCUAGCAUUCACACUUCAUAAAUUCUUUCUUUUAUCAUUUACCUACUCGAGGACAAGCAGGAAUUAACCUUGGGGAUGCUGAUACGUCUCCAACGUAUCUAUAAUUUAUGAAGCAUUCAUGCUAUUUUAUUAUCUGUUUUGAAUGAUUAUGGGCUUUAUUAUACACUUUUAUAUUACUUUUGGGACUAACCUAUUAACCGGAGGCCCAACCCAUAUUGCUGUUUUAUUGCCUGUUUUAGUAUUUCAAAGAAAAGGAAUAUCAAACGGAGUCCAAACGGAAUGAAACCUUUGGCAACAUGAUUUUUUGAAAGAAUAUCACCCAGGAGACUUGGAGUUCACGUCAAAAGAGCCUCGAGGAGGCCAGGAGAUAGGAGCCCCCCCCCUACUGGGCGCGCCCCCUGUCUCAUGGGCCCCUCGAGCACCUCCCGACCGACUUCUUUCGCCUAUAUAAGCCUAUGUACCCUAAAAACAUCAAACAUGGAGAUAGAUCGGGAGUUCCGCCGCCGCAAGCCUCUGUAUCCACCAAAAACCUCUCGGGAGCCCUUCCCGGCACCUUGCCGGAGGGGGGAUCCUUCACCGGUGGCCAUCUUCAUCAUCCGGACGCUAUCCAUGACAAGGAGGGAGUAGUUCACCUCGAGGCUGAGGGUAUGUACCAGUAGCUAUGUGUCUGAUCUCGCUCUCUCUCUCUCUCUCUCUCUCUCUCGUGUUUUCUCUCGUGUUCCCUCUAUGGCACGAUAUUGAUGUAUCCCGAGCUUUGCUAUUAUAGUUGGAUCUUAUGAUGUUUCUCCCCCUAUACUCUCUUGUGAUGAAUUGAGUUUUUCCUUUGAAGUUAUCUUAUCGGAUUGAGUCUUUUAUGAGAACACUUGAUGUAUGUCUUGCCGUGCUUAUCUGUGGUGACAAUGGGAUAUCAUGUGCCACUUGAUGUAUGUUUUGGUGACCAACUUGCGGGUUCCACCCAUGAACCUAUGCAUAGGGGUUGGCACACGUUCUUGACUCUCUGGUAGAAACUUUGGGGGUACUCUUUGAAGUACUUUGUGUUGGUUGAAUAGAUGAAUCUGAGAUUGUGUGAUGCAUAUCAUAUAUAUAAUCAUGCCCACGGAUACUUGAGGUGACAAUGGAGUAUUUAGGUGACAUUAGGGUUUUGGUUGAUUUGUGUCUUAAGGUGUUAUUCUAGUAUGAACUCUAUGAUGGAUUGAGCGGAAAGAAUAGCUUCAUGUUAUUUUACUACGAACUCUUGAUAGAUAGAACGGAAAGGAUAACUUUGAGGUGGUUUCGUACCCUACCAUAAUCUCUUCAUUCGUUCUCCACUAUUAGUGGCUUUGGAGUGACUCUUUGUUGCAUGUUGAGGGAUUGUUAUAUGAUCUAUCUAUGUUAUUAUUGUUGAGAGAACUUGCACUAGUGAAAGUAUGAACCCUAGGCCUUGUUUCCUAUCAUUGCAAUAUCGUUUACGCUUACUUUUACCACUUGUUACCUUGCUGUUUUUAUAAUUUCAGAUUACAAAUACCUUUAUCUACCAUCCAUAUUGCACUUGUAUCACCAUCUCUUCGCCGAACUAGUGCACCUAUACAACUUACCAUUGUAUUGGGUGUGUUGGGAACACAAGAGACUCUUUGUUAUUUGGUUGCAGGGUUGCUUGAGAGAGACCAUCUUCAUCCUACGCCUCCUACAGAUUGAUAAACCUUAGGUCAUCCACUUGAGGGAAAUUUGCUACUGUCCUACAAUCCUGUGCACUUGCAGGCCCAACAACGUCUACAAGAAGAAGGUUGUGUAGUAGACAUCAGCCUCCGUGUAGCUCGUCGCCAGCGUUGUUCUGGCAACCUGUUGGUCAUUUGCUCGCUGUCGGUGUCAAAACCGGCGGAUCUCGGGUGGGGGGUCCCGAACUGUGCGUCUAGGCGGAUGGUAACAGGAGACAAGAGACACAAUGUUUUAACCAGGUUCGGGCCCUCUUGAUGGAGGUAAAACCCUACGUCCUGCUUGAUUGAUAUUGAUGAUGUGGGUAUUACAAGAGUAGAUCUACCACGAGAUCAAGGAGGCUAAACCCUAGAAGCUAGCCUAUGGUAUGAUUGUUGUUCGUCCUACGGACUAAAACCAUCCGGUUUAUAUAGACACCGGAGAUGGCUAGGGUUACACAGAGUCGGUUACAAUGGUAGGAGAUCUAUAUAUCCAUAUCGCCAAGCUUGCCUUCCACGCGAAGGAAAGUCCCAUCCGGACACGGGACGAAGUCUUCAAUCUUGUAUCUUCAUAGUCUUGGAGUCCGGCCGAUGAUGAUAGUUUGGCUAUCCGGACACCCCCUAGUCCAGGACUGCCUCAGUAGCCCCUGAACCAGGCUUCAAUGACGACGAGUCCGGCACGCAUAUUGUCUUCGGCAUUGCAAGGCGGGUUCCUCCUCCGAAUAAUUUAUAGAAGAUUGUGAACACCAGGAUAGUGUCUGGCUCUGCAAAAUAAAUUCCACACACCACCGUAGAGAGAAUAAUAUUUACACAAGUUCAAUCUGCUGACGUAUUUUGCGUUGUGACGUCACACCACAACCAAGCCUUUACUCGAAUCGUUUUUAUUACACCACCUCCGCGCGUUUAGUGAAGCGGUUUCCUUGGCACGUCUUGUCAAAGCAGAGAUCAUGUUCCCCUUAUUCCAGGAUUCUCAUUAAUACGGACGUGGGUAACCCAACCGCGCCCGUUGCCACGCCCCCUCCAUCAAAGGCGGGUUCCAAACGGUCAUGGGGACGACUCUUGGUAUUCUCCCUCUUUAUAAUGAGACCAAGGCCCGUUCUUUUUCUUCAAUCCUCAAUCGAAUCCGCCCCUCGCCCCGAGUUCCAACACCCAGGGCUCCAGAUUCGGGUACUUUCGACCUUCGACAAUGUCCGGCUCCGAUCUACGAGGCCGGUGGAUGCCCUCCUCCGUUACGGAAGAGGACAUGCUAAAGCUGAGAGACGCCAGGUAUUUAACCUACGAGAUUUCGCAUAGGUUGCCUGCCCAAGGGCAAGUUAUUCCUUCUCCCGAGCCCGGCGAGAGUGUCGUGUUCGUGUCUCACCUCCGUCGGGGUUUAGGCUUCCCGAUGGAUCCCUUCGUGAGGGGGCUCAUGUUUUACUAUGGGUUGGAAUUCCAUGAUUUGGCUCCGGAGUCCAUCCUCCACAUCUCCUCAUUCAUUGUCGUCUGCGAAGCCUUCCUCCGCACUACCCCUCACUUCGGCUUGUGGCUCAAAACCUUCAACGUGGAGCCGAAGAUGAUUGAGGGGUGUCAGGCGGAGUGCGGCGGGGCGGUUAUAAGCAAGAGGGCCGAUGCUCCAUGGCCCGAGGGCUCUUUUCAGGAGGAGCUCGGCUAGUGGCAAUAGGAGUGGUUCUAUAUCACCGCUCCCAAGGGCAGCAGGCAGAGGCCGCCGCCCGCCUUUCGCCCGGGCCCUCCACAACGGCUGACGUCAUGGGUCAACAAAGGGCUUGACUGGGGGCCGUCCAAAGACGUACCCCUGUUGCAGCGCCGGAUUCGAGACCUCCAAGAAAGGGAGAUCAAUCUGGUCGUAGUGGCAUAGGUUAUGCUGAUUCGGCGCCUUCUGCCCUGCAAACGUCGGCCCCUCCGCCUGUGGGAAUUUAAUCCGGAGGGACCACGAGCUCUCCAACACUUCAUGGGUUUGACACCCAUGGAGAUGUACAAACUGUUCUUCGGAUCACAAGAGAUGCGUCCGGACUUUACCGAGGACGCUGGCCUAAGCUGCAAUCGCCCGGAUACUCAAGUAAGUAGCCCUGUGUCUGGACACAUUGUCCAUUUAUUUAUCAUGGGUUUGCCUUUUAACCAUCUAUCCCUUGGACAGGAGUGGAUAGCACAAGCAAAACUGAUACGGUGUCCGGCCCCCCUCCCUGAGACCACGCGGAUCCCGUGUUAAUCAAAAUGUUGGAGGUUGCGCCUUCGGAGGAGGGCGAAGGGGGGCACAGGGAAACUACCACGUCUGCCAAGGAGGCUUUUAGUAAGGGGGGAAUCGAGAAUCCCUCCCUCCAGGGGGAUAAGAGGAUCGCUUCCGAAGACCCGGAGGCCAAGGCCUCAAAGCGGGGAAAGAAAUCUGCACCGGAAGGUCCUGUGCCGGGAAGAGCCCCGACCGCAUAGUCUCCCCAAAGGAAUCAGCCCUCCAGCGAGCGGUAAGUAAAAAAGGGGGAAUUUUGUAAUAGGGGACACCCCUACUUUAUUUCUAAGGGUAACCGAAGUUUUCACCCUGUAGUUCGGAUCUCAGCCCUUCUCAGCAGAGCUCAUCUUCGGGGGACCUUCGUCCGGAGAUGAUGAAGAGCGAAACGCCUCCAUCUGCCGCCCCGUCGGGCGGGGCGGACGACCCUGAGGUGUCAUCACGGAGGGUCUCCCCGAGUCCGGCGGGGCCGGGGAGUUCGGCACCCACUGGAGUACGGCCGGUGGAGCUGUAGGAUUUUCUCGAGAGGGCGUCUAUCUCAGAAGAUCACCGCAUAUUAAUGAGUAUGGUGAUUGAAAGGAUCUCAUCCGCUGAGAGCGGGUUGCAUGAGGCCAUCGGAUGUUUGCUGACGGGGUUUGAGGUACGCAAAAAAUGACAUACCUUUUGACACUUUUGCACAUGGAGUGCGCCCUGUAUAGAUAGUAGCCCCUGAGACUUGGUAUGCUGUCGAAAGCGACAGCAUGCCGAGGAUCAUAAUCUCAGUUAUAGAAUGUCGCCUUUCCUAUGCAGGUGGCAGAACGUUCGGUGGCCAGCCGGACUGAUGGAGUUGCCGAGCUGAAGCGACAACUCGACGUUGCGGAUGCGGACAUCGCGCUGGUCAAUAAACGACUUAACGAGUCACAAGGUAAGUGGUUGCUCCACGGUCACCUAGUAAGGGAGAUGAUGCCUGUUCCUUACAAUUUGUAUGCUUGAUGCAGAUGGUGCCGCUGCUGUGGAAGACCUUCGAGUAGAACUUGCUCGAGCCAAGGAGCAAGCCAGGAAAACUGAUGCGGCUGCCUCGAAGGCAGCGGAAGAGCUAAAAGCCGAAAAGGCUGCUCACUGCCAAAGCAGGGAGGAGAUGGCCGAAAUGGCCGUGAAGUUAAAAGAUGCUACCGACCUCUAUGAGGUUCUUGAAAGAGAACGCCGAGCGGAGCAAGAGGACCUGAAGAAGGCCGCCGCCAAAGCCAAGGAUGCCCGUAGUGCGAUGCGGGCUAUGAAGGAGGAACUGCGUCAGGCCGGAGACAUUGCGGCUGGAAAGCCCUUUCUGCUGCGUAGGAAGUUCACGGAUCCAAAGUAUGCUCAGUUGGGCCAAUUGUGUGGUGCGGAGGAUCAUUAUCUGGAUUUGGCGGCGAGUGCGGCGGACGCAGUCGUGCACUUCCGAAGCUAGAAGGAUCACGAAAUGGAAGAGCUUUUCUGGUCUCAAUUCCAUAGUCCGGAGCAUCCACUUCCGUUGAAUGAUCGGUUGGCGGAGUGGGCUGAGCUGAAUAGAUUGUCCGGACUUGCCAUGACGGAUGUGGUGGCUCAUCUGUGGCCAGAAAGGCCCAAGCCAGAGAGUUAUUUUGGCUUGUUGCAGCAAUUCCUUGGGGCGGUGCCGCAUAUCGAGGUGAUGAAGCGGUCGGCAUGCAUAGAGGGUGCACGGAUGGCUCUCACCCAUGUUAAGACAUACUGGGCGGAGAUGGAUGCAACCGAUGUUGCAUCCUGGGGUUCGGACAAUAGCCGAUUACCCACCGAGCACUAUUUUGAGGAAGUCCUGUAGGGUGCUCGUUUAAUAGAGUCGCAGUUCUCGAAGGAUGUUAUGUUCAAAUGACAUGUAUGAUUUGUGAGAUCAUGUUUAUAAUGUAACAGCUUUUUAUACUUGUGCGUUCAAGUAUUGAACUAUCUCGUGUGCAGCCGUAUAUGUAUGUAUAACCUGAAAGAUGGCAGUCUUUGGCUUCAGCCCCCACGCACAUGGUGCGGGGUGUUUGCAAAAAAAAGCGCUUUUUCACACUUAAUCCAACGUCUUGGUCCUUUGAAGGAGGUGAUAGCAUAGAAAACUAGGCAACCGGACUAUAAUGCUUUAUCACUUUCACUUAGCCAUAGGAGCUCGAUGGUGGGGCUACUAUAUAGCCCCUAGAGGCACCGCGCUCUCCGAACUCGGGGCGCGUAUGUGCCUGACCGGAAAGCGGUCCUUCGUCAAAGCGGAGGAAUUCUAAACAUUCCAGUAGUCGAUCGAGUGGUUGACCAGUCUCUCGCUAUAUCAUGACAGUCAGUUUUCAGCUUUCUCUACUGAGGUGCUCGCCCGGCCGAACCGGGGCACAAUCGCAAUAGUUCUCCUGGUGCCGCGUUAGCCGAUGGAGUGGAACGUAAGGCAGCAAAACACAGGAGCCAGGCAAACCCAACAUUUGACCAAAGACAUGAUUCGGAGCUGAUGCAUAUAAGGCCUAACUCGAGAUGCCGAACACUCCCUGAGGUAUUCGGUCUUUAUGAUAUCGGGCAGAACAAUGCCCUAAGCCCCUAGUGUCCAGGUACGGGCGAGAACUUCUCGCGGCCGAUGCCAAAACGCCAGCCUCCUCCUCGGUUAUGGUAGGAAACCGGGGGAUGUGUAUCAACAAGAGACAGUAAGAAAGGUUUACGCAGGGUCUUAAUUUGAAAAUAAUCCUUGCAACGGGUCCCUGCUGCACGUCUGCGCCUGUGUCUCCGUUGUGCUGUAUCCUAGACGGGUGUAGCACGUGCUUCAUCUGUGAAAGAGAAGAACUUAGUUUGGAAAAAAUAUCGUGCAAAAGAUGUAUUAAAAAUAAAGUAUGAUUUGGAAGAUGAAUAAAGUUGAGCUUUAUUGGCUCUCAUUGUUUAUACGUGCAACCCCUUGUAAAGAGGUAUGCGGCUGGAAAGCCCCUUGUUUAUUUAUGCUGGACUCGCCUAACCGUGUCCGAGGUCUGAAUGACCUGUUUUUAGGGGCUUUGACCAGCAAGGUCGGAUUAGUGUGUGGCUGUCAAAGCAGUCUCACGUUUUCCGUGGUCGAGGAACACUCGGAGUUACCCUUUAAUGAGAUUAUACCGCGUGGACUGGGCAUUUUAAGCGUAAGAGACACGUAAUGCAGUAUUGCGUUAAAGCGGGCGAAAGCUUCGCGUCCCAGUAGUGCUUGAUGGCUACUGUUGAAUGGGGCGAUAUGGAAAAUGAGCUUUUCACGACGGAGGUUAUCGGAUGAACCGAACACGACCUCUUGUAGUACAGAGCCUGUACAAUUGGCGUAAAGGCCAGGCGUCACUCCUUUGAAGGAAGUGCUGCUACGGUGAAUUUUGGUAGGGUCUAUCCCAUUCUGCGGAUGGUGUCCUGGUAUAGCAGGUUUAUAUCGCUGCCUCCAUCCAUUAGGACUUGUGUGAAUUGUAGUCCGUCGAUUAUGGGAUCCAAUACCAAAGCAGUCCCUCCUGCGUUUCGAACACUUCUGGAGAAUCCUGAUGGUCGAAAGUGAUUGGUUUAAACAUCCAAUUUUGGGAUUCUGCUGGGGUGUACCAUGCGGCGCGUGUUUUAGCAGGUGCCGCACUAUUUUUCCUUGUUAUCACAUGAAGUGAGUUCAUUGUUUUGACUUCUAGUGGGAAAGUCUUCUGUUUUCCGGCGUGCUGCUUGUGGGGUUCGUCGUCUUCGCUUGGUGUGUCGAGCCCCUUGUGUUCGGCGUUAAGUCGGCCGGACUGCUUGAAGACCCAACAAUCUCUGUGGGUAUGGUUUGCAGGCUUCCCAGGGGUACUAUGGAUUUGACAUAUCCUAUCCAGGAUUUUGUUUAGGUUGGAUAGCUCAUCACUGUUGUCCUUAAGAGGUAGUGUUUUAUUAUUCGGCCGAGAGCUUUUGAACCCGGCGUUGACCGCCGUGCUAUUUGGGCCUUUUUCCUUAUUCCGGUGCUGAUCUUUUCUGCGUCGUGAUUUUCCAUUUCCAUCCCUGACCUCGGAUGUACUCGGGUCGCUGGUGCUGCAUCUUGCCAGCCAGCUAUCUUCCCCCGUGCAAAAGCGGGUCAUGAGGCUUGUUAGCGCGACAAUUGUUCUUGGUUUUUCCUGGCCGAGGUGUCUGGCGAGCCAUUCGUCUCGAACGUUAUGCUUAAAGGCUGCUAAGGCUUCGGCGUUCGGACAGUCGACUAUUUGGUUCUUUUUGGUGAGGAACUUGUUCCAGAAUUUGCGUGCUGACUCUCCGGGCUGUUGAGUUAUGUGACUUAAAUCGUCUGCAUCCGGAGGACGGACAUAAGUCCCUUGAAAAUUUGCUCGAAACGCAUCCUCGAGCUCUUCCCAACUUCCAAUGGUAUUUUCUGGGAGGCUUUUGAGCCAAUGCCGAGCUGGCCCUUUGAGCUUGAGGGGUAGGUAUUUUAUGGCAUGGAGAUCGUCUCCUCUGGCCAUAUGUAUGUGUAGGAUAUAAUCCUCAAUCCAGACUCCGGGGUCUGUUGUUCUGUCAUAUGCCUCUAUGUUUACGGGUUUGAAUCCCGCUGGAAAUUCAUGAUCCAGUACCUCAUCGGUGAAACAUAGUGGGUGUGCGGCGCCCCUGUAUUUAGGUGUGCCGUUGUCUUCAAACACUCGGCGGGUUGUGUUUCUCCGUGGAGUCUUCUUUUUUGGCCCAUAGAUGGACCUGGCCGGGCCAUCCUUUUUGCGAGGAUCCUUAUGUGGAUCAUGUGCCGGCUUGUGUGCGGCGCCGCUUGCCGCUCUUAGCCUGUCAUCUGGUCGUCUAUCCGGCCAGGCGGCCUCUUUCUUUUUUGACUGUGGGGGCUCUACGGCCUCCUCGUCAAAUUCGGGCAACAGCUUGCGCUUCGGGUAUCUCUUUGCCUGGUGGCUAUCACCGUAUUUAUCUGCGGUAUUGAGUACUUUGCUCCAUCUCAUUCUGAGUGUGUCCUCCGCUGUUUUGAGCUUCCUCUUUUGCUUCUUCAAACUUCUUGCAGUGGCGACGAGCCUUUUGAGAAGGUUCUUAUGCUCCUGUGAUGUGUCCGGCGUGAGAUCGUCUGGACUGUUGUUUUCGCCGGGGAUGGGUUGCUUGUCCAAUUCGUCCUGUUCGGAUGGUUGCUUGGUGGCAUGUUCGUCGUCCACUGCUUCGCCCUGCUCUAAGGCUGGGUCAGUAUGAGUGCUGUUGUUAUCGAGGCGGGACUUCGGGCGGCGCUUGCGUCGCUGUUUUGGUUGUUUGUCGGGGGAGUUAUCCUUCGCCACGUCCCGUUGUUCCUCGUUAUCGCUUCCUUUUGGUGUAUCCACCAUGUAUACGUGAGUUGAGGUGGCUUUCCAGUGCCCAGUAGGCGCUGGUUCUUGGUCGUCUCCGGCAUCGUCGUCCAUACCGUCGAUGUCUUCGGAGUCGAAGUCUAGCAUGUCGGUUAGAUCGUCGACAGUGGCUACUAAGUGGGUGGUGGGUGGGCUUUGAAUUUCUUCGUCGUCCGCAUCCCAACCGUCCUGACCGCAGUCUGGCCAGGUCUCUCCUGAUAACGAGAGAUACUUUAGCAAACUCAGGAUGUCGCCGAAAGGUGAGUGUUGAAAGAUGUCCGCAGCGGUGAACUCCAUGAUCGGCGCCCAAUUGGAUUCGAUUGGGGGGGGGGGUCGCGGGAGGUUCGGAGUCCGGCACUUCGGAGUCACAAGCUUCAUAAGGGACAAGGCCAGUAUUCGGCUCCAUCGCCGUAGAGGUUGCAGCCCCCGAGGCGGUGUCUAGCCACCCAUCCUCGAUCUGUGCAGCCGGCUCCGAAUCGAGGGUUGGAGCUGGCUCAUGUGCGGCCUCCAGGGCACUGUCCGGCUGCAGAGCUAAAUUAUGCCCAUCGUGACAGUGUGGCGCGCUCGGCUGUGGCUCGAAUCCAUCGAAGAUCAAGUCUCUGCGGAUGUCAGCCGUGAAGUUCAAACUUCCAAAUCUGACCUGACGACCAGGGGCGUAGCUUUCGAUCUGCUCCAGAUGGCCAAGAGAAUUGGCCCGCAGUGCAAAGCCGCCGAAUACGAAGAUCUGUCCAGGGAGAAAAGUCUCACCCUGGACUGCGUCCUUGUUGAUGAUCGAAGAAGCCAUCGAGCCUAUCGGUGACGACACAGAGGAACUCUCAAUGAAAGCACCAAUGUCGGUGUCAAAACCGGCGGAUCUCGGGUAGGGGGUCCCGAACUGUGCGUCUAGGCGGAUGGUAAUAGGAGACAAGGGACACGAUGUUUUACCCAGGUUCGGGCCCUCUUGAUGGAGGUAAAACCCUACGUCCUGCUUGAUUGAUAUUGAUGAUGUGGGUAUUACAAGAGUAGAUCUACCAUGAGAUCAAGGAGGCUAAACCCUAGAAGCUAGCCUAUGGUAUGAUUUUUGUUCGUCCUACGGACUAAAACCAUCUGGUUUAUAUAGACACCGGAGAGGGCUAGGGUUACACAGAGUCGGUUACAAUGGUAGGAGAUCUACAUAUCCGUAUCGCCAAGCUUGCCUUCCACGCCAAGGAAAGUCCCAUCCGGACACGGGACGAAGUCUUCAAUCUUGUAUCUUCAUAGUCUUGGAGUCCGGCCGAUGAUGAUAGUUCGGCUAUCCGGACACCCCCUAGUCCAGGACUCCCUCACUCGCACCCAUCUUGCUUGCACGUACACGUAGGCCUCGCCCUGCUCUCUGGAUGCCCGAACUCGCGCCGUAGCACCGUUGCCAUCGCUUGCCCGAAGCACCUCGCCGCCGGCGAGCUCGAAGCACUCACCCCCAUCCAUGCCAAUCAAUCCGGCCACCACCGUUCAAUGUGCGAUGCCGAGCCGAGUCGAACGCGCCCAGCCACAGCGCCGCAGACCCCCUGUGCGCCAAAUCCGCGCCCCUCCCGAGCCGCGCCGCCGUGUUUGGCUUGCCGGAGUCAGCUCCGGCGCGUCUCCAGAUGAUGUCUGACGUGGCGUCCACGUGGCACUGCCUGUGCCACUGACUGGUGGACCUUGGGGCCCACUUUGACCUGUUGACUUGGGUCAACAUGCUGAUUGGGCAGUCCAGUGCCACUGACAUAUGGGCCCCGCACUAACUAUUAGGUUUUAUAAAUAAAUAAAUUGUUAAUUAGUUUUAAUCCCUAAUUAGCCACUGACUAAUGGGGCCCACACCCCUAAUUAGUAGUCAAAUUAACCCUCUGAUAGUCCCACAGAGGCUAUCAGGUGGGUCCCACCUGUCAGUUUGACUGGUCAGCCGGUCAGCCGACUGUUGACGCAAGCAUGACCUCAGCAUGAUGUCAUAAUCCAUUUCUGUUAAUUUAAAUAAUUCCGGAAUAUUGUUUAAAUCUUUGAAAAUUCCUAGGAAUUAAACCGUAGCUCGGAUGAAAAAGUUGUCUACAUGAAAGUUGCUCAGAACAACUAGACGAAUCUGAACACACAGUCCGUUCGUCCGCCACACGUCCCUAGCAUAGCGAACAUGCAACCUUUCCCCUUCGUUUCAUCUGUCUGACAAACGUCCGGAACCCGAAAAACUUUUCCGGAUGUUAUCCCCCUUUAACGGUAUCGUGUAACCCGGCGUUAGAGCACUUUUAGCCUCGUUUAUUGUCAUGUUAUGCAUAUGUUUGCGUGUAUUUAUUGUUUCUUCCCCCUUUUCUCUCCGGUAGGCCCUGAGAUCGCUGCUGAUGCCACUGUGAUCGACUACAUCGACGACGACCCUCCUUCUUGUCUAAGCAACUAGGCAAGCCCCCCCCCCCUUUGAUCAUCCCGAUAUCGCCCAUUCUAUACUCUCAUGCUUGCAUUAGAUUUGGCUACUGUUAUUGAUUGCUCCUAUUCUGAUGCAUAGCCUGCUUUUGUAACCUGCUCAUUGUACCUUACCUGCUUAUCCUAAACUGCUUAGCAUAGGUUGGUUAGUGAUCCAUCAGGGACCCCUAGUACUUGUCCUUGUUGCCCCUGAUUCAUCAUCGACGACUCGAUCAGUGUGAUCGACGACCAGAGCCCGACACCUCACAUCACAUCACUCCCCUUUUGUUGAUCGGCUCUGCAGAGCUACUAUCGAGUGCCGAGGGUGAUCCCUCAUGACACACUCCUGAUGAUAAUUCUGUAGUGUAGCUAUUCGGUCGUGGUCAUCGAGGGUGAUUUCCUCUUUCACCAUUCCCGAUAUAGCUCUGUCGUUCAACACCUCAAGUUUGAACCUCGAGGGUGGUCCCUCUUAUGUUCACCUUGAUGAUUACAUUGAGUGGAAUCCACCGGGGGUGAUUCCUCGGGUUUUCCCAUUGAUGUUUGGACACACGAUUACCUUGAAUAUACUUGAGACCAUUGUUGAAGUCGGGUCGGCCCUGAGGGGUACCCGCGAGUUGAUGUGAAAGUUGGGCAGGCCCGUUAAGCACCCGCGAGUUUUCCACGUGGCACGGCCAGGCAGUCUGGGCCCUUGGCAUAAGUCCAUGAGACGGGGCGACAGGGUCACCUUAUCGUGAGUCUCUGCUCGUUUCUGCGAGCCCCCAAUGCACUAAAAGGUUUGGGUAUUUUUCUGAGUUGGCCUUUGGCCUUUACGCACUAACCACCACACGAGAAUAGAUAUGGGCCUCGACGCCAUGGUAUCAGCUGAAGCUUUGUCAGACGUCCAGUUCAGCAGUGUGGCACAGUCAGAUCGUGCUAGCCAUCCGAGGCGGUCCUGGUAUCCACCCUGCUCGCAACGACCCGGAGUGCUGCGGGCGAUGGGCCCAAGGCCCCGGAGUUCUUAGGAUGUAGACCGGCGGGGACCUCUCUGCUAAGCCUAGGUAGGGUUGCGACGUGUUGAUCUUCCGAGGGCGGGCAUUGACCCCAAAAAGGUGUGUCCGGCCAGAGUGAUCGAGCGUGUUGGGUAACAUGGUGCACCCGUGCAGGGAAGAUAUAUAUUCGAAUACCGUGUCCACAGUAAUGGAUGUUCAGACUUAUAUCCUGAUCUUAUAUAACUAGAAAUGGAUACUUGAGAUAUGCGAUGGAUAUGUGGCUCCGAGAUUGCUUUCUCAUAGGGAGUCGAGGAAGGAUCUCUGGGCGUUGAUGCUACAACAUGCUUGUUAAAUAUUAAACUGCUAUUCUUUACUCUUCUACAUGCUGCAAGAUGCUCGGAGCUGCGUGAAGAUGCUAGUCUUUGAUAGGCUAGGCUUUCCCCCUCUAUUCUAACACUCUGCAGUUCAGUCCAUAGAUACAAACCUUCCUUUUGAUACCAAUACAUACUUAGUAUAGAUUUGAUGCUUGCGAGUACUUUGGAUGAGUACUCACGGUUGCUUUACUACCCCUUCCCCCCCUUCUUUCUUCUUUCUGGGUGAUGCAACCAGAUGGUGGAUCCCAGGAGCCAGAUGCCACCGCCGACGUCUACUACUACCCGAUGCUGCCUACUUCUACAUGGAGGCCGCCGCCGCCGAGGAGUAGUUAGGAGGUCCCAGGCAGGAGGCCUUGCCUCUUCGAUCGUGUUGCUUUUGUGCUAGCCUUCUUAAGGCAUCCUUGUUUAACUUAUGUCUGUACUCAGAUAUUGUUGCUUCCGCUGACUCUUGUGUAUCGAGCUUGUAUUCAAGCCCUCGAGGCCCCUGGCUUGUAAUAUAAAGCUUGUAUUAUUUUGAUUUGUGUCUAGAGUUGUGUUGUGAUAUCUUCCCGUGAGUCCUUGAUCUUGAUCAUACACAUUUGCGUGUAUGAUUAGUGUACGAUUGAAUCGGGGGCGUCACAAGUUGGUAUCAGAGCCGUCUGCCUGUUGGAUCCCCCUUUCCAACUCCUUGGCCGAAGUUGAGUCUAGUCUUUGAAAAAUUGUUUUACUAACAUGGAUGUGUGUCUUCCAGGCCCACAUCGCCAAUUGGGUGGUAUUAGGAUCUUUUACUCCUCGUCUAUACUCUAGGAAUCCGAUCUCUCUUCUAUUCGGGUUAAUUGAUUUUGUUAACUCUAAUUCUAGGUUCUCGUAAACACUUUCUCCCGAAGAGCCCCUCACUCCAGAUGAUUGCUUGGUGCACUGGAAGAUUCUGAAGAUACUCUCUGAUGUUUUACCGAGUCCCUUGUACCCUUCGCCGUUGCGAUCCCUACCACCGAUAAAUCCUUAUGCGUAACUACCUAUGUUGUCGUUCAUACCUUCAUCCCCAGUUGCUCUUCUUAUUACAAGAUGUCCUGAAAUACUCUUCGAUGUUCCGAGGAUCCUUUAUGCUUACUGCCCUGCAAUCCUUGCCGCAUGAAUACCCCUACAGAUAAUUACUCGCUCUUCAAGUAUCCAUUCAUCCCCAGUUAUUCUUAUGCUUCAUAAGAUACUUCUUAAUACAACCCGAGCUUUCGAUGACCUCUAUCGCCUAUUGCUCUAGAAGGUCUUACCUGCCUACACUCUGGUUAAUUCCAUAUGCCUAGCAGUAUCCAUUAACGUCCUUUGUCAUUAUCAUAUUGAGUCUUUCGAUUUGAUAUGUCUGUGUCGCAAUCAUCAGUUGAUCCUUAUAGAUUAUCUUUCCGGCUCAGAUGUCUUCCUGAACAUGAGCCAGUUCUUGACCAAUCACAUUGCCAUCGGUUGUGCCCUAAGUCUAUUCAACUUAUCCAAACUUGGUCAGAGCGUUUGCUUCUAAUCCCUUGAUUUUGGAAAUCGUAAUUCCUUUGCAUUUGAACUCUGAAUUAGUCAGUUGCUUCUAUAAUAUGAUAUCCUUGCAUUCUUUCUACUUCUGGUGAAGUAUUGAUGCUCACAUCAGAUCCCUUAUGAACCACUAGAUCCUUUGCUGGGUUUUAAACAAUAGCGUCCUUCAUAUUUAGUAACCUUGUGAGCCUCCCCUCAGAUACAUAAUGCCUUUGGUAAAUGGUAUCCUUUGCUUCCUCAACCAUGCUCUACUCCCGAGCUUGAGAUAUUUACUCCUGAAGUUUGCGGUAUAUGUUCCUAAUAUGCCCUGAUGGGUUGAACCCGUGUCUUCCCUAAAUCCGUGUGAACUCGAAAGUUAUGCGGGUUAUACUCACUGGCUUUUCGUCAGGUAAAAUUUCAAAACUACAACUUCUUCAAAUGCGAGAAGUGAAUGGAAAGUUGUGCAUUAGAGAAGUGGGAGUCGACCUUAAGCCUUUGUGUUCAUGCCCAUGGAUCGGAUGUGGAACUUAUCAUGGAAGCUUCUUGUAAUAACAUUAAUCCCCUUGUGAUAAGUUCAUCUUGUAUCUAUGUUUGGUCCUUUGCAACCGCGGUUCCGACCAUAUUGUUUUUUUUUGACUAUUUACUGUAAAGCAACAGCCCCAUAGCCCUUUUUAUUCCAAUUUUUUUGCCCAGGCCAGUUUAAAUCCGCUCCCACCGGGAGUCGAACAUAGGACCUGGGGUGCUACUAAGGUCGCUGCAACCACUAGGCUACAGGCCCGUUCGCUUCCGACCAUAUUGUUCUCCUUUGAUUCCCUUUCUUGGGCAAGUUAAAGUACUUGUCUUCUUCAAAUCGUUUCACCUGUUCAACCUCUACAUUGAUAUACCUUUGAGUAUUACCCUCUAGUAUCUCGAGAAUAUCCUAGAACUACAUAACUUCUUAUGAUUUCUUCAUCAACUAUUAUUCUCGUCGAUUCAAAAAUUUCCACGUGUUCUGAGUUGUUACACACUCGAGAACACCGAUAACGGAUUCGAGUCUACACUUUCCUUUCCAUUGUUUUGUUUAACCUUUCUUGUAACCUAACAUAUCUGAGCAGUGGUAAUUCCCUGCUUAUGUAAACACCUGAGUGUAGAACUCUGUCAGUAAGACCUUGUUACUAUUGUUGAUGACAUUCCGGUAGCCACCGAUGGACGAGAACUUUGCCUAUUGGUCCGCCUCGUUCAACGAGCAGGAAAAUGGUUCUCUUCGUCCCUCGCCCUUGGUACUAACAUUGUUGCCAACAUAAUUGACAGGCUAUCCUAUGACCUUCCUUGCUACCAUGACCAUGCAAAUGAUAGGACCAUUCCUGCUUUUAACCCACAUGGUGGGCCCAUAACCCAGAGGUCCUAGGAUCAAAACCUGACUCUCCUAUACAUCCCUGUUUUCAAAGUUAUCCCUCAUGCUUGGCUUCGUAUGUAAUUCACGAGCCACCUUCCUAGUGAGCUAUUCUGGUAUCAGAUGCAAUACUUAUUCUCAUUGCUCUGAACCCCUUUUCACCCUCUGUUUCAGGCAAUGAACGAUUGCCUACCCGCUUAAAGCUUCUUAUUGCACAUAGUUACCUUGCUCUCGAUGACUUUCCUGAAUUUCAAUUCGAGGGAUGCCUCUAUGCCACGUUCACUGAGAUAACCCCAGGUACCUAUCUUGUGUUGGACUCCGUCCUUCCCGAGUCUUUCCCCCUUACUCCACCCCUUAAAUCUCGAGACUAGAUUUCUUUUAGUGGAGGAGAAUUGUGACGCCCAGAUAAUUAAGCUAUAGUACCCCUGUUAAUGGUGCCAUGUCAUCACAUUUACUGUUGCUAAAUCCCACAUUGUUUCGAACCGGUUCAAAUUUCUUUUUUCAAAUUAAAGUAAAAAUUCAAAAUUCUCGAACAGUAAAACUAAAAUGUUCACCUUUUAGGAAAUAAUCCAAAACUAUUUACUGUUAAGGAACACAACAUCAUCAUCAUUUCUAAAUGGGCCUAAUGCAUUUUAACAGAGCAAAAACAACCUUUCAAAUGCCCUUUUCAUUAUUGAAUAAAUUCAAAUGAACUCCAAAAAUGCCCAAACCUUUUGUGGCAGUGCUGGAUAUUGCAAAGUAAUUAUGUGACCAAGUUUCACAUUUUUGCAAAAUCAUAUGGAAGCUCAAAAUAUUGCUAAACCCCCUUUUUGUAAAAAGAAAAUAGAAAAGGCCACUAUGCACUGGCCUAAGUGCACAGUGCCUAGAGCCUAGCCCACCACGGUCUCCUCCUUCUCCCCCGUUCUCUGUUCAAGCGACCGAGGCGCGCCCGCCGUCACCGCCGAACCCACCUCGCCGACCACACCGCUACAGGCGCCACGGGUGGAUAAAGAUCCACCUCUCCUCCUUCCUGGCAUCCUCAUCCAUUCGCCCCCUUAUCCUCUCACUCUCCCCUUUCUAACUCGCCCUCUCUGUUGAUCUAGAGAAGAGGCCGGCGCGGCCGACGCCGUUCGUACCCGCGGCCCCCGCGCCUCUCCGGUUCUGCCGAUCUGUUCGGGAGCUCCGGCGCCAUCAACCUUUUCGUCCGGUGCCAAUGGAUCUAGUCAGGGAGCAGCGCAUCAACUCCGACAACCCGAUCCCCUUCUCCGGCCAGCGCCACGGCAUCGCCUUGAGCUCCUCCACCGCUGCUCUUCUAAGCCCUCACUGGACCACCUUGUGUCCCCACAGUGAGCUCCACAUCCUCCCUCCCCUUUGUCUUGCUCGGAUUUCAGCCGUGGGUAGCCGUUGCCAUGGUCGUGCAUCUGCUUCCGCCGGCGUGCUCAUAGCCAUGCUGUUGCUGCCCGUCGAGCUCAAAUGAGCUCUAGAUCAUGCUCAGCACGUCCGUGCAGGCCCAUUGCACCCCUCCCCCGUGCUUUGUCGAGCCCCAUAGCGCUGACCCCGUGCUCCGACCGGCUCCGUGUAGCUCGUCGCCGGCGUUGUUCCGGCGACCUGUUGGUCAUUUGCUCGCGCCCAUCUUGCUCGCACGUACACGUAGGCCUGCCCCCGCUCUGUGGAUGCCCGAACUCGCGCCGUAGCACCUUUGCCAUCGCUCGCCCGAAGCACCUUGCCGCCGGCGAGCUCGAAGAACUCACCCCCAUCCAUUCCAGUCACUCCGGCCACCACCAUUCGACGCGUGAUGCCGAGCCGAGUCGAACGCGCCCAGCCACAACCCCGCAGACCCUCUGUGCGCCAAAUCCGUGCCCCUCCCGAGCCGCGCUGCCGCGUUUGGCUCGCCAGAGUCAGCUCCGGCGAGUCUCCGGCCGGUGUCCGACAUGGCGUCCAUGUGGCACCGCCUGGGCCACUGACUGGUGGGCCCUGGGGCCCACUUUGACCUGUUGACUUGGGUUAACAUGCUGAUUGGGCAGUCCAGUGCCACUGACAUACGGGCCCUGCACUAACUAUCAGGUUUUAUAAAUAAGUAAAUUGUUAAUUAGUUUUAAUCUCUAAUUAGCCACUGACUAAUGGGGCCCACACCCCUAAUUAGUCCUGUUAGUCAAAUUAACCCUCUUAUAGUCCCAUAGAGGCUGGCAGGUGGGUCCCACCUGUCAGUUUGACUGGUCAGCCGGUCUGCUGACUGUUGACGCAAGCAUGACCUCAGCAUGAUGUCAUAAUCCAUUUCUGUUAAUUUAUAUAAUUCUAGAAUAUUGUUUAAAUCUUUGAAAACUCAUAGGAAUUAAACCGUAGCUCGGAUGAAAAAGUUUUCUACAUGAAAGUUGCUCAGAACGACGUGACAAAUCCGAACAUGCAGUCCGUUCGUCUGCCACAUGUUCCUAGCAUAGCGAACUUGCAACCUUUCCCCUCCGGUUCAUCGGUUUGACAGACGUCCGGAACCGGGAAAACUUUCCCAGAUGUUGACCCCCUUUACCCGGUAUCGUGUAACCCUGUGUUACAGCACUUUUAGCCUCGUUUAUUGUCAUGUUAUGCAUAUGUUUGCGUGUAUUUACUGUUUCUUCGCCCUCUUCUCUCCGGUAGAUCCUGAGACCGAUGCUGAUGCCACUGUGAUCGACUACGUCGAUGACGACCCUCCUUCUUGUCUGAGCAACCAGGCAAGCCCCCCCCUUUGAUCAUCCCGAUAUUGCCCAUUCUAUACUCUCAUGCUUGCAUUAGAUUUGGCUACUGUUAUUGAUUGCUCCUAUUCCGAUGCAUGGCCUGCUUUUGUAACCUGCUCAUUGUACCUUACCUGCUUAUCCUAAACUGCUUAGUAUAGGUUGGUUAGUCAUCCAUCAGUGACCCCUAGUACUUGUCCUUGUUGCCCAUGCUUCAUCAUCGAAGACUCGAUCAGCGUGAUCGACGACCAGAGCCCGACACCUCACAUCACAUCACGCCCCUUUUAUUGAUCGACUCUGCAGAGCUACUAUCGAGUGCCGAGGGUGACCCCUCAUAACGCACUCCUGAUGAUAAUUUUGUAGUGUAGCUAUUCGGUCGUGGUCAUCGAGGGUGAUUUCCUCUUUCACCAUUCCCGAUACAGCUCUGUUGUUCAACACCUCAAGUGUGAACCUCGAGGGUGGUCCGUCUUACGUUCACCUUGAUGAUUACAUUAUGUGGAAUCCACCGGGGGUGAUUCCUCGGGUUUUCCCCUUGAUGUUUGGACACACGGUUACCUUGAAUUUACUUGAGACCAUUGUUGAAGUCGGGUCGGCCUUGAGGGGUACCCGCGAGUUGAUGUGAAAGUCGGGCGGGCCCAUUAGGCACCCACGAGUUUUCCACGUGGCACAGCUGGGCAGUCUAGGCCCUUGCCGUAAGUCCAUGAGACGGGGCGACAGGGUCACCUUAUCGUGAGUCUCUGCUUGUUUCCACGAGCCCCCAAUGCACUAACAGGUUUGGGUAUUUGUUCUGAGUUGGCCUUUGGCCUUUACGCACUAAGCACCACGUGAGAAUAGAUAUGGGCCUCGACAUCGUGGUAUCAGCCAAAGAUUUGUCAGACGUCCAGUUCAGCAGUGCGGCACGGUCGGAUCAUGCUGGCCAUCCGAGGCGGUACUGGUAUCCACCAUGGUCACAACGACCCGGAGUGCUGCGGGAAAUGGGCCCAAGACCCCGGAGUGCUUAGGAUGUAGACCGGCGGGGACCUCUCUGCUAAGCCUAGGUAGGGCUGCGACAUGUUGAUCUUCCGAGGGCGGGCAUUGACCCUAGAAAGGAGUGUCGGGCCAGAGUGAUUGAGCGUGUUGGGUAACGUGGUGCACCCCUGCAGGGAAGAUAUAUAUUCGAAUACCAUGUCCACGAUAAUGGACGUUCAGACUUAUAUCCUGAUCUUAUAUAACUAGAACUGGAUACUUGAGAUAUAUGAUGGAUAUGUGGCUUUGAGAUUCUUUUCUCACAGGGAGUCGAGGAAGGAUCUCUAGGCGUUGAAGCUACAAUAUGCUUGUUAAAUAUUAAACUGCUAUUCUUUACUCUUCUACAUGCUGCAAGAUGCUCGGAGCUGCGUGAAGAUGCUAGUCUUCGAUAGGUUGGGCUUUGCCCCUCUAUUCUGGCAUUCUACAGUUCAGUCCACAGAUACAAACCUUCCUUUUGAUACCAAUGCAUACUUAGUAUAGAUCUAAUGCUUGCGAGUACUUUGGAUGAGUACUCACGGUUGCUUUACUACCCCUUUCCCCCCUUCUUUCUUCUUUCUGGUUGAUGCAACCAGAUGGUGGAUCCCAGGAGCCAGAUGCCACCGCCGCCGUCUACUACUACCCGAUGCUGCCUACUUCUACAUGGAGGCCGCCGACGACCAGGAGUAGUUAGGAGGUUCCAGGUAGGAGGCCUUGCCUCUUCGAUCGUGUUACUUUUGUGCUAGCCUACUUAAGGCAUCCUUGUUUAACUUAUGUAUGUACUCAGAUAUUGUUGCUUCCGCUGACUCUUGUGUAUCGAGAUUGUAUUCGAGCCCUCAAGGCCCCUGGCUUGUAAUAUAAAGCUUGUAUUAUUUUGAUUUGUGUCUAGAGUUGUGUUGUGAUAUCUUCCGAUGAGUCCCUGAUCUUGAUCGUACACAUUUGCAUGUAUAAUUAGUGUACGAUUGAAUCGGGGGCGUCACAUGUCAGCCGAACUAUAUCCGGUUUGGAUUGGAAGCUGAUGACGGAGAAUUCCGCUUCCCACCCACUACCCACUCCAUAGCCACUGUCGAAGACUUAACCGACAUGCUAGAUUGCGGCUCCGAAGACAUCAACGGUAUGGACGACAGUGCCGAAGAGGAGCAGGCACAAAAACCACCGCUUACAAGGCGCUGGACAGCCACCUCCUCGUAUGACGUAUACAUGGUGGAUACACCCAAAGAGAACAACGGCGACAAUGAGAAGGAUCCAGUCGAGGAUAAGCCUCCUGAGAUACAACCAAAGCGCCGACGUCAGCAGUGCCAUUCUAAACCACGCCGUGGAAAAAAUAGCAAUGCCGGCACAGGAGAAAAUAAUACUCCGGACGAUGCCGAAGACAACGAAGACCCCUUUGAGCCAACUUCCGAACAGGAUGAGCGGAAGGAUGGGUGAGUCAGCCCUAAUGAACAGGCCGUUAAUGAAGACUCGAAGGACAGUAAUUAUAUUCCACUCUUCGAGGAUGAGGCGAGCCUCGACGACAAAGACUUUAUCAUGCCUGAGGAGCCCGUCGAUUAGGAGCGCUUUAAGCGCCGGCUAAUAGCCACUGCAAGGAGCCUGAAAAAGAAACAACAAUAGCUUCAAACUGAUCAAGAUAUACUCAAUGACAAAUGCACUAAUGUCCUGGCAGCCGAGGAAUAUGGCCUCAAGCGCCCAACCAAAAGUUACCCAAAACGCAAAUUGUUACCCCAAUUCAAUGACGAGGCGCUGGAGCCCGUCCUACCAGCGUGUAAUGCGGCUGACCGACCACCACAUGGCCGGGACAAAGCGGCAAGUCAAGCCGAACACCAGCCCGCACUACCUCGCCGUAAAACAGAGACACAACAGCUUGGGGAUACACAUAUGACCUGCGGCAUGACCUGGAAACAUAGCAGGUCAGACCAGAUCGAUCUAUGGAUUGCGGGGGCGUGCCCCGAUGCACGACGAUGGCUAUCCCGCCGGACGUGACAAACAUAACCACGCCCCGGCCAAAAACCACAAACGAACUCCAUCCGAGCUACGUCGCGACUUGGCCCGAUAUAGAGGCAUCACACACCCCCUCUGCUUCACUGAUGAAGUAAUGGAACAUGAAUUCACAAAAGGGUUUAAACCCGUGAACAUUGAAUCAUAUGAUGGGACAACAGACCCCGCGGUAUGGACUGAGGAUUUUCUCCUCCAUAUUCAUAUGGCCCGCAGAGAUGAUCUUCAUGCCAUCAAAUACCUCACGCUAAAACUCAAGGGACCUGCUCAGCUCUGGUUGAAUAGUUUGCCCGAAAACUCAAUUGGCAGCUGGGAAGACUUGAAAGAUGCCUUCCUCUGACAACUUCCAGGGCACAUAUGUCCGACCUCCAGAUGCCGACGACUUAAGUCACAUAGUUCAAUAGCCGGGAGAGUCAGCCAGGAAAAUUUUGGACUAGGUUCUUAACUAAAAAGAACUAGAUGGUCGACUGUCCGGAUGCCGAAGCCCUAGCGGCCUUUAAACAUAGCAUCCGUGACAAAUGGCUCGCCCGACACCUUGGCCAAGAAAAGCCAAAGUCCAUGGCUGCCCUCACAAUGCUUAUGACCCUCUUCUGCGCGGGCGAGGAUAGCUGGCUAGCCCGUAGCAAUAAUAAUACAAGCGAACCUGGCACUUUUGAAGCCAGAAAUAGCAAUGGCAAGCCCCGACGUAACAGACACAUGCGUCAAAACAACGAUGACAACACCGAGGACACAAUGGUCAACGCUGGAUUCAGUGGCUCUAAGUCCGGUCAGCGAAAGAAGCCAUAUGAAAGAAACAGUCCGGGUUCGUCCAGCUUGGACCGCAUACUCGACCAUCCAUGUCAAAUCCACGACACUCCUGAUAAACCAGCCAAUCAUACCAACAGAGAAUGUUGGGUUUUUAAACAGGCGGGCAAGUUAAAUGCCGAGAACAAAGAGAAGGGGUCGCAAAGCAAGGACGAUGAUGAGGAGCCCCGGCCAUCGAACACAGGGGGACAGAAGAAGUCCCCCCGCCCCCCCCCAAGUUAAAAUUGUGAACAUGAUAUACGCUACCCAUAUCCCCAAGAGGGAGCGCAAGCGUGCGCUCAGGGACGUCUACGCGAUGGAGCCAGUCGCACCAAAGUUCAACCCAUGGUCGUCCUGCCCGAUCACCUUCGAUCGUAGGGACUAUCCUACCAGUAUCCGUCAUGGCAGUUCAGCUGCACUGGUCCUCGACCCAAUCAUUGAUGGAUUCCAUCUCGAGUCCUCAUGAACGGUGGCAGCAGCCUGAACCUGCUCUAUUAGGAUACAGUGCACAAAAUGGGUAUUGAUCCCUCAAGGAUAAAGCCCACAAAAACCACCUUUAAAGGUGUCAUACCAGGUGUAGAGGCCCGCUGUAUAGGCUCAAUCACACUGGAGGUGGUCUUCGGACCCCUGGACAACUUCCGCAAUGAAGAGUUGAUCUUCGAUAGUGUCCCCUUCCGAAAUGGCUAUCACGCACUGCUCGGACGAACCGCAUUCGCUCGAUUCAAUGUGGUGCCGUACUACGCUUAUCUCAAGCUCAAGAUGCCCGGACCACGCAGUGUCAUAACAGUCAAUGGAAACAUGGAACGCUCCCUCCAUACCGAGGAUCACACCGCUGCCCUCACAGUAGAAGCACAGAGCGGCCUUUUCAGGCAGAACCUUAAUUCGGCGGCCAACCUCCCGGACACUAUCAAACGAGUCUGAACUACUCUACAGUAGGACAGUCCAACUCGUCAAGAGCUUGACUAGCAAUUCGGCCUCCAUCCUAGUCCUGACCAAAUACCAUGGGCGUAGACGGAGGCACAGCUAGAUCAUGGUCCAUAAUACGGCUCAACCUCCCCUGGACCCACAUACUUUCACUUUUUUUUCUUUUCAGGUUUCUUUUUUCCCAGGCCUUUCCUGGUGGCCUGAUUGUCGGACCUAUUGAGGGACGGAUGCACCAAGACGGCAAGAAGCAUUGACGUAUAAGGGAAUUUCCAGGUGCCCUCUUUAAACGAUCGUUAUGCCUGUUUUAAGGACCCGUACGCAGCUCUCCCUUGGUCGUGGCAUGUUAAAUAGCCCUGUUGCUUAUCGCACUACUUGUACAAAUACGUUUUGAUGUAUUGAUCAAAACUAUAAUGGAAAAUACUUUGCGGCCCAAUUUUUGCGGCAUUAGCCUAUUAUUUCAUUUUCCUUGAUAUUCUUAUCAAUUGCACCCGUACACUCUGGUACGCCUUAAUUCGCCAGGGGCUUCAUUACGCCCCAUAAUACGGCAACAAAGUCCGAACACUUUUUUACAGUAUAGUUCGGCACCCCGAACUUCAGCAUUAUAUGCAUCGGCUCCGAAUCAUGUCUUUGGUCAAUAGUUGGGUUGCCCGACUCCUGUGCUUACUACCUUACGUUCCGCUAUAUCGGCUAGGGUAGUAAAGGGAGAACUACUGCGAUUGUGUCCUAGUUUAUCUGGAUGAGCACCUCAGUAGAGAAAGCCGAAAACUGACUGUCAUGAUGUGGCGUGAGCCGGUCAGCUGUUCGAGAGGUUACAAAUAUUUUGCGAUUUUUUUCUGCAUUAUGCGAUGAAUCGGUUUUUAUCCGAUCAGGUGUUUACAGUACCCCAAGUUCAGACUUACGAAUACUAGGGGUUGCGCCUAAAUUUCUUUUGUCAAACUUCUAUGGAUGAGUGAGAGUGAUAAAGCCACAUACUCCGAUUGCCUGGUUCGUUGCGCUAAACACCCCCUUCAAGGACUAAACCUUUGGAUAAAGAGUGUUUAGAUUCAUCCCGGACACCCCCGUACUUCCUAUGUGGGGGCUGAAGCCGACGACUGGCCAACUCUCAGAUUUAACAAAACGGCCGCAUAGGAGGUAAAAUUUCAAAUAACAUGCAUUAUACAGGAAGGGACAAUAUGAAUGACUUCAUUCAAAGAUAAUGUCUUUUGAACACUGCCUCUCUACAAUGCGGGAUCCCUUCAAGACAUCUUCAAAAUACCGCUCGGGCGUGCGGUGCUCCUUGCCCGCGGGCGGUCCCUUGGUCGCAAGCUUCACGAUCGCCCACUGUAUCUUGACUUGGGCGAAGGCUAUUCACGCACCUUCAAUGUAGACCAAUCGCUUGAUGGCAUCAUGCCAAGGGCAGGCAUUAACCAGCCUCUUUACGAGCCCAAAGUAGUUGCUGGGUAUGGCUUCGGCAGGCCAUAGCCAGAUUAUUAAAUCCUUCAUGGCUAGUUCAGCCACCCUAUGCAGUUCGACCAGCUGUUUUAGCUGAUUGCUAAAGGGCACCGGAUGUUCUGGCGCAAGGUAUUGCGACCAAAACAGCUUCUCCAUGGAGCUCUCCUCUUCGGCUUGGAAGAACUCUGCAGUGUUUGAAACACUGCACGGAAGAUCCGCAAACGCCCCUGGAGAACUCCAAAUUCGGGUCAGUAAGAGGAACCUUUUCUACAUAUUUGCUUUGCAUAAUAAAGGCCUUACCCGCCAUGAUUUUUUCUGGCCUCCUGGACUUCCUGGAGGGCGCCCUGGGCUUCAACCCGGGCAUCGUGUGCGCUUUGGCGGGCCUUGGCAAGCUCAGACUCUUGAUCCGCAAUGUUGCGCUCCAAGGACUCACAUUUCUUCAUGGCGUCCUGGAGCUCUUGCUGGACCUCAUUAACCCUGGCCUCGUGUUUUUCACGGGCGGCUUGCUCCUUUGCCUCUCUCUCCUCGGCCUUGGCCAGCGACUUCUUGAGGGUCUCCACCUCGGUCGCCGCUCCUAAUAAAUAUCAUGGCACUUUAGUUAGCAUGAAUCAUUCAUCCUUCCUGAAUAUAGACAAGGUUAUUGCAUACCUUGAUUGUCUUCCAGCUGUUUCUUCACACAGCCGAGCUCUUCCUCGGUCCGCUCUAGACUCUGCUUCAGUCCGAAGACCUCAGUAGCAUGAGAGGUCGCAGCUAGCAACGACGCCUGUUUAUUCAUAUAGACAUGUCAGGUUAGUCUCCUGUGAAAAGUAUUUGAUCCUCUGUUCGGCUUUUCUUUCCGAACACCAGGCAGAGUCUCAGGGGCUAUUGUCUACACUAUGACAUCCUUUUUAUAAUUGUGUCGCUCGCCUCAAAAUCUGUUAGAAGGCUGGUACAGGCGUUGGUCAGUCCGCUCUUAAUGUACUGCACCCUCUCAAUCACCGUACCCACAAGGAUACGAUGUUCCUCAACAAUGGAAGCACCAUGCAACACUUCCAGCAAAUUAUCCGGUGAUUCUGGAUGGACAGAGGUCACCGGUGGAAUAGGAGCACCUCCUUCUUUCGAAAGAGGCUGCUUGCCUGAUUCCGGAGCCGUAUAGGUCUCCGCAAUUGUAUUCGGCUGGGGGCCGAAUUGGAUAUGACCCCCCCAUCGUCAGUAUCCAUGGGGAUUUGCUCUCCCAUGUGUCCGACGGCCAAGGUUUCACCCUCUGGUGCUGCCUUGACGGCCUCUUGCGUCUCUCCCUGGCCCGGGGUCCUUUGGGACAACACCUUAGUGUCAUCCAUGGCCUUGGGAGAGGAGGCCGCCGGAAGGGACCCGCUGUCCUUCACCUUCAGGUCCAGCAAAUUCCCGUUGAUGAGGAUCGCUGGAGGACAGAACGGGUCGGGCUGCAACACAUGAUUUGAAAUAUUAAAACCAUGAAGGAAAAGGGCCGGAUAUAUGAGUGCAUCUUCGAGUACUUACGAUUCGGCCAGGGGCUUAUCCCUGGGGCGCCAGUCUGAGCUGCUGUCGGAGUCCGCUGUGGAGUUGUCCGGGAGGGAAGCUUUCCCCUUCUUGGAUGUUUCGGCCUCCAGACGCGUGGAGGCCGUCCUUUUCUUCCUUCGCCCCCUCAGGGGGGAAUGACUUUCUUCUUCUUCCUCCUCUUCCUCGUCGUCCUUGGUGGCGGAGGAAUGAUUCUCGGCGUCUCCGGACGUCACGUCCGAAGUUCCCUUAUGACAGAGACCACCUCUGGUCUCCUUGGCCUUCUUCUUGGCCUUCUUCUCUGGUGCCUGAUAGGGCGCCGGAACCAGCAUCUUCGUCAUACGUGGGAUUGCUGGGUCUUCGGGCAGCGGAGCCGGACAGUGAAUCCGCUCCACCUUCUUUGUCCAACCCUGAGAGAAACAGUAGGGAGACUUAGGCGUCUUCCUCGAGUAUGCAAGUAAAGGAUACACCUUGAAAACAUGAAAAAACUUACCGGACUAGUGGGAUGGGCCAAGUCGUGCCCAUGAUCCUCGGCCGUAUCCAGCCACGUCUUGUUGGGCUUAAAAAGCACCUUCUAGAUGUCUUCGUGCGUAGUGCCGAAGAACUACAGCAAGGUCUGGUGCUUGGCCGGAUCAUACUCCCACAAAUGGCAAGUCCGACUUUGACACGGAAGGAUCCGGCGAAUAAGCAUCACCUAGAUCACAUUGACGAGAUUGAUACUCUUGUCUGUCAUGCUCCUGAUGCACGUCUGAAGUGCUGUCAUCUCGUCCGAUGAAGACCGGUCCAGGCCCUUCUAUAGCCAGGAGGUGAGCCACAUUGGGGCUCCGGACUGGAAUUCAGGAGCCGCAGCCCAGGUGGUGUCACGCGGCUCUGUCACGUAGAACCACUGCUAUUGCCACUCUUUGACGGUCUCCACGAAGGUACCUAUUUGCCAUGUGACGUUGGGCAUCUUGCUCACCAUGGCACCUCCGCACUCCACGUGUUGACUGCCCACGACCUUCGCCUUCACAUUGAAGAUCUUUAACCAUAAUUCGAAGUGGGGUGGGAUGCGGAGGAAGGCCUCGCACACGACAAUGAAUGCUGAGAUGUUGAGGAAGGAGUUGGGGGCAAGAUCUUGGAAAUCCAGCCCAUAGUAGAACAUGAGUCCGUAGAUGAAUGGGUGAAGAGGAAAUCCCAACCCGCGGACGAAGUGGGAGAUGAAUACUACCCUCUCAUGGGGCUCCGGUGUGGGGAUGAUCUGUCCCUUGGCCGGAAGCCGGUGGGCGAUUUCCUUGGCCAAAUACCCAGCCUCCCGGAGCUUCAUAAUGUCCUUCUCCUUGACGGCGGAGGCCAUCCACUUGCACUGUGCUCCGGAUCCAGACAUGGUUGGAGUGCUUUCUUGGGGUGGAAAAGAUGAGAACUUGGGUGCUGGAGCUCGAGAAUGGGGGAGGUAGAGAAGAGAGAAGGCGUGGGUGAAAGGGGUGAAUCCUUAUCUUUUUAUAAAGGCAGUGAAUCUCAAGUGCCUCCACACUCGCCCUAAAAACUCGCCUAUUCCCAAGGGUCGUGCAAACAAUACGGUGGGAUUACCCAUGCCCGUAUUGAUGAAAAUCCCGCAAUAAGGGUACACGAUCUCUGCUUUGACAAGACGUGCCAAUGAAACCGCAUCUCGCAAUAUGGAGCGGCAGGCUAAAAAUGGUUCGAAAUAAUGGCCGGGUGGCGACGUGAUGUCACACUACAAAAAGUUGCCAGCGGAUUGGACUUGUGAAAUAUUAUACUCUCUAUGGUUGUGUGUGGAAUUUGUUUUGCAGAGUAGAAUUUGUUUUGAGUAUUCGGAGAAGCAACCCGCCUUGCAAUGCCAAAGACAAUCUACGUGCCAGACACCUUGUCACUUAAGCCUGGUUCAGGGGCUACUGAGGGAGUCCUGGAUUAAAGGGUCCUCGGACAGCCGAACUAUGUAACGUGGGCCAAACUGUUGGGCCAUGAAGAUACAAGACAAAAGACUCUCUUCUGUGUCCGGAUAGGACCCUCCUUGGCGUGGAAGGCAAGCUUGGCGCCCGGAUAUGAAGAUUCCUUUCUCUGUAACCGGCUUUGUACAACCCUAGUCCCCUCCGGUGUCUAUAUAAACCGGAGGGCUUAGUCCAUAGAGGCAAUCAUAAUCAUACAGACUAGACUUCUAGGGUUUUAGCCAUUACGAUCUCGUGGUAGAUCAAAUCUUUUAAUAAUCAUAUUCAUCAAGAUCAAUCAAGCAGGAAGUAGGGUAUUACCUCCAUAGAGAGGGCCUGAACCUGGGUAAACAUUGUGUCCCCCGCCUCCUGUUACCAUCAACCUUAGACGCACAGUUUGGGACCCCCUGAUGACCCACAAGUGUAGGGGAUCUAUCGUAGUCCUUUCGAUAAGUAAGAGUGUCAAACCCAACGAGGAGCAGAAGGAAAUGACAAGCGGUUUUCAGUAAGGUUUUCUCUGCAAGCACUGAAAUUGUAGGUAACAGAUAGUUUUGUGAUAAGAUAAAUUGUAACGAGUAACAAGCAAUGAAAGUAAAUAAAGUGCAGCAAGGUGGCCCAAUCCUUUUUGUAGCAAAGGACAAGCCUGGGCAAUUUCUUAUAAUGAGAAAAGAGCUCCCGAGGACACAUGGGAAUUAUCGUCAAGCCAGUUUUCAUCACACUCAUAUGAUUCAUGUUCGGUACUUUGAUAAUUUGAUAUGUGGGUGGACCGGUGCUUGGGUACUGCCCUUACUUGGACAAGCAACCCACUUAUGAUUAACCUCUAUUGCAAGCAUCCGCUACUACAAAAUAAGUAUUAAGGUAAACCUAACCACAACAUUGGACAUAUGGAUCCAAAUCAGCCCCUUACGAAGCAACGCAUAAACUAGCGUUUAAGCUUCUGUCACUCUAGCAACCCAUUAUCUACUUAUUACUUCCCAAUGCCUUCCUCUAGGCCCAAAUAAUGGUGAAGUGUCAUGUAGUCGACGUUCACAUAACACCAGUAGAGGGGAGACAACAUACAUUUCAUCAAAAAAUUGAACGAAUACCAAAUUCACAUGACUACUAAUAGCAAUACAUCACCCAUGUUCUCAGGAACAAACUUAACUACUCACAAAGCAUAUUCAUGUUCAUAAUCAGAGGAGUAAUAAUAUGCACUAAGGAUCUGAACAUAUGAUCUUCCACCAAAUAAACCAAUUAGCAUCAACUACAAGGAGUAAUCAACACUACUAGCAACCCACAUGUACCAAUUUGUGGUUUUGGAUACAAGAUUGGAUACAAGAGAUGAACUAGGGUUUGUGAGGAGAUGGUGCUGGUGAAGAUGUUGAUGGAGAUUGACCCCCUCCCGAUGAGAGGAUCGUUAGUGAUGACGAUGGUGAUGAUUUCCCCCUCCCGGAGGGAAGUUUCCCCGGCAGAACAGCUCUGCCGGAGCCCUAGAUUGGUUCCGCCAAGGUUCCACUUCGUGGCGGCGGAGUUUCAUCCCGUAAGCUUGACUCUGAUUUUUUCCAGGGUGAAAGCCUUCAUAUAGCAGAAGAUGGGUGUCGUUGUCAAAACCAGCGGAUCUCGGGUAGGGGGUCCCAAACUGUGCGUCUAAGGCUAAUGGUAACAGGAGACUGGGGACACGAAGUUUACCCAGGUUCGGGCCCUCUCGAUGGAGGUAAUACCCUACUUCCUGCUUGAUUGAUCUUGAUGAUAUGAGUAUUACAAGAGUUGAUCUACCACAAGAUCAGAGAGGCUAAACCCUAGAAGCUAGCCUAUGGUAUGCUUGUUGUUGUGUCCUAUGGACUAAACCCUCCGGUUUAUAUAGACACCGGAGGGGGCUAGGGUUACACAGGGUCGGUUUAUAGAGGAGGAGAUCUACAUCCGAAUCGCCAAGCUUGCCUUCCACGCCAAGGAGAGUCCCAUCCGGACAUGGGGCGGAGUCUUCUGUCUUGUAUCUUCAUAGUCCAACAGCCCGGCCAAAGCAUAUAGUACGGCUGUCCGGAUACCCCCUUAUCCAGGACUCCCUCAGUAGCCCCCGAACCAGGCUUCAAUGACGAUGAGUCCGGCGCGCAGAUUGUCUUCGGCAUUGCAAGGCAGGUUCUUCUCCAAAUCCGGUGCACCUGUCGUAGCGAAUAGUGUCUGGCCUCCCAGUAAGGUUGUACUCCUCGGUUUCUAUGCUUCAAUAAUGGCCACCUCCAUGUGUCGAUCGAAGACGAGGGUCCGGGGCAUUUUUUGCAUUUGCCACCCUAAUCCCGUAGGUGAGCCGUCUAUUUGAGGAGACGGGGAUCUUCAGAUCCAAAUCACGCCAUCUUCCCCCAAGCAAGCAUUCCACAGAGCGCGCCCAAAAGAGGCCAUCCCAUCAUGACCGGUCACCGCAGCCCUGCUCGCCGGUCCCCCAGCUCGAAGCCAGGGGAUUGGGAAAAGUGUUCCAUCCCUCAUAGCCACCUAAUAGACCUGCAGACCAAAGGGUUCCUUCCGCACGCAUACAUGGUCCCCGUCCGAUCCGGACUAGCCACCUAUAAUGGCGGGGAGCAAGCGGAGAGAUUCCCUAACCCAUCUCAGGGGGAGUGGGUAUGCCUGGUCCCAUAUCUGCUAAGAGGCGUCGGGUUUCCAAUCCACCCGUUCCUCCGCGGGCCCCUGGAGUUCUACGGUCUCCAGUUGCAUAAUCUUACCGCCGCCUCCAUACUGCACAUUGCGGGCUACGUUGCCCUCUGCGAGCUGUUCCUGGGCUGCGAAGCUCAUUUCGAGCUAUGUAAGAGGUUAUUUUGCCUCGUCCCCUGCAAUCAGGAGGGAUCUAUGUAUCAAGUGGGCGGAGCCAAAAUAUGGCGCAUCGCCCAGACCGGAUACCUGUCCGGUAUGCAUAAUAAGGGGAGUGCAGCCACUUCAAUAUAGGGGAAAACCCAUGUGGCACUACAAUGGAGAAGACGAUGCCUCCCACUGCGGUCGCAAAGGUCCAGACUCCACCACAUCUUUGGCGAGGAUACUAUCCGAAUUGUACAAAGGAGAAGAAGAGGAGUUCCUCCGCAUUAAACCGCGGGAUGGAUUUUCCAUGUACAACCCCCGAAGCUGGGUAAGUUGUCAUCUUUUGCUCAACUCUAUUCGUUCUUACCUUCUUUGCCACAAUUAUUUACCUUGCUGUUUCAAAACAAGAACUAAGGAAGGCCGUGAAAGAGUUCAACAGCCCCUCUCCGCAGCCAGAGGAUCCCGGCCGGGCUCUCGACCCCGGAUUUGAAGAAGAUCCGGACAUAUCCGUGGAAUUCGUCGACGGGACUUUCUAUCAAGCAAGCAGUGGCGGCUCUUUAGUGGCCAUCAUCGCGGAUUAUCCCGGACUGCUUCCCGUGUCGCAUGUAAGUAAUGUCGGGGUUCCAACCUUCCGAAAGGAUUCCUUCGCUUUGCUGUACCUUAUAAUCACAUGUCGUACUUUUAUAGAAAUGGCAGUCGGGACGCCGUGCAGAACCCGCGGGGGCCUCUCACCAAGAGGCGCUUAGACAAGGUAGGCUUAAAAGGAAGGCGGUUAGGAGCGAUACACAGGCACAGAGGUAUUCAUUAAGCUUGCCCCGUGGUUUAUUUGGUCUUUUUGUCGAGGCGUGACGGUUUUAAUUAUGUCCUGAUAGGAAACGCCGAACUGUGUCCGGGGACCCUACCGGCCACGCCUCCAGCAGCCAGAUUCCUGGAUCGUAUUCACGGGCGGAGGCUGAUGCAGGGACAGUGCCAAACUGUCCUCCUGCGAAGGAUACCGAUAUGCUUUCUGCCACAAAUUCAGAAGUGGAGAGCGCCAUGAACCACCGACACCGACGUGCCGUACCCCGCGGUGGUAUUUUUUUCGGAGAGGCGUUCAAUGCCUUCAAUUCUGGAUACACAUAUAUCUGCGCUGCUCAAGAUGGACUUGCCAGAGCAAUGGACCAGUAUGUGAAGGAUAUACGGGUAAGAGAAUUUUAAUAAGUAUGUGUAGUAGUAGCCCCUGAGACUUGAAACAGUUGGAACAACUGAUUUAAAGAUCAUUAAAUGCAUAGGUUCUUGUAGAGAAGAAUACCCAGUUGUCUCAAGAGCUGGAGGAGUGUAAGGCCCAGAUGAAGGCCAAUGUAUCCGAACAAGCAGAAUCCAAAAAGGCUUCUUCUGGUAAUAAUUACCUUCUUCCAGUUUGUGUAUUCGGCAUGGUUUGUAUAUCUGACGAAGAAUUCGGCAGACAAUCCCGGAGGAAAUCUGGAGAAUGUUGGCGAUAAUGAGCUGCAUCUGCAAAGUCAGCUGAAGGCGGGCGAACAUGUGCUCACGCAAUCCAUUCAAGAGAAGAAUAAGCUACAAGAUGCUAAUUUCUAACUGAGCAUCGAAUUGAAAGAUGUUCGGGCUCAACUCGUGGACUCUGUGAAGGAGAACCGGAGGCUUCGACGCAACAUUUAUAGUAAGUGCUUGAACGAACUGUAGUAUAUUUCGGCGAGGAGGCGUAUUAACAGUGUUAUGUCUGCAGGUAUAUUGACGGGACGCCCUGAAGAGGAGAUGCCCAGUUCCGCAGGCGAUAUGCUGCAAGAGCUUUCACAACUGCACGAACGAGCUCGACAGGUGAUGCAGGGUAUUGCCAGGCUUUGUGGCCGUCCGCUUCCGUGCCAGGAGGCAUGAGCGAACUAAUAGAGAUUCUCAAAGAAGCACGUCGGCGCUUCCGAUUAUGGAAGAUAUCAGCUUGCCGGCAAGGUGCGAGAGAAGCUUGGGCCAUGGUGAAGACGCGAUAUGCCAAGGCUGACCCAAACCAUAUGGCCGAAGUAGGACCGGCUGGGCCAGAUGGACAAGAGAUACCCGUUAGUUUGGUAUAUGAUCAAGUAGCGUUAGCUGCAAAGUAUUCCCAGCAGGACUGUAAGCUAGACAGCCUGUUGGAUGGUAUAGGGGAAGAGUACAGCCAGUCGAUAUGAUUAUGUAAUUUGAACGGGCUCAUGUACUCCCUAGCCGGAUUGAAAAUCAUUUGUCAUGGCGGACCUUUUCGCUUCAGCCCCCGGAUCCGACAGUCCGGGGUGUAUCUGAAUACCCACACAGUUAUGAAAAACCGGGGUAUGCGUGGAAACCAGGCGUAGGGGUCAUAAGUGCUUGAAUAGACAAGUACCCAACUAGUUAUGUUAUAUUACAUGGAUAGUAAGAAACAUCUUCCAGAGAGAAUAGUUCCAUUAGGGGUUCCUUUCUCUGGGUACGCAUGCGUCGAUGUGCAUGUCCGAGCUGCAAACAGAAGCACAGGAAACAAAACAUCUGGAUAUUUUAGUUGUUAUGAACGAGAACAUCUUUUGUUCACCGACCGAAUAUUCCCUUAAGAAUGCUAGCUUUCGGCUUGACCCAGUCUGAGGUACACAUCCGGCUCAACCGGCAGUAGCAAUCGCAAAGGUGCUCCCCUUAUGCCCUAGCCGAAUUAACGGGAACGUAGGGCAUAAAUACAAGAGCCAGGCAACCCAGCAUGGCCAAAACUUAAGUCAUAUUGAUGCAUAUAAUGGUUAAGAAAAGGCACAUAUAAAAAAAUGCAUAUGUGGCUGGCAAGAAGCCAUUAAAGUGGUUAUAUUUAGCUUCCGAAUAGGAAGCCCCCAGGUAUAGUGUGCACGCAUAAUGCGGCCGGAGUGCUCAGGGCAUCUUACAAUUUUAAGGCUGUAAAAAUAAGGAAAAAGGGGAGAGAAAGGAGGAAAGGGAACAUAAUUGAAGAAGCGGAGUGAAGGAGACGAACACUGGGUUAGGCGCUAGGCAUAGAAUCUCCGGAGUCUGGCCGCGUUCCAUGGGUUCGGCUCGAGUCUGUUAUCAGAUGCCCUGCGCAGACGGUACGCUCCUCCGGUGAGAACUUUAUCAAUGAUGAAGGGACCCUCCCACUUGGGUUUGAGCUUGUCCUUCUUCUUCUCAGGUAGGCGUAGAACGAGUUUGCCAAUGUUAUAACUUUUGGCCCGUACUUCUCUGCUUUGAUACCUUUGAGCAUGUUGCUGAUAGAAUGCAGAAUGGGCUUUAGCGACAUCACGCUCCUCCUCCAAAGCAUCUAAGUUGUCCUGCCGGUCUAGCUCGGCUUCCUUCUCUUCAUACAGGCGCACGCGAGGUGAGUCAUGAAUUAUGUCGCAGGGCAGCACUACUUCUGCGCCGUACACCAUAAAAAAUGGUGUGUACCCGGUGGUGCGAUUCGGCAUGGUCCGCAGCCCCCAGAGUACGGAGUCGAGUUCCUCGACCAAUUGCGUGUCUGAUUCCUUCAAGGAUCGCACUAGUCUGGGUUUGAUGCCGCUCAUAAUAAGACCAUUUGCACGUUCGACUUAACCAUUUGUUUGGGGGUGAUAGACAGAGGCGUAGUCGAGCUUAAUGCCCAUUUUGCCGCACCAGGCUUUUACCUCUUCGGCUGUAAAAUUCGAGCCAUUGUCAGUGAUGAUACUGUGGGGGACACCGUAGCGGUGUACAACCUCUGAUAUGAAGUCUAUCACUGGUCCGGAUUCGGCCGUUUUAACUGGUUUGGCUUCUAUCCAUUUGGUGAACUUGUCCACCAUGGCCAAUAAGUAUUUUUUCUUAUGGCUUCCUCCUUUAAGGGGUCCCACCAUAUCCAGCCCCCAGACCACGAAGGGCCAAGUUAUGGGGAUCGUUUGGAGAGCGGUAGGGGGCAUAUGGCUCUGAUUGGUGAAUAGUUGACAACCAACACAAUGUUGGACGAGGUCCUGUGCGUCUGCCCGGACUGUCGGCCAGUAGAAUCCUGUCCGAAAGGCCUUGCUCACGAGAUCUCGGGCUGCCGCGUGGUGCUCGCCUAGUCCGGAAUGGAUUUCGGCUAAGAGCUGCCGCCCUUCCUCUUCGGAGAUGCAUCGUUGGAGCACUCUGGUGGCGCUCUUCUUGUAGAGCUCACCUUCAUGGGCUUUGUAGGCUUUAGAGCGUCGCAAUACAACGUGCCUCAUUUUGGUCCUCGGGGAGCUCUUGCCUAUUAAGGUAGGCCAAGAAGGGCUCGGUCCACGGGGCGAUGACAGCCAUUAUUUCGUGGGCCGUGAUACGUCUCCAACGUAUCUAUAAUUUUUGAUUGCUCCAUGCUACUUUAUCUACUGAUUUAGGCAAUAUUGGGCUUUAUUAUCCACUUUUAUAUUAUUUUUGGGACUAACCUAUUAACCGGAGGCCCAGCCCAGAUUUGCUGUUUUAUGCCUAUUUCAGUGUUUCGAGGAAAAGGAAUAUCAGAUGGAGUCAAAAGGGAACGAAAUCAACUAGAGAAGUUAUUGUUGGAAGGAAAGCCACCGGAUAGACUUGGACUCUACGUCAGAAGAUACGGGAGCCGACCACGAGGGUGGGGGGCACGCCCACCCCCUAGGGCGCGCCCCCUGCCUUGUGGGGCCCCUGAAGCUCCACCGAUGUACCCCUUGCACCCAUAUAUACCUACGUACCCUAAAACUUCCAGAACAGAAGAUAGAUCGGGAGUUCCGCCGUCGCAAGCCUCUGUAGCCACCAAAAACCUCUCGGGAGCCGUUCCCGGCACCCUGUCGGAGGGGGGAUCCUUCACCGGUGGCCAUCUUCAUCAUCCCGGCGCUCUCCAUGACGAGGAGGGAGUAGUUCACCCUCGGGGCUGAGGGUAUGUACCAGUAGCUAUGUGUUUGAUCUCUCUCUCUCUCGUGUUCUCUCUCGUGUUCCCUCUAUGGCACGAUCUUGAUGUAUCCCGAGCUUUGCUAUUGUAGUUGGGUCUUAUGAUGUUUCUCCCCCUCUACUCUCUUGUGAUGAAUUGAGUUUUCCCUUUGAAGUUAUCUUAUCGGAUUGGUCUUUUAUGAGAACACUUGAUGUAUGUAUUGCCGUGCUUAUCUGUGGUGACAAUGGGAUAUCAUGUGCCUCUUGAUGUAUGUUUUGGUGAUCAACUUGCGGGUUUCGUGACAUUGGGAACCUAUGCAUAGGGGUUGGCACACGUUCUUGACUCUCCGGUAGUAGCUUUGGGGCACUCUUUGAAGUACUUUUAUGUUGGUUGGAUGAAUCUGAGAUUGUGUGAUGCAUAUCGUAUAAUCAUGCCCAUGGAUACUUGAGGUGACAAUGGAGUAUCUAGGUGACAUUAGGGUUUUGGUUGAUUUGUGUCUUAAGGUGUUAUUCUAGUACGAACUCUUUUAUAGAUCGAUCCGAAAGAAUAACUUUGAGGUGGUUUCGUACCCUACCAUAAUCUCUUCGUUCGUUCUCUGCUAUUAGUGGCUUUGGCGUGACUCUUUGUUCCAUGUUGACGGCUUGUUAUAUGAUCUAUCUAUGUUAUUAUUGUUGAGAGAACUUGCACUAGUGAAAGUAUGAACCCUAGGCCUUGUUUCCUAUCAUUGCAAUACCGUUUACGCUCAGUUUUUUUACUUGCUACCUUGCUGUUUUUAUAAUUUCAGAUUACAAAUACCUUUAUCCACUAUCUAUUUUGCACUUGUAUCACCAUCUCUUCGCCGAACUAGUGCACCUAUACAAUUUACCAUUGUAUUGGGUGUGUUGGGGACACAAGAGACUCUUUGUUAUUUGGUUGCAGGGUUGUUUGAGAGAGACCAUCUUCAUCGUAUGCCUCCUACGGAUUGAUAAACCUUAGGUCAUCCACUUGAGGGAAAUUUGCUACUGUCCUACAAACCUGUGCACUUGCAGGCCCGACAACGUCUACAAGAAGAAGGUUGUGUAGUAGACAUCAAGCUCUUUUCUGGCGCCGUUGCCGGGGAGGUUAGCGCUUGAAGGUAUAUCUUUUGAUCUUGCAAUCGAAUCUUUUUGUUUCUUGUUUUAUCACUAGUUUAGUUUAUAAAAGAAAACCAAAAAAAAUGGAGUUAAGUUUGUCUCAUACGUUUCAUCUUUUUAAUAUCUUUCGUGAGAAUGAUGGAAAGGAAAAUUGUGCUCAAGUGCUAGAAGAAGAAUUACAUAGAAUGCUUGGCAGAAAAUAUGUGAAUGAUGAGCAUGAUUGCAAUGUUGUUAGUAUGAAUUCCCUGAAUACCCAUGAUGCUAAUGAUAUGCAAAGCCACAAGCUUGUGGAAGCUAUGUUUGAUGGAGAUGAUAUUUUUUGUCCCCCAAGCUUUGAUGAGCAAAUUUACUAUGAUGAAAGCAUGCCUCCUAUCUAUGAUGAUUAUUGUGAUGACACUUAUCCUUUAAAGAAUAAUGAUAACCAUGAAACGUGUCAUCUUGAUCUUAAUUUUCAAUCACAUGAUAGUUAUUUUGUUGAGUUUGCUCCCACUACUAUUCAUGAGAAGAAAUUUGCUUAUGUUGAGAGUAGUAAAUUUUCUAUGUUUGUAGAUCAUUAAAAGAGUUCUUUAGGUGCUGGUUAUAUUGUUGAAUUCAUUCAUGAUGCUACUAAAAAUUAUUAUGAGAGAGGAACAUAUGCUUGUAGGAAUUGCAAUAAUAUCAAGUUUCAUCCCUAUGUGCUUAAAGUUUCGAAGCUAUGCUUGUUUUACCUCCCUAUGCUAGUUGAUUAUUGUUCCCAUAAGUUGUUUGCUCACAAAAUCCCUAUGCAUAGGAAGUGGGUUAGGCUUAAAUGUUCUAGUCAUAUGCUUCAUGAUGCUCCCGUUAUGUUUCAAUUCUUAUCUUUUAUGUGAGCAUCAUUGCCAUCAUCAUGCCUAGCUAGAAAGGCAUUAAAGAAAAGUGCUUGUUGGGAGACAACCCAAUAUUUACCCUUACUGUUUUUGUGCGUCCACAUGAUUAUGCUACUGUAGUAAUCAUGUUUUAUAGCUUUUGUUUCAAUAAAAUGCCAAGUAGAACCUUUGGGAAGACUUGGGUGAAGUUUAUGUGAUCUUGCUGUGAAAAAUAGAAACUUUAGCACUCACGAGAUUAGCUGCCAUUGUUUACUGGAGAGUGCUUUUAGGUUGAUUCUUUUUGCAGAUGAUUAAUAGACAAAUUUCUCAGGUCCAGGAAAUUAUUUCAUAAUUUUUGGGGUUCCAGAAGUAUACGUUUUAUACAGAUUACUACAAACUUAUCUGUUUUUGACAGAAUCUGUUUUCAUUGUGUUGUUUGCUUAUUUUGAUGCAUCUAUUGCUAGUAUUAAGUGGUAUGAACCAUGGAGAAGUUAGAAUACAGUAGAUAUUACACCAAUAUGAAUUUAGAAUGAGUUCAUUACAGUACCUAAGUGGUGGUUUUAUUUUCUUAUACUAACGGAGCUUACGAGUUUUGUUUUGAGUUUUGUGUGGUUGAAGUUUUCAAGUUUUGGGUAAAGAUUCGAUGGACUAUAGAAUAAGGAGUGGCAAGAGCCUAAGCUUGGGGAUUCCCAAGGCACCCCAAGGUAAUAUUCAAGGACAACCAAGAGCCUAAGCUUGGGGAUGCCCAGGAUGGCAUCCCCUCUUUCGUCUUCGUUCAUCGGUAACUUUGCUUGGAGCUAUAUUUUAUUCGCCACAUGAUAUGUGUUUUGCUUGGAGCGUCAUUUUAUUUUGUUAGGUUUUGCUUGCUGUUAGUUAGAAUAAUGUUUUGCAUCUUUAGUUUCAAUAAAAAAGUCAAGGAUAGCCUUUGCCAUGCUUAUUUUGCUAGUAUACAUGUUGCUGUUUGAAAACAGAAAGUUUACCGCUGUUGCAAAAAUUCCCUAGAAAAGUCAGAGAAUGUUAUAACGUUGAAUCUUUUUGCAUAUUAAGGUCUGAUAAAUUUAUUACAGUGGGAAUUUUAGUUCAUAAUUGUUGGAGUCAGGGAAGUAUUGAUACUCUUGCAUUCUUUACAGACUGUACUGUUUUGGUAGAUUGCUGUUAUGGUUGCAUUGUUUGCAUAUGUUUGCUUGUUUAAUGAUUCUAUUUGAGGAUAGGAAUAUUAAAUAUACAGAGGCAUUUAGUAUGCAAUGUUGAAUAAUAAUUUUAGUGAUUUGUUACAGUAUAAAAUGAUAAUGUUUUGCAUUGGUUUAUACUAACCUAUCUCACGAGUUCUUGUUGAGUUUGUUGUGAAUGAAGCUUUUGAUAAAAAGAGAAACCAUGAUAAGAGAGGAAUUAAGGAGACACAGAAGUUCAAGCUUGGGGAUGCCCAAGGCACCCCAAGAUAAUAUUUCAAGAAGUCUCAAGCAUCUAAGCUUGGGGAUGCCCCGGUAGGCAUCCCACCUUUCUUCUUCAACAACUAUCGGUUAGUAUCGGUUGAGCCUAAGUUUUUGCUUCUUCACAUGAGUUGUGCUAUCCUUGCAAUGUCAUUUUAUUUUGUUCUUCUUGCUGCUUGAAUACAAUACCAAGAUCUGAAAUUCUUAAAUGAGAGAGAGUCUUCGCAUAGUUGCAUAAUUAUUUGACUACUCAUUGAUCUUCACUUAUAUCUUUCAGAGUAGUUUGUCAUUUGCUCUAGUACUUCACUUAUAUCUUUUAGAGCACAAUGGUGGUUUUAUUUUGAAGAAAUAGAUGAACUCUAAUGCUUCACUUAUAUUAUUUUGAGAGUCUUUAAUAGCAUGGUAAUUUACUUAACAUUAAUAUACUUGGUAUUCAAGAUAUGUGAAACUUUCUUUUGAGUGCGUUGAAUACUAAGAUAAGUUUGAUGCUUGAUAAUUGUUUUGAGAUAUGGAGGUGAUAAUAUCAAAGUGAUGCUUGUUGGGUGAUUAUGAAUUUAAAGAAUGCUUGUGUUGAAGUUUGUGAUUCUCGUAGCAUGCACGUAUGGUGAACCGCUUUGUGAUAAAGUUGGAGCACAAUUUUAUUUAUUGAUUGUCUUCCUUAUGAGUGGCGGUCGGGGACGAGCGACGGUCUUUUCCUACCAAUAUAUCCCCCUAGGAGCAUGUGCGUAAUACUUUGCUUUGAUAACUUGUAGAUUUUUGCAAUAAGUAUAUGAGUUCUUUAUGACUAAUGUUGAGUCCAUGGAUUAUACGCACUUUUUCCCAUCCUUCCACCAUUGCUAGCCUUUCUAAUACCGCACACCUUUCGCCGGUAUCAUACAUCCACCAUAUACCUUCCUCAAAACAGCCACCAUACCUACCUAUCAUGGCAUUUCCAUAGCCAUUCCGAGAUAUAUUGCCAUGCAACUUUCCACCGUCCCGUUUAUUAUGACACGCUCCAUCAUUGUCAUAUUGCUUUGCAUGAUCAUGUAGUUGACAUCGUAUUUGUGGCAAAGCCACCCUUCAUAAUUUUCAUACAUGUCGCUCAUGAUUCAUUGCAUAUCCCGGUACACCGCCGGAGGCAUUCAUAUAGAGUCAUAUUUUGUUCUAAGUAUCGAGUUGUAAUUGUUGAGUUGUAAGAAAAAUAAAAGUGUGAUGAUCAUCAUUAUUAGAGCAUUGUGCCAUGAGGAAAGGAUGAUGGAGACUAUGAUUCCCCCAUAAGUCGGGAUGAGACUCCGGACGAAAAAUAAAAAAAAGAGAAAAAAAGAGGCCAUAAAAAAAGGGAGAAAAGGCCCAAACAAAAAAAAUGAGAGAAAAAGAGAGAAGGGAGACAAUGCUACUAUCCUUUUACCACACUUGUGCUUCAAAGUAGCACCAUGAUCUUCAUAAUAGAGAGUCUCAUAUGUUGUCACUUUCAUAUACUAGUGGGAAUUUUUCAUUAUAGAACUUGGCUUGUAUAUUCCAAUGAUGGGCUUCCUCAAAAGUGCCCUAGGUCUUCGUGAGCAAGCAAGUUGGAUGCACACCCACUUAGUUUCUUUUGUUGAGCUUUCAUAUAUUUAUAACUCUAGUGCAUCCGUUGCAUGGCAAUCCCUACUCACUCACAUUGAUAUCUAUUAAUGGGCAUCUCCAUAGCCCGUUGAUACGCCUAGUUGAUGUGAGACUAUCUUCUCCUUUUUUGUCUUCUCCACAACCACCAUUCUAUUCCACAUAUAGUGCUAUAUCCAUGGCUCACGCUCAUGUAUUGCGUGAAGAUUGAAAAAGUUUGAGAAUGUCAAAAGUAUGAAACAAUUGCUUGGCUUGUCAUCGGAGUUGUGCAUGAUUUAAAUAUUUUGUGUGGGGAAGAUGGAGCAUAGCCAGACUAUAUGAUUUUGUAGGGAUAACUUUCUUUGGCCAUGUUAUUUUGAGAAGACAUAAUUGCUUAGUUAGUAUGCUUGAAGUAUUAUUAUUUUUAUGUCAAUAUGAACUUUUGUCUUGAAUCUUUCGGAUCUGAAUAUUCAUACCACGAUUAAGAAGAUUUACAUUGAAAUUAUGCCAAAGUAUCACUCUGCAUAAAAAAUUCUCUUUUUAUCAUUUACCUACUCGAGGACGAGCAGGAAUUAAGCUUGGGGAUGCUUCAUACGUCUCCAAUGUAUCUAUAAUUUUUGAUUGCUCCAUGCUACUUUAUCUACUGUUUUAGGCAAUAUUGGGCUUUAUUAUCCACUUUUAUAUUAUUUUUGUGACUAACCUAUUAACCGGAGGCCUAGCCCAGAUUUGCUGUUUUAUGCCUAUUUCAGUGUUUCGAGGAAAAGGAAUAUCAGACGGAGUCAAAAGGGAAUGAAAUCAACUAGAGAAAUUAUUUUUGGAAGGAAAGCAUCGGAUAGACUUGGACUCUACGUCAGAAGAUACGGGAGCUGGCCAAGAGGGUGGGGGGCGCGCCACCCCCUAGGGUGUGCCCCCUGCCUCGUGGCCCCCCUGAAGCUCCACCGACGUACCCCUUGCACCCAUAUAUACCUACGUACCCUAAAAUUUCCAGAACAGAAGAUAGAUCGGGAGUUCCGCCUCCGCAAGCCUCUAUAGCCAAUAAAAACCUCUCAGGAGCCCUUCCCGGCACCCUGUCGGAGGGGGGAUCCUUCACCGGUGGCCAUCUUCAUCAUCUCGGCACUCUCAUGACGAGGAGGGAGUAGUUCACCCUCGGGGCUGAGGGUAUGUACCAGUAGCUAUGUGUUUGAUCUCUCUCUCUCGUGUUCUCUCUCGUGUUCCCUCUAUGGCACGAUCUUGAUGUAUCCCGAGCUUUGCUAUUGUAGUUGGAUCUUAUGAUGUUUCUCCCCCUCUACUCUCUUGUGAUGAAUUGAGUUUUCCCCUUUGAAGUUAUCUUAUCGGAUUGAGUCUUUUAUGAGAACAAUUGAUGUAUGUCUUGCCGUGCUUAUCUGUGGUGACAAUGGGAUAUCAUGUGCCUCUUGAUGUAUGUUUUGGUGAUCAACUUGCGGGUUUCGUGACAUUGGGAACCUAUGCAUAGGGGUUGGCACACAUUCUUGACUCUCCGGUAGUAGCUUUGGGGCACUCUUUGAAGUACUUUUAUGUUGGUUGGAUGAAUCUGAGAUUGUGUGACGCAUAUCGUAUAAUCAUGCCCACGGAUACUUGAGGUGACAAUGGAGUAUCUAGGUGACAUUAGGGUUUUGGUUGAUUUGUGUCUUAAGGUGUUAUUCUAGUACAAACUCUUUUAUAGAUCGAUCCGAAAGAAUAACUUUGAGGUGGUUUCGUACCCUACCAUAAUCUCUUUGUUCGUUCUCUGCUAUUAGUGGCUUUGGAGUGACUCUUUGUUGCAUGUUGAGGGCUUGUUAUAUGAUCUAUCUAUGUUAUUAUUGUUGAGAGAACUUGCACUAGUGAAAGUAUGAACCCUAGGCCUUGUUUCCUAUCAUUGCAAUACCAUUUACGCUCAGUUUUUUUACUUGCUACCUUGCUGUUUUUAUAAUUUCAGAUUACAAAUACCUUUAUCUACUAUCUAUUUUGCACUUGUAUCACCAUCUCUUCGCCGAACUAGUGCACCUAUACAAUUUACCAUUGUAUUGGGUGUGUUGGGGACACAAGAGACUCUUUGUUAUUUGGUUGCAGGGUUGUUUGAGAGAGACCAUCUUCAUCCUAUGCCUCCUACGGAUUGAUAAACCUUAGGUCAUCCACUUGAGGGAAAUUUGCUACUAUCCUACAAACCUGUGCACUUGCAGGCCCAGCAACGUGUACAAGAAGAAGGUUGUGUAGUAGACAUUAGGCCGAAGAUGUUAUUUCGGUGGCAGAGCCUCCGAUUAUGUCAGAAGGUUCAGAAUCUGGGGUUGUGUUCGAAGCCGAACUAAUAAUGACGGACUCCCCUUCCCAUGCCACGGACGGCUUGAACAACCUUUCUAAGAAGAUAUUAGGUGGGACGGGGUCGCGUCUAGCGCCGAUGCGGGCGAGGAUAUCGGCCGCUUGGUUAUUUUCUCUGACCACAUGGUGGAAUUCGAGCCCCUCGAACCGAGCUGACAUUUUGAGGACGGCAUUGCGAUAAGCCGCCAUUUUCGGGUCCCUGGCGUCAAAGUCACCAUUUACCUGAGAUAUUGCGAGGUUCGAGUCCCCACGCACUUCGAGGCGUUUAAUGCCCAUGGAGACUGCCAUCCGAAGACCAUGCAAUAGAGCCUCGUAUUUAGCUGCAUUGUUGGAGUUUGUGUAUAAUAUUUGGAGGACGUACUGCACCAUGUCUCCGGUGGGGGAUGUCAGGACGACACCUGCUCCCAAUCCGGCCAGCAUUUUAGAGCCGUCAAAAUGCAUGAUCCAAUUUGAGUAUGCGCCGUACUCUUUAGGGAGUUCGGCCUCUGUCCAUUCGGCGAUGAAGUCUGCCAGUACUUGCGACUUAAUGGCCCGCCGUGGUUUGUAUGUUAUGUCAAACGGUAGGAGCUCAAUAGCCCAUUUAGCAAUCCGGCCUGUUGCGUCGCAGUUAUUUAUUAUGUCAUUGAGUGGUACUUCGGAGGCCACCGUGAUCGAACACUCUUGAAAGUAGUGUCGUAGUUUCCGGGAUGCCAUGAAGACCGCAUACGCUAUCUUUUGAUAGUGCGGGUACCGAGAUUUGCAUGGAGUGAGGACAGUGGACAUGUAAUAUACCGGCUUUUGGAGCGGCAACUUGUGUCCAUUUGCCUCUCGUUCGACGAUGAGCACUGCGCUCACAACUUGGUUUGUUGCGGCUAUGUAUAAUAGCAUGGGUUCGCCAAUGUUUGGCGCGGUCAGGACUGGGUUGGUGGCCAAGAGUGCCUUUAUUUCUUUCAGUCCGGCCGUGGACGCAUCCGUCAACUUGAAGUGUUCAGUGCGUUGAAGAAGGCGAUACAGGGGUAGUGCCUUUUCUCCUAAGCGGGAGAUGAAGCGGCUUAAGGCAGCCACACAUCCAGUUAGUUUAUGGAUCUGCUUGAGGUCUGUUGGGAUAGCCAACUGUGACAGAGCUCGGAUUUUUGCUGGAUUGGCUUCAAUUCCUCUAUUGGAAACGAUGAAGCCGAGCAAUUUUCCGGAGGGCACUCCGAAGACACACUUCUUCGGGUUGAGCUUGAUGUCGUAUGUUCGGAGAUUAUCGAACAUAAGCCUCAAGUCAUCUAUUAAAGUUUCGACGUGUCUUGUUUUGAUGACCACGUCGUCUACGUAGGCUUCUACUGUCUUGCCGGUUUGUUUUUCCAGGCAUGUCUGAAUCAUGCGUUGAUAGGUUGCGCCGGCGUUUUUGAGCCCGAAGGGCAUGGUGUUGAAACAGAAGGGGCUGUACGGAGUGAUGAAGGCCGUUGCGGCCUGGUCGGACUCCGCCAUCUUUAUUUGAUGGUAUCCGGAGUAUGCGUCGAGGAAACACAAUGAGUCGUGUCCUGCGGUGGCAUCGAUUAUUUGAUCAAUGUGGGGGAGGGGGAAGGGAUCCUUAGGGAAAGAUUUAUUGAGGUCUUUGAAAUCGACACACAAGCGCCAGGAUUUGUCCUUUUUUGGUACCAUUACCAAGUUUUCUAGCCAAUCCGGAUGUUUGAUGUCUCUGAUAAAUCCGGCCUCGAGUAGCUUGGCUAGCUCUUCCCCCAUGGCUUGCCGCUUAGGCUCUGAGAAGCAUCUAAGAGUCUGCUUGACUGGCUUGUAUCCUUUUAGUAUAUUGAGGCUGUGUUCGGCCAGCCUGCGUGGGAUGCCCGGCAUGUCUGAAGGAUGCCAGGCGAAAAUAUCCCAAUUUUCACGCAGGAAGUCUCGCAGUGCGGCAUCUAUUGUGGGGUUCAUCUGUGUACCGAUGGAAGCUUUCUUCGAAGGGUCCAUUGGGUGGACCUGGAAUUUGACUAUCUCGUCCGCUGGUUUGAAGGUGGUGGAUUUAGGUCGCUUGUCGAGUAUCACGUCAUCUCUGUCCACUGUUGCUCGUAGUGUUGUCAGUUCUUUGGCUGCGAGGGCUUCUGAUAAUGCCUCCAGGGCGAGGGCGGCAGUUUUAUUUUCGGCGCGGAGUGCGACGUCUGGAUCGCUAGCUAGAGUGAUGAUUCCAUUGGGCCUGAGCAUUUUGAGCUUCAUGUACCCGUAAUGGGGUAUAGCCUGAAAGCUCGUGAAUGUGUCCCGCCCCAAGAGGGUGUGGUAUCCACUGCUGAACGGGUCCACUUGGAAUGUAAUUUCUUCGGACCUGUAAUUCUCCGGCGUACCAAAUACCACAUCUACUGUGAUUUUUCCCGUGCAUUGUGCCUCCCGACUAGGGAUGAUUCCCCUGAAGGUCGUGCUGCUCCGUUCAAUGCGGCUCUUGUCAAUUUCCAUCUUGUUAAGGGUUUCCUCAUAGAUGAGGUUUAGUCCGCUUUCGCCAUCCAUGAGCACUUUUGUGAGCCUGAAGCCAUCCACGAUUGGGCUAAGGACCAAGGCGGCUGGUGCUCGGACUGUUCGGAAUUGAGGUUCGUCACUAGCAUUGUAAGUUAUAGCCGUGUCAUUCCAUGGGUUUAUUGUUGCCACGUGGCAAACUUCUGCGAGGCUGCGCUGAGCUCGCUUGUGCCUAUUAUUUGAGGCGAAAGUCUCGAAGACUGUAAAUACUGUAUUGUUGUCUCCGGCGGGAUGUUGCUCUGCUGUAUGUUUUAUGAGGAGAUCCUCGCCGCUCUUUGCUACCUGCCAGAGUAUCCAACAUGCUCUAAGGCUAUGCGUUGGCAUAGUAUCCGGUGUGUUGUGAAUCUUGCACGACCCAUUUAGCCAUUCUCCCAAUACGGUUCCGCGCCUUGCGGCGGGCUUUAUUUUUUUAGUACUUGAAUCGGGUGACUUACGAGAGUUUACCCAUUUAGUUCGGACAGAUGAUUUGGCUAGAGCCGGAUUGUCCUAAAAACUUGUUUGGGGUUUUCCAGGCGCUUUCCAUCGCGCAGUAUUUUUGCACUAUGGCCGCUAAGUUAGCGAAGUGUACUAUGUCACGGCGAUUUAUAGCAUUGAGAAUCCCUUUGUUCGUGCAAUUUUUGCAAAAGAAGGAGAUUGCUUCUGCCUCACGACAGUCCCUGACCCAGUUUAUCACAAGGAGGAAUCUGGCCCAGUAAUGAUGUACUGUUUCUUGGGGCUCUUGUCUGAUAUGGGAAAGAUUGGAUAAAUCUGGGUGGGUGGGUGGAUUUGAAUCCGAAUCCCGACCCGAUCUGGGACCCAGGGGCAACAAGGCUUCCAAGCUUAACGGCUCGGGUUCUGGGGCGUUGCCCGAUUUCUUCGGACCGCCCCCCGAUCCUGAGUCCGAGGCCGGGGUCAUGUCCUCCCGCGAGCGAGUGUCCGGCUCGGAGAGCUCAGAAAUCUGGAUAUAGUUCGUCCUCAAAGUAGAGGGAAAAUUAGGAUGAUGCUCUUCCACUACCGCUAUCUCAUGGGUGGCCGGUGGAGAGUGAAUCUCCCUUUGGUCAGGUUUAAGCCCGAUCUAGUCAUAGUCCAUAGCGACGCCUAGGGCGGCGAUGCGAUCCAAGAGCUCAUUGAGGGAGAAGAGCUCCAUUGGGUCCAUCUGUUCGGCAAAUUCCGAAUCAAUGUGGAGGCUAUUUUUAAUGACCUGAGAAGUCAUUGUCGGCGCGACAGCCGAUCGGGCGGUCAUAACGAAGCCGCCCAGCCGGAGAGUUUAGCCUAGAGCCAGGGCUCCACCGGAGGUGAUGUUGUCUUUGACAACGAGGCGAGCCAUCAAGCCUUAUCGCGACGACACAGUGGAACUCUCAAUGAAAGCACCAAUGUCGGUGUCAAAACCGGCGGAUCUCGGGUAGGGGGUCCUGAACUGUGCGUCUAAGGCUAAUGGUAACAAGAGACUUGGGACACGAUGUUUACCCAGGUUCGAGCCCUCUCGAUGGAGGUAAUACCCUACUUCCUGCUUCAUUGAUCUUGAUGAUAUGAGUAUUACAAGAGUUGAUCUACCACGAGAUCAGAGAGGCUAAACCCUAGAAGCUAGCCUAUGGUAUGAUUGUUGUUGUGUCCUACGGACUAAACCCUCUGUGUUUAUAGACACCGGAGGGGGCUAGGGUUACACAGGGUCGGUUUACAGAGGAGGAGAUCUACAUCUGAAUCGCCAAGCUUGCCUUCCAUGCCAAGGAGAGUCCCAUCCGGACAUGGGGCAGAGUCUUCUGUCUUGUAUCUUCAAAGUCCAACAGUCCGGCCAAAGCAUAUAGUCCGGCUGUCCGGAUACCCCCUUAUCCAGGACUCCCUCAAUGGGCACCAGAGGGUCACCAGGGGUCCCAGGAGACAGGGGGCGCGCCCAGUAGGGGUGGGUGCGCCCCCACCCUCCUGGUCAGGGUGUGGGCCCCCUCUGGUGCUUUCUUCGCUCAAUAAUUAUUAUUUAUUCCAAAACUGACUUCCAUGGAGUUUCAUGAUUUUUGGAGCUGUGCAGAAUAGGUUUCCAAUAUUUGCUCCAUUUCCAGCCAGAAUUCCAGCUGCCGGCAUUCCCCCUCUUCAUGGUAAACCUUGUAAAAUAAGAGAGAAUAGCCAUAAGUAUUGAGACAUAAUGUGUAGUAACAGCCCAUAAUGCAAUAAAUAUUAUUAUAAAAGCAUGAUGCAAAAUGGACGUAUCAACUCCCCCAAGCUUAGACCUCGCUUGUCCUCAAGCGGAAGUUGAUAUCGAAAAAUAUGUCCACAUGUUUAGAGAUAGAGGUGUCGAUAAAAAUAAAAUACGGACAUGAGGGCAUCAUGAUCAUGCUUAUAACAGCAACAUAUAUAGAUUUUGUUAUAUGAUUUCUUGUGCUCAAGUAACAAUCAAUUCACAAUGUCAAGUAUGGUUGAGAAACUUCAUUGGGAACUAUCAAACUGUAAUCUCAGUCAUUGAAGCAAUUGCAAUUUAUCAUAACAUCAGAAAGAGUCAAGAAUAGAGCUUCUCAGCAAGUUCACAUACUCAAUUAUCAUAUAGUCUUCUACAAUUGUUAACACUCACGCAAUACUUGUGGUUAUGGAGUUUCAACCGGACACUGAGAAAGAUAGGGGCUUAUUGUAUUGCCUCCCAACGUAUUCACCUUUGGGUGAUGUCAACAAUAAUAAUUCAUGCUAACGUACAUCCAAUUGGAUAUAUAUAUAUAUAUAUAUAUAUAUAUAUAUAUAUCAAGAUCUUUCAAACACGAGGAGCUUGCCAAAGGAUAAAAUGAAAAAGGGAAAGUUGAAGAUCACCUUGACUCAAGCAUAAAGUAAAAACGUAAAGUAAAAGAUAGGCCUUUCGCAGAGGGAAGCAGAGGUUGUCAUGUGCUUUUAGGGUUGGAUGCACAAAAUCUUAAUGCAAACGAACGUUACUCUAUAUUGCCACUUGUAUAUGGACCUUUAUUAUGCAGUCCGUCGCUUUUAUUGCUUCCAUAACAAGAUCGUAUAAAGCUUUAUUUCUCUGCUCUAAUAAGUCAUACAUAUUUAGAGAGCAAUUUUUAUUGCUUGCAACAUGACAACUUACUUGAAGGAUCUUACUCAAUCCAUAGGUAGGUAUGGUGGACUCUCAUGGCAAAAACUGGGUAUAAGGAUAUUUGGAAGCACAAGUAGUAUCUCUACUUGGUGCAAGGAAUUUGGCUAGCAUGAGGGGGAAAGGCAAGCUCAACAUGUUGGGAAGAUCAAUGACGACAUACUUUAACUGAGAUGUGAGGAAACAUAAACCAUUACAUUGUCUUCCUUGUCCAAUAUCAACUCUUUUAGCAUGUCAUACUUAAUGAGUGCUCACAAUCAUAAAAGAUGUCCAAGACAGUAUAUUUGCAUGUGAGAACCUCUCUCUCCUUAUUACUUCCUAUUAAUUGGAACGAUGACCAAAACUACGUUUGUCAACUCUCAACAACUUUUCCCUCAUACUUUCUAUGUGUGAAGUUUUACUAUCCAUAAGAUCAAUAUGAACUCUUUUAUUCUAUUUAUUCUUUCUACUUUCUCAGGAUCAUAGCAAGAUAGCAAAGCCCUUGACUCAACACUAAUCUUUAUUAUAGAUAGCUCAUGGACUCGAUUACAUAAAGAGAUCACAAAGCAAAACUCAAAAACUACUUGAUAUUAAAACUUCAAUCUACUAGAUCAAGAUACUACUAAAAGGAUCGAACUAAAUAAAACGGUAAAGAUAGGAGUGUGAUGGUGAUACGAUACCGGGGCACCUCCCCUAAGCUUGGCAGUUGCCAAAGGGAGUGCCCAUACCCAUGUGAUUAUGUCCUCGGAGGUGGUGAAGUAGGAGUUGUUGAUGAUGUAGGCUUAUCGUCCAUCUUCCAACGCAUAGGCUCACCAUCAUAGAAGGAUGAUCAAGUCUCCGGGAUCCUCAAAUCUGCAGCCAAACUCAUCCUCUUGAAUCUAUAUUCAUACUCACAGUUUUGGUUUUGCAGGUCAUAAAUCUGGGCUUGGAGGUGCUCGAUUUUCUCUUGAAGCUUAAAGAUAGUCUCCCCAAUGUUCUUGGCAUCCAGCUUGUGGUUGCUGGUGAACUCCGUGAUCAUCAUCUGGUUGGCGUUGAGUCCACACUCCACCAUCCCUUGGCACUUGAAAACUUGUUGCUCCAUGGUUUCGAGCUUUGUCUCCACGCUUCCGGUAUGCCUUGGUCCCUCCACAUUACGGAUGUGCAGCACCCCCUCAUGCAUCUCAAUGGUUUGAGGGUGUUGCGGUACCUCCGCGAGAUAGGGGUUGAUAACCUUCUCGAAAAACUUGUCCUUGGGAGCGCUUGGAGACGUCAUGGUGCUCUAGAUCUGUCAGAAAAACAGCUCGAAAUGAAAAUAGAGGAUAUUUGCGUGAUAUAGUGGUCAAAACCUUUGGGAGAUUAUAUAAUGAAUUUUUACCGACCAAGAUACGUAACGUGCAAGAAAACGGAGUCUAGGAGGCACACGAGGUGGCCAUGAGAUAGGGGGGGCGCACCCAGGAAGGUUGGGCACGCCCUCCACCCUCGUGGAGGCCUCAUGUCCUUCCCGGACUACUUUUUUCUUUCCAAAAUUCUUAAAUAUUCCAAAACGGAUAAAAAUUGCUAUUAGAAUUUUUUUGGAGUCGGUUUACUUACCGUACCACAUACCUAUUCCUUUUCGGAGUCUGGAACGUUCUGGAAAGUGUCCUUUAUGUAUUCCUCUGGGGUUACGGUCUCAAUAAUAUUAGUUUCAACAUUGAUAGGAUUACCUGAGAUAUAAUGUUUAGUUCUUUGACCGUUCACCACCCUCAGACUUGUGCCUUUGAAGUUGUUGAUUUUUAUGGCACCUGAACGAUAGACCUCCUCGAUAACGUAAGGACCUUCCCAUUUAGAGAGAAGUUUUCCUGAAAAAAAAAAUCUUAAGCGAGAGUUGAAUAAUAACACAUAAUCGCCUAAGUUGAAUUCUCGCUUUCGUAUCCUUUUGUCAUGCCAGCGUUUUACUUUUUCUUUCAACAGCUUGGCAUUCUCAUAGGCUUGGGUUCUCCAUUCAUCAAGUGAGCUAAUAUCAAAUAACCUCUUCUCACCGGCAAGUUCGAAGUCAUAAUUGAGCUCUUUAAUAGCCCAGUACGCUUUAUGUUCAAGUUCAAGAGGUAAGUGACAUGCUUUUCCAUAAACCAUCUUAUACGGAGACAUACCCAUAGGAUUUUUGUAUGCAGUUCUAUAGGCCCAUAAUGCAUCAUCAAUUUUUUUGGACCAGUUCUUUCUAGAUCUAUUUCACAGUCUUUUGCAAAAUUAAUUUGAGCUCUCUAUUGCUCAACUCUACUUGACCACUAGACUGCGGGUGAUAAGGAGAUGCGAUUCUAUGAUUAACAUCAUACUUAGCAAGCAUCUUACGGAAAGCACCAUGAAUAAAAUGUGAACCACCAUCAGUCAUAAGAUAUCUAUGGACUCCAAACCUUGGAAAAAUAAUUUCUUUAAGCAUUUUAAUAGAGGUGUUAUGAUCAGCACUACUAGUUGGAAUAGCUUCUACCCACUUAGUAACGUAAUCAACAACAACUAAAAUAUGUGUAAAACCAUUAGAGGCAGGAAAAGGUCCCAUAUAAUCAAAGCCCCAAACAUCAAACGGUUCAAUAACAAGAGAAUAAUUCAUAGGCAUUUCUUGACGUCUACUAAUAUUACCAAUUCUUUGACAUUCAUCACAAGAUAAGACAAACUUACGAGCAUCUUUGAAGAGAGUAGGCCAAUAAAAACCGGAUUGCAAUACCUUAUGUGCAGUUCUAUCUCCAGCGUGGUGUCCUCCAUAUGAUUCAGAAUGACACUUGCGUAGGAUCUGUUCCUAUUCAUGCUCAGGUACACAACAUCUAAUAACACCAUCUACUCCUUCUUUAUACAGGUGUGGGUCAUCCUAGAAGUAAUGUCUUAAAUCAUAAAAGAACCUUUUCUUUUGCUGGUAUGUGAAACUAGGUGGUAUAAAUUUAGCAACAAUGUAAUUAGCAUAAUCAGCAUACCAAGGAGCAGAACGAGAAGCAUUAAUGACCGCUAAUUGUUCAUCAGGAAAACUAUCAUCAAUAGGUAGUGGGUCAUCAAGAACAUUCUCUAACCUAGACAAGUUGUCUGCAAUGGGGGUUCUCAGCUCCCUUCCUAUCAAAAAUAUGCAAAAAAAAUUCUUGGAGUAAGAGAACCCAUCUAAUAAGUCUAGGCUUAGCAUCUUUCUUUUCCAUAAGAUAUUUAAUAGCAGCAUGAUCAGUGUGAAUAGUAACAUCGGAAUCAACAAUAUAAGGUCUGAACUUAUCACAAGCAAACACAACUGCUAAGAACUCUUUUUCAGUAGUAGCAUAAUUUCUCUGGGCAGUAUCAAGAGUUUUACUAGCAUACUGGAUAACAUUCAAUUUCUUAUCGACUCUUUGCCCUAGAACAACACCUACAGCAUAAUCACUAGCAUCACACAUAAUUUCAAAAGGUAAAUUCCAAUCAGGUGGCUGAACAAUAAGUGCAGUGAUCAAAACUUUCUUGAGUAUUUCAAAUGCUUCUACACAAUCAUCAUCAAAGACGAAAGGAAUAUAUUUUUGCAAUAAAUUAGUCAGAGGCCUAGAGAUUUUAGAAAAGUCCUUAAUGAACCUCCUAUAAAAACCGGCAUGACCAAGGAAACUUCUUAUACCUUUUAUGUCCUUGGGACAUGGCAUCUUUUCAAUAGCAUCAACUUUAGCUUUAUCAACUUCAAGACCUCUCUCGGAAAUUUUAUGCCCCAAGACAAUGCCUUCAUUAACCAUAAAGUGGCACUUUUCCCAAUUCAGCACGAGACUAGUGUCUUCACAUCUCUGCAAAACUCGAUCAAGGUUGCUCAAGCAAUCAUCAAAAGAAGAUCCAUAAAUGGAGAAAUCAUCCAUGAAUACCUCACAAAUCUUUUCACAAAAGUCAGAGAAUAUAGCCAUCAUGCAUCUUUGAAAGGUAGCAGGUGCAUUACAUAAACCAAAAGGCAUACAUCUAUAAGCAAAAGUAUCGAAAGGGCAAGUAAAAGUAGUUUUUGAUUGAUCCUUCGCUGACAAAGGUAUUUGACAGAAACCAGAAUAACCAUCUAGAAAGCAGAAAUGUGUGUGUUUGGAUAGUCUUUCUAGCAUUUGAUCAAUAAAAGGUAAAGGGUAAUGAUCUUUCUUAGUAGCUUUAUUUUAAUUUACGAAAAUCAGUUACCAUCCUAUAACCUGUAAUAAUUCUUUACGGGAUCAAUUCAUCUUUAUCAUUAGGAACAAUAGUAAUACCUCCCUUUUUAGGAACACAAUGGAAAGGGCUUACCCAAUCACUAUCAACAACGGGAUAAAUUAUACCUGCCUCAAGGAGCUUUAGUAUCUCCUUUCUUACCACUUCUUUUAUUUUGGACUUAACUGUCAUUGAGGAUCUCUAACUGGUUUGGCGUCUUUCUCCACAUUUAUUUUGUGCUGGCAUAGAGUGGGACUAAUGCCCUUAAGAUCAUACAGAGUAUAUCCAAUAGCAGCACGGUGCUUCUUCAGAGUUUUCAAUAAUCUUUCUUCUUCUUGCUCUGAAAGGUUAGCACUAAUAAUAACAGGAUAUAUUUUGUUUUCAUCAAGAUAAGCAUACUUAAGAUUAUCAGGUAAUGGUUUGAGUUCAAACACGGGAUCACCCUUGGGUGGAGGGGGAUUCCCUAGGAUUUCAAUAGGUAAGUUGUAUUUCAGAAUAGGUUCCUGUUGAAGGAACACUUCAUCUAUUUCCUUUUUUCAUUCAUAAACAUAUCAUUUUCAUGGUCUAGCAAAUAUUGUUCUAACAGAUAAGUAGGAGGCACGGCAAUAGAAGCAAGACCAAUUAUUUCAUCUUUACUAGGUAAUUCUUUAUCAUGGGGUUGUCUACGAAACUUAGCAAAAUUAAACUCAUGAGACAUAUCACCCAAGCCAAUUGUAACAAUAUCCUUUUCACAAUAAAUCCUAGCUUUAACGGUAUUCAAGAAGGGUCUAGCAAAUAUAAUGGGACAAAAGUCAUCUUGUGGGGAACCAAGAACAAGGAAAUCAGCAGGAUAUUUAACUUUCCCACACAAGACUUCAACAUCUCUAACAAAUCCCAACUGGUUUAAUGGUGUCCCUAUUAGCAAGCUUAAUGGUAACAUCAAUAUCUUCUAUUUCAGCGGGUGCAAUAUCAUGCAUAAUUUCUUUAUAUAAGUCAUAGGGUAUUGCACUAGCACUAGCACCCAUAUCACAUAAGCCAUGAUAACAAUGAUCUCCUUAUUUAACAGAAAUAACAGGCAUGCCUACAACAGGUCUAUGUAUCUUAGCAUAUAGUCUAACAAUAUUAGCAGUCUCACCAUAGAAAUAAAUAACAUGUCCAUCUAAAUUAUCAUCCAAGAGAUCUUUAACCAUAGCAAUACUAGGUUCAACUUUGAUUUGCUCAGGAGGUGUAAAGGUUCUAGUAUUACUCUUACGAACAACAAUCGAAGUUUUAGCACGAUCCUUUAUCCUAACAGGAAAAGGAGGUUUCUCAACAUAAGUAGUAGGAACAAUAGGAUCAUUAUAAGUGAUAGUCUUUUCUUCAACUGUAAUGGGUGCAACUACUUUUAUUUCAAUGGAAGGAUUAUAUUUAAACCACUUCUCCUUAGGGAGAUCAACGUGAGUAGCAAAAGAUUCACAAAAAGAAGCCACUAUCUCAGAGUCAAGUCCAUAAUUAGCGCUAAAUCCACGAAAAACAUUAGUAUCCAUAAAAGAUUUAACACAAUCAAACUUAGGUGUUAUACCUGACUCCUUACCAUCGCCGGAACCCCAAUCUUCAGAGUUGCGUUUAAUUCUUUCCAAUAAAUCCCAUUUGAAUUCAAUAGUCUUCAGCAUAUAAGAACCAGCACGGGAAGUAUCGAGCAUGUUGCGAUCAUUGGGAGAAAGCCGAGCAUAAAAGUUUUGACUAAUCAUUUCUCUGGAGAGCUCAUGAUUGGGGCAUGAAUAUAAUAUUGACUUAAGCCCCCCCCCAAGCUUGAGUGAUGCUUUCUCCUUUGCGAGGCUAGAAAUUAUAUAUGUAAUUACGAUCACAAUGAACAAGAUGCAUAGGAUAGAACUUCUGGUGAAAUUCCAACUUCAAUCAUUUAUAAUUCCAAGAUCCCGUAUCAUCACAUAGCCUAUACCAUGUCAAUGCAUCUCCCUUCAAAGAUAAAGGGAAUACCUACCUUUUGACAACAUCAUCGGGAAUACCUGCAAGCUUAAAUAAUCCACAAACUUCAUCCACAAAGAUAAGGUGUAAACCGGGAUGCAAUGUUCCAUCUCCUGCAAAGGGAUUAGCGAGCAGUUUCUCUAUCAUACCCGAAGGAAUCUCAAAGUAAAUAUUUUCAGUAGGUUCAGUAGGUUGAGGAGCAACUCUUUGCUCUUCUGGUCGGGGUGAAGAUACCCCGAACAAGCCCCUCAAAGGAUUAGUUUCCAUAGUAACAAGUGACAGAAAAUUUCAGCACACUAUAUAAAUGUUUCCUUACCAAGUUCCACUCACCAAAGGCGCUUCACUCCCCGGCAACGGCGCCAGAAAAGAGUCUUGAUGACCCACAAGUGUAGGGGAUCUAUCGUAGUCCUUCCGAUAAGUAAGAGUGUUGAACCCAACAAGGAGCAGAAGGAAAUGACAAGCGGUUUUCAGUAAGGUUUUCUCUGCAAGCAGUGAAAUUGUAGGUAAUAGAUAGUUUUGUGAUAAGAUAAAUUGUAACGAGUAAGAAGCAAUUAAAGUAAAUAAAGUUCAGCAAGGUGGUCCAAUCCUUUUUGUAGCAAAGGACAAGCCUGGACAAUUUCUUAUAAUGAGAAAACAGCACCCGAGGACACAUGGGAAUUAUCGUCACGCCAGUUUUCAUCACACUCAUAUGAUUCGCGUUCGGUACUUUGAUAAUUUGAUAUGUGGGUGCACCGGUGCUUGGGUACUGCCCUUACUUGGACAAGCAACCCACUUAUGAUUAACCCCGAUUGCAAGCAUCCGCAAUUACAAAAGAAGUAUUAAGGUAAACCUAACAACAUCAUUAGACAUAUGGAUCCAAAUCAGCCCCUUACGAAGCAGCGCAUAAACUAGGGUUUAACCUUCUAUCACUCUAGCAACCCAUCAUCUACUUAUUACUUCCCAAUGCCUUCCUCUAGGCCCAAAUAAUGGUGAAGUGUCAUGUAGUCGACGUUCACAUAACACCACUAGAGGAGAGACAACAUACAUCUCAUCAAAAUAUCGAACGAAUGCCAAAUUCACAUGACUACUAAUAGGAAGACUUCACCCAUGUCCUCAGGAACAAACGUAACUACUCAUAAAGCAUAUUCAUGUUCAUAAUCAGAGGAGUAAUAAUAUGCAUUAAGGAUCUGAACAUAUGAUGUUCCACCAAAUAAACCAAUUAGCAUCAACUACAAGGAGUAAUCAACACUACUAGCAACCCACAGGUACCAAUUUGUGGUUUUGGAUACAAGAUUGGAUACAAGAGAUGAACUAGGGUUUGAGAGGAGACGGUGCUGGUGAAGAUGUUGAUGGAGAUUGACCCCCUCCCGAUGAGAGGAUCGUUCGUGAUGACGAUGGUGAUGAUUUCCCCCUCCCGGAGGGAAGUUUCCCCGGCAGAAUAGCUCUGUCGGAGCCCUAGAUUGGUUUCGCCAAGGUUCCGCUUCGCGACUGCGGGGUUUCGUCUCGCAAGCUUGCCUCUGAUUUUUUUCCAGGGUGAAAGUCUUGAUAUAGCAGAAGAUGGGCACCGGAGGGCCACCAGGGGGCCCAGGAGACAAGGGGCGCGCCCAGUAGGGGUGGGCGCGCCCCCACCCUCUUGGCCAGGGUGUGGCCCCCCUCUGGUGCUUUCUUUGCCCAAUAAUUAUUAUUAAUUCCAAAACUGACUUCCGUGGAGUUUCAUGAUUUUUGGAGCUAUGCAGAAUAGGUUUCCAAUAUUUGCUCCUUUUCCAGCCAGAAUUCCAGCUGCCGACAUUCCCCCUCUUCAUGGUAAACCUUGUAAAAUAAGAGAGAAUAGCCAUAAGUAUUGAGACAUAUUGUGUAAUAACAAUGCAUAAUGCAAUAAAUAUUGAUAUAAAAGCAUGAUGCAAAAUGGAUGUAUCACCCCCUACCCGAGAUCCGCCGGUUUUGAAACCGACAAUGGUUGCCGAGGCAGGGCACGGUCUCGGCGAUGUCCUCCUCAUCGUCGUCAUUGUCGCCGAACACUUCCUCGCCUGCGUCAUCGCUUUCCUUGUAGGCGGCCGCCACCUCUGCCAACCCGCUGGCAGUACUACCAGCGGGCGAGGCGGAUCUCACGGGCGGAGCGGUAGGACUCGAGCAGCGCCUCUUGCUCCACCAGGUCCGUCUCCAGUGCGACCACCCUGCCAGCGGCGAGCUCCUUCUCUGCUUGCACGUGCUCUUGGAGGAGGUGGUUGUUGUAGGCAGCUUCGGCCUGUACCCCACAGAACUGCUCCCCCGCUCCUCCUGCACCAUGUCCAUGUAAUGGGCACGUGCCUCGCCGAUGGUCAUGAAGGAAAUAUGCCCUAGAGGCAAUAAUAAAGUUAUUAUUUAUUUCCUUAUUUCAUGAUAAAUGUUUAUUAUUCAUGCUAGAAUUGUAUUAACCGGAAACAUGAUACAUGUGUGAAUACAUAGACAAACAUAUAGUCACUAGUAUGCCUCUACUUGACUAGCUCAUUAAUCAAAGAUGGUUUUGUUUCCUAACCAUAGACAUGUGUUGUCAUUUGAUUAAUGAGGUCACAUCAUUAGGAGAAUGGUGUGAUUGACAUGACCCAUUCCGUUAGCCUAGCACUUGAUCGUUUAGUAUGCUGCUAUUGCUUUCUUCAUGACUUAUACAUGUUCCUGUAACUAUGAGAUUAUGCAACUCCCGUUUACCGUAGGAACACUUUGGGUACUACCAAACGUCACAAUGUAACUGGGUGAUUAUAAAGGAGUACUACAGGUGUCUCCAAAGGUACAUGUUGAGUUGGCGUAUUUCGAGAUUAGGUUUUGUCACUCCGAUUGUCGGAGAGGUAUCUCUGGGCCCUCUCGGUAAUGCACAUCAAUAUAAGCCUUGCAAGCAAUGUGACUAAUGAGUUAGUUGCGAGAUGAUGUAUUACGUAACGAGUAAAGAGACUUGCCGGUAACGAGAUUGAACUAGGUAUUGGAUACCGACGAUCGAAUCUCGGGCAAGUAACAUACCGAUGACAAAGGGAACAAAGUAUGUUGUUAUGCGGUUUGACUGAUAAAGAUCUUCGUAGAAUAUGUAGGAGCCAAUAUGAGCAUCCAGGUUCCACUAUUGGUUAUUGACCGAGAAUAGUUCUAGGUCAUGUCUACAUAGUUCUCGAACCCGUAGGGUCCGCACGCUUAAGGUUUCGAUGACAGUUAUAUUAUGAGUUUAUGAGUUUUGAUGUAUCGAAGUUUGUUCGGAGUUCCGGAUGUGAUCACGGACAUGACGAGGAGUCUCGAAAUGGUCGAGGCAUAAAGAUUGAUAUAUUGGAAGCCUAUGUUUGGACAUCGGAAAGGUUCCGGGUGAAAUCGGGAUUUUACCAGAACACCGGGGGGUUACCGGAACCCUCCCGGGGGUUAAUGGGCCUUAGUGGGCCAUGAGGGAGAAGAGGAGGGCUGGCCAGGGCAGGCCGCGCACCCCCUCCCCCCCUAGUCCGAAUAGGACAAGGAAGGGGGGGCGGCGCCCCCCUUUCCUCUUUCCCCUCCCCCCUUUCCUUCUCCACCAAGGCAAGAGGGGGGAGUCCUACUCCCGGUGGGAGUAGGACUCCUCCAGGCGCACCCCAAGGGGGCCGGCCGCACCUCCCCCUCCCUCCUUUAUAUACGGGGGCAGGGGGGCACCCCAUAACACACAAGUUGAUCUACGGAUCGUUCCUUAGCCGUGUGCGGUGCCCCCGUCCACAAUAUUCCACCUCGGUCAUAUCGUUGCGGAGUUUAGGCGAAGCCCUGCGCCGGUAGAACAUCAUCAUCUUCACCAUGCCGUCGUGCUGACGGAACUCAUCCCCGAAGCUUUGCUGGAUCGGAGCCCGGGGAUCGUCAUCGAGCUGAACGUGUGCUGAACUCGGAGGUGCCGUACGUUCCGUGCUUGGAUCGAUCGGAUCGUGAAGACGUACGACUACAUCAACCACAUUGUGCUAACGCUUCCGCUUACGGUCUACGAGGGUACGUGGACAACACUCUCCCCUCUCGUUGCUAUGCCAUCACCAUGAUCUUGCGUGUGCGUAGGAAAUUUUUUGAAAUUACUACGUUCCCCUACAGUGGCAUCCGAGCCUAGGUUUUACGCGUUGAUGUUAUAUGCACGAGUAGAACACAAGUGAGUUGUGGGCGAUACAAGUCAUACUGCUUACCAGCAUGUCAUACUUUGGUUCGGCGGUAUUGUGAGAUGAAGCGGCCCGGACCGACAUUACGCAUACGCUUACGCGAGACUGGUUUCACCGUUACGAGCACUCGUGCUUAAAGGUGGCUGGCGGGUGUCUGUCUCUCUCACUUUAGUUAAAUCGAGUGUGGCUACGCCCGGUCCUUGCGAAGGUUAAAACAACACCAACUUGACGAACUAUCGUUGUGGUUUUUAUGCGUAGGUAAGAACGGUUCUUGCUAAAGCCCGUAGCAGCCACGUAAAAUUUGCAACAACAAAGUAGAGGACGUCUAACUUGUUUUUGCAGGGCAUGUUGUGAUGUGAUAUGGUCAAGACGUGAUGCUAUAUUUUAUUGUAUGAGAUGAUCAUGUUUUGUAACCGAAGUUAUCGGCAACUGGCAGGAGCCAUAUGGUUGUCGCUUUAUUGUAUGAAAUGCAAACGCCCUGUAAUUGCUUUACUUUAUCUCUAAGCGGUAGCGAUAGUCGUAGAAGCAAUAGAUGGCGUAAUGGCAAUGAUGCUACGAUGGAGAUCAAAGUGUCGCGCCGGUGAUGAUGGUGAUCACGACAGUGCUUCGGAGAUGAAGAUCACAAGCACAAGAUGAUGAUGGCCAUAUCAUAUCACUUAUAUUGAUUGCAUGUGAUGUUUAUCCUUUAUGCAUCUUAUCUUGCUUUGAUUGACGGUAGCAUUUUAAGAUGAUCUCUCACUAAAUUAUCAAGAAGUGUUCUCCCUGAGUAUGCACCAUUGCGAAAGUUCUUCGUGCUGAGACACCACGUGAUGAUCGGGUGUGAUAGGCUCUAUGUUCAAAUACAACGGGUGCAAAACAGUUGCACACGCGGAAUACUCAAGUUAAACUUGACGAGCCUAGCAUAUACAGAUAUGGCCUCGGAACACGGAGACCAAAAGGUCGAGCGUGAAUCAUAUAGUAGAUAUGAUCAACAUAAUGAUGUUCACCAUUGAAACUACUCCAUCUCACGUGAUGAUCGGACAUGGUGUAGUUGAUAUGGAUCACGUAAUCACUUAGAGGAUUAGAGGGAUGUCUAUCUAAGUGGGAGUUCUUAAGUAAUAUGAUUAAUUGAACUUUAAUUUAUCAUGAACUUAGUCCUGGUAGUAUUUUGCAAAUUAUGUUGUAGAUCAAUAGCUUGCGUUGUUGCUUUCAUAUGUUUAUUUUGAUAUGUUCCUAGAGAAAAUUGUGUUGAAAGAUGUUAGUAGCAAUGAUGCGGAUUGGAUCCGUGAUCUGAGGUUUAUCCUCAUUGCUGCACAGAAGAAUUAUGUCCUUAAUGCACCACUAGGUGACAAACCUAUUGCAGGAGCAGAUGCAGACGUUAUGAACGUUUGGCUAGCUCAAUAUGAUGACUACUUGAUAGUUUAGUGCACCAUGCUUAACGGCUUAGAAUCGGGACUUCAAAGACGUUUUGAACGUCAUGGACCAUAUGAGAUGUUCCAGGAAUUGAAGUUAAUAUUUCAAGCAAAUACCCGAGUUGAGAGAUAUGAAGUCUCCAACAAGUUCUAUAGCUAAAAGAUGGAGGAGAAUCGCUCAACUAGUGAGCAUGUGCUCAGAUUGUCUGGGUACUUCAAUCGCUUGAAUCAAGUGGGAGUUAAUCUUCCAGAUAGGAUAGUGAUUGACAGAAUUCUCUAGUCACCAUCACUAAGUUACUAGAACUUCGUGAUGAACUAUAGUAUGCAAGGGAUGACGAAAAUGAUUCCCGAGCUCUUCGUGAUGUUGAAAUCGACGAAGGUAGAAAUCAAGAAAGAGCAUCAAGUGUUGAUGAUUGACAAAACCACUAGUUUCAAGAAAAAUGGCAAAGGGAAAGAAAGGGAACUUCAAUCAGAAUGGCAAGCAAGUUGUCACUCCCACGAAGAAGCCCAAAGCUGGACCAAAGCCUGAAACUGAGUGCUUACACUACAAAGGAAAUGGUCACUGGAAACGGAAAUACCCUGAAUAUUUGGUGGAUAAGAAGGAUGGCAGAGUGAACAAGGGUAUAUUUGAUAUACAUGUUAUUGAUGUUUACCUUACUAGUGUUUAUAGUAACCCCUGAGUAUUUGAUACUUGUUCGGUUGCUAAGAUUAGUAACUCGAAACAGGAGUUACAGAAUAAACAGAAACUAGUUGAGGGUGAAGUCAUGAUGUGUGUUGGAAGUGGUUCCAAGAUUGAUAUGAUCAUCAUCGCACACUCCUUUCGGGAUUAGUGUUGAACCUAAAUAAAUGUUAUUUGGCGUUUGCGUUGAGCAUGAAUAUGAUUUGAUCAUGUUUAUUGCAAUACGGUUAUUCAUUUAAAAUCAGAGAAUAAUUGUUGUUCUGUUUAAAUGAAUAAAACCUUUGAUGGUCAUACACCCAAUGAAAAUAGUUUGUUGGAUCUCGAUCGUAGUGAUACACAUAUUCAUACUAUUGAUGCCAAAAGAUGCAAAGUUGAUAAUGAUAGUGCAACUUAUUUGUGGCACUGCCGUUUGGGUCAUAUCGGUGUAAAGCGCAUGAAGAAACUCCAUGAAGAUGGAUUUUCGGAAUCACUUGGUUAUGAAUCAUUUGAUGCUUGCGAACCGUGCCUUUUGGGCAAGAUGACUAAAACUCCGUUCUCCGGAACAAUGGAACGAGCUACUGACUUAUUGGAAACAAUACAUACCGAUGUAUGCGGUCCAAUGAGUGUUGAUGCUCGUGGCAAGUAUCAUUAUUUUCUAACCUUUACAGAUGAUUUGAGCAGAUAUGGGUAUAUCUACUUGAUGAAACAUAAGUCUGAAAUAGUUGAAAAGUUCAAAGAAUUUCAGAGUAAAGUGGAAAAAUCAUCGUAACAAGAAAAAUAAAGUUUCUACGAUCUGAUCAUGGAGACGAAUAUUUGAGUUACGAGUUUGGUCUUCAAUUAAAACAAUGUGGAAUAGUUUCAUAGCUCACUCCACCUAGAACACCACAACGUUAUGGUGUGUCCGAACGUCGUAAUCGUACUUUACUAGAUAUGGUGUGAUCUAUGAUGUCUCUUAUCAGUUUACCACUAUCGUUUUGGGGUCAUGCAUUAGAGACAGCUGCAUUCACGUUUAAUAGGGCACCAUCUAAAUCCGUUGAGACGACACCGUAUGAACUAUGGUUUAGCAGUAAACCUAAGCUGUCGUUUCUUAAAGUUUGGAGUUGCGAUGCUUAUAUGAAAAAGGUUUUCAACCUUAUAAGCUCGAACCCAAAUCGGAGAAGUGCGUCUUCAUAGAAUACCCAUAGGUAACUAUUGGGUACACCUUCUAUCACAGAUUCAAAGGCAAGUUAUUUCGUUGCUAAGAUGGAUCCUUUCUAGAGAAAAAGUUUCUCUCGAAAGAAGUGAGUGGAAGGAAAGUAGAACUUGAUGAGGUAAUUGUACCUUCUUCCUUAUUGGAAAGUAGUUCAUCACAGAAAUAAGUUCCACUGAUUCCUACACCAAUUAGUGAGGAAGUUAAUGAUGAUGAUCAUGAAAACUUUAGAUCAAGUUGCUACCAAACCUCGUAGGUCUUCCAGAGUAAGAUCCGCACCAGAGUGGUAUGGUAAUCAUGUUCUGGAAGUCAUGUUACUAGACCAUGAUGAACCUACGAACUAUGAGGAAGAGAUGAUGAGCCCAGAUUCCGCGAAAUGGCAUGAGGCCAUAAAAUCUGAGAUAUGAUCCAUGUAUGACAACAAAGUAUGGACUUUGAUUGACUUGCUCAAUGAUCAGCAAGCCAUGUUAAAUAAAUGGAUCUUCAGGAGGAAGACGGACACUGAUAGUAGUGUUACUAUCUACUAAGCUCGACUUGUUGCGAAAGGUUUUCGACAAGUUCAAGGUGUUGAAUACGAUGAGAUUUUCUCACUCGUAUCGAUGCUUAAGUCUGUCUGAAUCAUGUUAGCAAUUGCCACAUUUUAUGAAAUCUGGCAACUGGAUGUCAAAACUGCAUUCCUUAAUGGUUUUCUUAAAGCAGAGUUGUAUAUGAUACAACCAGAAGUUUUUGUCGAUCCGAAAGGUGCUAACAAAAUGUGCAAGCUCCAGCGAUUCAUCAAUGGACUGGUGCAAGCAUCUCAGAGUUGGAAUAUACGCUUUGAUAAGUUGAUCAAAGCAUAUAGUUUUGUACAGACUUACGGUGAAGCCUGUAUUUACAAGAAAGUGAGUGGGAGCACUACAGCAUUUCUGAUAAGUAUAUGUGAAUGACAUAUUGUUGAUCGGAAAUAAUGUAGAAUUAUUCUGCAAAGCAUAAAGGAGUGUUUGAAAGGAUUUCUUUCAAAGAAAGACCUUGGUGAAGCUGCUUACACAUUGAGCAUCAAGAUCUAUAUAGAUAGAUCAAGACACUUGAUAAGUUUUUCAAUGAGUACAUACCUUGAUAAAUAUUUUGAAGUAGUUCAAAAUGGAACACUCAAAGAAAGAGUUCUUGCCUGUGUUGCAAGGUAUGAAAUUGAGUAAGACUCAAAUCCCGACCACAGCAGAAAAUAGAAAGAGAAUGAAAGUCAUUCCCUAUGCAUCAGUCAUGGGUUCUAUAAAAGUAUGCCAUGCUAUGGGCCAGAACUAUUGUAUACUCUGCCCUGGUUUGGCAAGGGAGUACAAUAGUGAUCUAAGAGUAGAUCACUGGACAUUGGUCAAAAUUAUCCUUAGUGGAAUAAGGAGAUGUUUCUCGAUUAUGGAGGUGAUAAAAGAGUUCAUCGUAAAAGUUACAUCGAUGCAAACUUUUACAUUGAUCCAGAUGACUUUAAGUCUCAAUCUGGAUACAUAUUGAAAGUGGAAGCAAUUAGCUAGAGUAGCUCCGUGCAAAGCAUUGUAGACAUAGAAUAUUUGCAAAAUACAUACGACUCUGUAAUAUAACAGACCCGUUGACUAAACCUCUCUCACGAGCAAAACAUGAUCAUACCUUAGUACUCUUUGGGUGUUAAUCACAUAGCGAUGUGAACUAGAUUAUUGACUCUAGUAAACCUUUUGGGUGUUGAUCACAUGAUGAUGUGAACUAUGGGUAUUAAUCACAUGCAGAUGUGAAUAUUGGUGUUAAAUCACAUAGCGAUGUGAACUAGAUUAUUGACUCUAGUGCAAGUGGGAGACCGAAGGAAAUAUGCCCUAGAGGCAAUAAUAAAGUUAUUAUUUAUUUCCUUAUUUCAUGAUAAAUGUUUAUUAUUCAUGCUAGAAUUGUAUUAACCGGAAACAUGAUACAUGUGUGAAUACAUAGACAAACAUAUAGUCACUAGUAUGCCUCUACUUGACUAGCUCAUUAAUUAAAGAUGGUUUUGUUUCCUAACCAUAGACAUGUGUUGUCAUUUGAUUAAUGAGGUCACAUCAUUAGGAGAAUGAUGUGAUUGACAUGACCCAUUCGGUUAGCCUAGCACUUGAUCGUUUAGUAUGUUGCUAUUGCUUUCUUCAUGACUUAUACAUGUUCCUGUAACUAUGAGAUUAUGCAACUCCCGUUUACCGGAGGAACACUUUGGGUACUACCAAACGUCACAACGUAACUGGGUGAUUAUAAAGGAGUACUACAGGUGUCUCCGAAGGUACAUGUUGAGUUGGCGUAUUUCGAGAUUAGGUUUUGUCACUCCGUUUGUCGGAGAGGUAUCUCUGGGCCCUCUCGGUAUUGCACAUCAAUAUAAGCCUUGCAAGCAAUGUGACUAAUGAGUUAGUUGCGAGAUGAUGUAUUACGUAACGAGUAAAGAGACUUGCCGGUAACGAGAUUGAACUAGGUAUUGGAUACCGACGAUCGAAUCUCGGGCAAGUAACAUACCGAUGACAAAGGGAACAAAGUAUGUUGUUAUGCGGUUUGACCGAUAAAGAUCUUCGUAGAAUAUGUAGGAGACAAUAUGAGCAUCCAGGUUCCGCUAUUGGUUAUUGACCGAGAAUAGUUCUAGGUCAUGUCUACAUAGUUCUCGAACCCGUAGGGUCCACACGCUUAAGGUUUCGAUGACAGUUAUAUUAUGAGUUUAUGAGUUUUGAUGUAUCGAAGUUUGUUCGGAGUUCCGGAUGUGAUCGCGGACAUGAUGAGGAGUCUCGAAAUGGUCGAGACAUAAAGAUUGAUAUAUUGGAAGCCUAUGUUUGGACAUCGGAAAGGUUCCGGGUGAAAUCGGGAUUUUACCGGACCGGGGGUUACCGGAACCCUCCCGGGGGUUAAUGGGCCUUAGUGGGCCAUGAGGGAGAAGAGGAGGGCCGGCCAGGGAAGGCCGCGCGCCCCCUCCCCCCCUAGUCCGAAUAGGACAAGGAAGGGGGGGCGGCGCCCCCCUUUCCUCUUUCCCCUCCCCCCUUUCCUUCUCCACCAAGGCAAGAGGGGGGAGUCCUACUCCCGGUGGGAGUAGGACUCCUCCAGGCGCACCCCAAGGGGGCCGGCCGCACCUCCCCCUCCCUUCUUUAUAUACGGGGGCAGGGGGCACCCCAUAACACACAAGUUGAUCUACGGAUCGUUCCUUAGCCGUGUGCGGUGCCCCCCUCCACAAUAUUCCACCUCGGUCAUAUCGUUGCGGAGUUUAGGCGAAGCCCUGCGCCGGUAGAACAUCAUCAUCGUCACCACGCCGUCGUGCUGACGGAACUCAUCCCCGAAGCUUUGUUGGAUCGGAGCCCGGGGAUCGUCAUCGAGCUGAACGUGUGCUGAACUCGGAGGUGCCGUACGUUUGGUGCUUGGAUCGGUCGGAUCGUGAAGACGUACGACUACAUCAACCGUGUUGUGCUAACGCUUCCGCUUACGGUCUACGAGGGUACGUGGACAACACUCUCCCCUCUCGUUGCUAUGCCAUCACCAUGAUCUUGCGUGUGCGUAGGAAAUUUUUUGAAAUUACUACGUUCCCCUACAGGUCAUAGUGCAAUGCACCAGCGAGGGUGCCGCAGAGAAGGAGGGUAGUGCCGGUUCAUUGUCAGCAGCGUCCUUCAUUGGGACGUCGUCGUCCUCCGGCUGCCUGCCGGUCAGCCAACCGGCAGCAAUGACGACCAUCUCCUUCUUCUGGUCCGACGUCAGCCCGUCCUAGAGAGCUUUGGCGGGGGAGGAAUCCACGGUGGGAGUGGUGCGGAGAGGGAUUGGAGGCGGAUGACUGCGGCUAUGGUCGGGGAAACGGUUUAUAUAGCAAUGAUGGACCGCAGAGGGACGGACGGAUGACGCUGUAGGAGACGCCUCGGCAAACAUGUGCCAUCAACGUGGGCUGCAGAUGGAUGAACGGGCGGUUGUCGUGUUGUUUGAAUGUGCACCGGGAAGUGGCGCGGGCAACACUCUCUCGAUCGUCGCACCGCUUCAAUGCUGGUGCCAGUGAGCUGGCGCAUCCGCUUUGGCCGGGCAUGAAUGCGGGCGCUGACGCUUUGGAGCGGCGCUGACCGAAAAAGCAUGGGAAGAGGAGGGGUUUUGGGUGGGCUAGAGCGUUCAGAAGAGGGCUUGCAAGCGGUCCGGACUCCCGCAAAGCCCCCACGUUUGUCUCCGAUUUGCGGAAGAAAACAUAUACCAAGCGCACCACGGACUGAUAUAGGACCGUGUUAAAUGACUUUCAUGAUUCGGACAGCACGGUCUAGACGCAUGCGGCAGAUAUGCGGAUCGGUGUUGGAGACGCCCUUAGUGAGAUCUUGACAUUUAACAAGACUCUAUAUGUCACUUCACAUGAAGACGGAGGAGAACAAAUGAUGGAAUGGUGUUAGCUUUCUAGCAUGCGUGUCGGACGGGUUUGACUGGCGGUCCCAGAAGCCAUCUCCGCCACUCACCGGACUCGAGAGCAAUGUCGUUGGACCGAGUCUCGGGCGGUGCAAGCUUGACGGCAUUCAGCAUGGACGGAGAUUAAAGGAGUCGCCGACUGGGAGGGGCAUUCGUCGUUGCUGGAUGGAUACAUGCAGCUUGAUUGAAGGUGCAGGGUAGUAGAAACGCGGUAGAAAAAAUGUGCUAGUCCGAUCCUUAUAACCAAUCAAUCAAUCAGCCACAGAGCCAACACCAAGGAACCAUCCCCUGGCUCCCUGCCAUGCCGCCGCCACUCACCCUCCUCCUGGCCGUCCUCCUCGCCGGCCUCCAACCCGCCUCCGCCGCGUCAUCCUCGCAAACGGACGCCCUCCUAGCCUUCAAGCGAUCCCUCACCAUCCCGCCCGCGGCCGCAGCCUUCUUCUCCACGUGGGACGCCGCCGCUGCCUCGCCUUGCAACUUCACCGGCGUCACCUGCGACUCCAGCCGCUCCGUCGUCAUCGGCGUGUCCGUACGGGAGCACGGAGUCGCUGCCGCGUCCGUCCCGUUCGGCAUCAUCUGCGGCUCGCUGACGAACCUCACCACGCUCUCUUUGCCGUCGAACGCGCUCGCCGGGGGCAUCGACAGGGUCGUCGCGUGCACGGGGCUUGAGGAGCUCACCCUCGCGUCCAAUGCCUUCUCCGGCGCCGUGCCGGACCUCUCGCCGCUGAUCCGUCUCCGCAGGCUCGACGUCUCGAAUAACAGCUUCUCGGGUGCGUUCCCCUGGGCCGCGCUGCCCGCCAUGCCAGGCCUCACCGUGCUCGCCGCGGGAGACAACCCGUUCUUCGAGCCGACCAGUUCUUUCCCCGCCGAGGUCACCGAGCUCACCAACCUCACCGUGCUCUACCUCUCUGCCGCCAACAUCGUCGGCGCCAUCCCGCGGGCUAUGGGGAGCCUAGUCAAGCUCGUGGACCUCGAGCUGGCCGACAACAACCUCACGGGCGAGAUACCCCCGGAGAUUGCCAGUCUCGUUAACCUCCGGGCCCUCGAACUGUACAACAGCUCCCUUACCGGAGCUCUCCCGCGGGGGUUCGGGAAGCUAACGAAGCUACAGUACUUCGACGCGUCACAGAACAUGCUGACCGGCGGCCUCUCCGAGCUCCGGUUCCUCACGCGGCUCGUGUCGCUUCACCUCUUCGACAACAGCUUCUCCGGCGAGGUGCCCCUCGAAAUCGGAGACUUCAAGGAGCUCGUCUACCUGUCACUCUACAACAACAGCCUCACAGGCGAGCUGCCGCAGAGCCUCGGGACUUGGUCGGAGCUGACCUACAACAACAGCUCUCUUAGAGGAGCACGAACUCACUGACGGGGCCGAUCCCGCCGGACAUGUGCAAGAGCGGGAGGCUGCUGCUUGAGAAUAAAUUCUCUGGCGAAAUCCCAGCGACCUACGCGAGAUGCACGACCCUGGAGAGGUUCCGUGUCAGCAAAAACUCGCUCUCCGGCGAGGUACCCCAGGGCUUAUGGGCGCUUCCCAACGUCGAAAUUAUUGACCUUGCGGACAACCAUCUCACCGGCGGCAUCGGUGACGGCAUUGGCAGCGCCAGGUCGCUGGCCACUCUCUUACUCGGUCGGAACCGGUUCCUCGGCGCCAUACCAUCGUCGAUAGGCAAUGCCAGAAAUCUGCAGAGUUUAGACCUUUGGUCCAACAAACUCUCCGGUACCAUACCGUCGUCCAUAGGCAACGCAAAAAACCUCGAGUAUAUAGACUUUUCGUCGAACCAGCUCUCCGGCGCUAUACCGUCGUCCAUAGGCAACGCCGGAAAUCUCCAGAAGAUAUACCUUUCGUCCAACAAACUCUCCGGCAUGUUAUGAUUACGGUUCUAAGAGAUAUGACAAUACACUGGUAGAUAAACCAGGUUUGAGAUUCAUGCUACGUUUUUCUGGGUUUACCAAAUUGUUCCAUAGUGCUGUAUUAAGGUUGUUCUUGUUUCAAAAUGAAUCAUAAUGUUUCAUUGUGGACCGCUAUGUAAUAGUGCAUCCAACCUGAAAGCAGUGCACACUUAUUUGAUCGUACACCACCCUAGUCAGAAGCGGGAGAGGGUCACAUAGGAUCCCCCCUGCCCCCCAAAGUGCGAAACUAGCUCGACAAAUUAACGCGAAGGCAGCUACUUUCACUGUUAGCUCAGCAGUGUUUUGGUUUCCUUUCUGAUCCAGCUCGGAGACUGUUGUAUUUCCGUUAUUUGGUUAAUGGAAAGGGGUAAUGCCCGGUUUAAAAAAAAAGAAAUAUAGAAAUUCUAUGAUUUUUAAUAACACUACUUGGAUCUCUCUUAACUAGGUGCUGAGAUUGAUCUUGAACACAGUAAGGAACUGGGCUAUUCUGUCCCCAGAUUUGUGCAAGGAAAGACUGUUGGUCUUUCCGGCGCAACUGGCGAAAUUCCUUCAGAAACCAAUGAUGAUCACUUGUGGCUGAACUCAAGAAACUUGCUGGCAUUCGACCCCGGGGAAAGCUCAAGAUCACUGAACACGAUGGAGGCUUCUUGUCCCCCAAGAAGAGAGACCUCGGUGACAAAACUGCUUCGUCCAACCCUAUUGUUGACACUCACCACCUGCUGGUCUCCUCAGGCCGCCGCGGCGCCACCCAUGAAGACCAGGAGGGCAUCCCAGGAGGUCGCCUGCAUCUAGUAGUUUGUUCCUCGGCUACUAUUGGUUGUUCAUAGCCAUUGUGUAAUAGGGGUGUUUUAAGUCGAACUUGUUUUCCUUUGUUGUUGCUUACUGAAUUGCUCCUCUAAGAGAGCUGUUGUAUGGGCACUACUUGAGGGUUUAAUUCGAGUAAUGAAACCGGAGAGGGGCCUCCCUGUUCUUCUAAAAAAAGCUUAGACUAACUACUACUAAAAAAGGUUUUGCAUUUUUAGAUGGGGUGCGAGGGCAUCCACGGCUCCCCUGCGACUAGGGUUGACCUGAGAUGCAUAAUGUAGUGGGGCCCAGCUCACCUGCCAUAUUCCUGUGCCCACGGCUUUGAGGCCGAAAUUACUAUUCUGAUCUUGUCAUGAACAUUGGGCACAUAAUGACCUCCCAAAAAAUUAUUUCACAAAAUGACCAUUUUCUCAAACGCAAAAGAUUGUGCUGUUUCUGUCCCACAUGGAAACGCCAGACACUGGCGUGUUUCUGCCUUGCCCCACGACCAGGCCUCGCUGGUGUCGCUCACCUAUGUGGCAGCCAGAAACACCGAACCCCGGCCCACUACGUUGCCAGUAACGCCAUGGGCCUUGGCGUUUCGGCGAUGGAUAAAUAAGUGGUUGCGGGCCGCGGUGGCGCUCUCACCCACCACUCACCACUCAUUCUCUUCCUCCUCAUUGGCCACCCCGAGCUCUAGCCUUUUCCUCAUUGUCUCUAUCACUUAACCCUUCUUCAAAUCCUUCCGAAUCGAUUGCAUUGGUAUGUGGAUCUGAUGUCUUUUCCGUUCCUUAAGGUAAUCUUCUUCGUCUCCCAAUUUUUAUUAGUUGGAUUUGUGUAUUUGGAUGGAUUUGUUCAUGUGGAUCCUAACCCUAAUUGUGAAAUAUUUUUACCUAAUAUGAUGUUUGUGGUGUUUACCACUGGCGGAGCUUUGGCAAGAGCAAGACCGAUUGGGCUGUGACCCUAUAUACUAAUAUGAUGUUUGUGGUGUUUACCACCGGCGGAGCUUUGGCAAGGCCGAUUAGGUCGUGGCCCACCCAGGUCUGAAGCAAAAACCAGAUUAUAUACUACUGUAGCCCACAACGCUGACGGACAGCAGUCACUGGAUCUCUCGCUAAAGCGUCCCGGGUAAUCGGGCCGGCCCAUUAGCACAUACUAAAGAACAGAAAAGUUAGGAACUAAAAUGGGGCCAUGCUGAAAUUCGAUCAAUGGUCGCUUGGGUAACGCAACGAGCUCCUAGCCACAACGCCAGUUUUGGGAUCGUGUUAUAGAGGAGGCGCGGACUACUUGAAGUAAAAGACCCAAGUCUUUAUUUCUUCAUUUUCCUUUUUCUUUUUUUAGUUUCUUUCUUUAUUCAUGGUUACGGAGGAGGCGCAGACAUUUUUUUUUGUUUUCUUUUCCUUUUUUUAACCUUUUUCUUCAAUUUUUUAUUCUUUUUUUGCAUCUUGUUUCUUAGUUUUUUCAUUUUAUUUUCAUUUUGUUUAUUUUUUUGUUUCCUUUGUUCUUUUGGUUAUAAUUGUUCAACAACAUUUUUCCAAUACAAAUUAAACAUUUUUGUAAUAUAUGGUCAACAUUUUUUCUAUACCCAUUUUUAACAUUUUUAAAAUGCUUGAUUAACAUUUUCCAAAUACAAGAUUUUUAUUGAAUACACGGUCAACAAUUUUUCUAUACAUUUUUAAAUGCUUGAUUAACAGUAUUCAAAUAAAAGAUUAACAUUCUUUUGAAUACAUGGUCAACAUUUUUUCUAUACAUAUUUAACAUUUUCCAAAUGCUUGAUUAUCAUUUUUCAAAAGCUUGUUCAACAUAUUUUUAAACGCUUGCUUAACAUUUUUAUAUACAUGAUCAAAUUGUUUCAUCAUUUUUAAUACAUGGUCAACAUUCAUUAUACAUAUUUAUAAUCUCCCAAAUGCUUCUUAAACAUUUUUCAAAUACUUGUUCAACAUUUUUUUAAAGGCUUGAUAAACAAUUUUAUACACAUAAUCAAAAAAUUACAUCAUUUUUUAGUACAUGAUCAACAAUUUUUCUAUUUACAUUCAACAUUUUUCUGAAUGAUUGAUUAGCAUUUUUAAAUACUUGUUCAAUAUUUUUCAAAUACUUGUUGAAUAUGUUUUCAAUUUUCAUUGUAGAGUUUAUUUUGUACUGUAUAUGUUUUGGAUAUUUAAACUAUAAACAAAUGUAAAAAAUAAAGGAAAAAAACAAAAAACAGGAAAAAAACAGAAAAAAAGAGGUUGUGCCCUGCGGUGCGUGUGGGGCCACUCAUCUCGCUCGCCCCUUGAGCGAGUCGGAAGGUGGACUUGCUGAAGGCGAGCCAUAGGGGCGCCCGGCAGCAGACUCGUACGUGUAGGAUUCGCGGCGAUGCAGGCUCAGGGUUCGACCCAACCGCCACAGACCACAGAGAGAAAACAAGCUCCAAGACUGUCAACAUGGUGAGCACUUGCAAUAUUGAUGGGAAUGGUAAUUUACCUAUUGUUCUUUCAGUAUUUCAAUCACCUUAGCCGUGGAUUGAUUCGGGUGCUAACAUUCACGUGUGUGCUGACGUCUCUUUGUUCACUUCUUAUCAUAUCACAAAGGAUUCUUCCGUCCUAAUGGGGAAGGAGUCAUGUGCUUUUGUUUGUGGCAUUGACAUGAUGGAUCCGAAUUUUGCUUUGGGAACGAUCGUGCAGCUUGUCCCUACUAUGAACAAGAAUCAGUAGCAGCUCCCUUCUAUCUCGAGAUGGGUUUAAGAUAGUUUUAGAGUCAAAUAAAGUAAUCAUGUCGAGAUUUGGACAAUUUAUAGGCAAAGGCUAUGAGUGCAAAGGCUUGUCCCGGUUUUCCCUUUCAAAUUUUGCAAUAAAUCAGUAAACCAAAUUUAUGCUAGUGUUAACGAUGAUGCAAGUGUUUGGCACUCUCGUUUAUGUCAUAUUAAUUUUGGUUUAAUGUCUCGGCUAUCCAGUAUGAGUUUAAUUCUGAAUUUCAUUGUUGCCAAAUAUUCUAAGUGCCAUAGUUGUGUGCAAUCGAAACAACCUAGAAAGCCUCACAUGACUGCCGAGGAGAGAAACUUGGCACCUCUAGAACUCAUAUGUUCUGAUCUAUGUGAGAUGAAUGGUGUGUUGACAAAAUGUGAAAAGAGAUAUUUCAUGACGUUGAUUGAUCAUGCGGCUUGAUUUUGCCAUGUUUAUCUGUUGCAAACUAAAGAUGAAGCUUUAGACUACUAUAAAAAUCUAUAAAGCUAAAGUUGGAAAUUGAGUAGAGAGAAAGAUCAUGCAUCUUAGGUCAGAUCGUGGUGGAGAUUAUUUUCUCAAAGUAUUUGAUGAAUUUCGUGAGGAACACAAUAUUAUUCACGAGAGGACGCAUCCCUAUUGACACCAAUCGAAUGGGGUUGCCGAGAGAAAAAACUGCACGUUGACUUACUUGGCGAAUGCCAUAUUCGUAAUUGUUGGUUUAUCUAAGGCAUGGUCGAGGAGGCUCUAUUGACUUCAUGUCAUGUCUUGAAUAAAGUUUCUAACAAGAACAAAGAGAAAACCCCUUAUGAAGAGUGGGUUGGGAGAAAACCAUCACUUUCUUAUUUGUACACUUGGGGAUGUUUGGCGAAAGUCAAUAUUCCUAUUCCUAAGAAACGCAAACUCGGACCAAAGGUUGUGUAAUGUGUCUUUCUAGGUUAUCCUCAGCGGAGCAUUGCUUAUAGAUUUUUAGUGGUUAAAUCUGAGGUACCUGAUAUGCAUGUUGAUACUAUAAUCGAAUCUCGUGAUGCAACAUGUUUUGAGAAUAUAUUUCCUAUGAAAGAUAUGCAUAGCAUUACUAGCUUUUCUCCUGAGAUAAUUCCUGAAUUUAGUACAUUUGAUGAGUUUUUCGAACAAUCACCUGAGGAAGUCCUUGAGAAGGAUAAUGAUGAAGCUCCUGCGAGGAGCAAGAGACAAAGGGUUGCAAAAUCCUUUGGUGAUGAUUUCAUUGUAUACCUUGUGGCGACACUCCCAAGUCUAUUGCAGAGGCAUAUGCAUCUCCGGAUGUAGAUGAAUGGAAAGAAGUUGUUCAUAACAAGAUGGACUCAAUCCUUUCUAAUGGAACUUAGGAGCUAACUGAAUGACACUAUGGUUGUAAACCUAUGGGCUAUAAGUGGGUGUACGUAAAGAAGCUAAGGCCUUAUGGUACUAUUGAUAAGUACAAGGCACAACUUGUGGCCAAGGGCUACACUCAGAAAGAAGACGAAGAUUACUUUGACACCUAUUCACCAGUUUUUAGAAUGAUCACCAUUCGUGUGCUACUUUCACUGGCUGCCUCUUAUGGUCUUAUCAUUCAUCAAAUGGAUGUAAAGACAACUUUCCUAAUGGAGAGUUGGAAGAGGAGAUAUAUAUGGAUCAGUCUGACGGGUUUGUGGUAAAGGGUGAAGAGAGAAAGGUGUGCAAGUGGUUAAAAUCUUUGUAUGGUCUAAAAUACACACCUAAGCAAUGACAUGAGAAGUUUAAAAGAACUCCGACUUUUGCGGGAUUUGUCAUUAACAAGGCUGAUAGGUCUUUUUACUAUCGCUAUGGUGGGGGCAAUAGUGUCAUAUUAUGUUGUAUGUGGAUGACAUACUGAUCUUUGGUACAAACUUGAUGCGAUCAAUUAAGUCAAGUCUUUUUUAUCAUAGAGUUUGACAUGAAAGAUCAGGGAGAAAUCGAUGUGAUUCUAAACAUCAAAUUUAUUAAGGAUAAGAGUGGGAUUACUCUAACACAAUCUCAUUAUUUUGAGAAGGUCUUGAGCCAGUUGGGCUUUAUGGAUAGCAAGUCUUCUCCAACACCUUAUGAUCCCAGCGUGACACUUAGAAAGAACAAGAAAGAAAUGAGAAAUCAAUUAAGAUACUCUCAAAUUGUCGGUUCACUCAUGUACUCAGUUAGCGCAACAAGGCCAGAUAUCUCUUUUAUUGUGAGCAAACUGAGUAUGUGCGACAUGCGAGUUAAUGGUCUGCCGAAAACCGAUCUGUUGCCUUGCGGGGCAAUAGCUUCCUUUUGCCGUUUCAUUUUUGGUGUGUGACGGAAAAGUUGGUUGUUAUAUAUUGCUUACCGGCCUCAGCCAAAGAAACAUCAGAAACACCUAGGGUUUUGCCUCAUCUCGCAACUUGCGCUGCCACCGUAUGUCUACUCUAUUCCGAACGCCGAUGUGCAUCGCGUGUGGGAGAGUAGGUCUGCGGAACCGUUCGUCCUUGCGAUCCUGCACCGGGAGAGGACGAAUUACGUUUUUGGGGAGCACUCUGCUCGACUGCUCAAGUUCGUCAUCACAGAUUGUCUUUCGUCCAAGUCGGGCGUUGCUAGUCAUCGUCGUCUCCAUCGCCGUCAACAACCGAACGCCGACAACAUCGUCAUCAACACCAUCGCUCCUACAGGAGCUAACGGACAAUAUGUCCAUUGUGACAUGUUCAUGUCUCUAUCUGUAAUCGAUGCUUCAUGCGCGAUGAUGUUGUGUAUAUUUUUCUGUUCACCUAUGUUAAAUUGUUGCAUGCUAUUCUUUGUGUUAUUCAUGAGUUAUUUUCUGAAAUUAAUCAUUAAUUUGCCUAAUAUUCCAACAAAAACUACUCCAUGGUUUAAAAGCCAUAAGAAUAUCUUCAAUCAAAGUAACACACAAUUGCGUACAUAUGACACCAAAUCUCAUCUCCCAUUCUUCCCACUCACCUCGACAAUGCCAUGAUUCUUGCGGUUUUAUGAUAUCUUAAUUUCAUCUUCAAUGGCUUUCAAAGCCGCAUCUAUCUAUUGCUAUUUUCUCCUUCAAUAUGCGCCAGCUUUUCGUGUGUUAGACGGUCAUCCGCCAUACGACACUUUCUAGGUCAUCGAGGCACAACUUGGAAAAUCAAGUAGACCACAUUCCCCACUUACAAAAUCAUACUCCCUCCGAUUGACACAAUCUCUGUACAAUGUAGUAUCUUUCUAUCAGCUCUACUAAACACCCACGAAUAGAAAAAUAUGAAAUCGUGCAAUGAGACUUGGACACGUCAGAAGAAUAUAUGAAAUCUUGCAAUCAGACAUGGACACGUGGAUCAAAAGAAGCUAGGGCUUUGAAAAAAGAAAACAGAAGCUAGGGCGCGUGGCCGGCCGACCACCGCAUAUCACCUGGCCUGCAUCUCGCACAGAAAGGCGCAUCCUACUUGUGGUACCCAAUUUCUAGCAUUUCUUCGCAUCGUGAGUAACGUCGGCAUUGGACUCCACCGUCACACUGCCCCACCCAAUCUCCUUCCUGAACCCGUCUUUACACUUGUGUUGGUCUCCUACUUGGCUUCGGCACCUUCAUCCGCAUGUGUUGGAUCGAAUCAGCAGCUCGUGAUAUGGGUGAGCAAUCGAGCUUCGCGAAGCUACUUUCUAUACGUGGCGGCCACGUACGAGCACCGCCGCGCGACGUGUCCCGUUGCUUCUGCCUAUAAAUGCCGCCUGCUGCAAUCUCCUUUCCAACACAAGCAGUCGAUCGAUUCAUCCAAGCCAGAGUUGAGCAAUACUAGCAGUGAGAUUUACAGUGAUUUCAGUUCGUGUUUGUUGGUGAGAGACAAGAGAAGAUGGCCUCCAACCAGAACCAGGCGAGCUACGCGGCCGGCGAGACCAAGGCCCGCACCGAGGUAACCCUCGUCUCCCGCAGUGCCUGCCACUUCAUCGUGCAUUCAUGCUCAGUGAUCUGAAAUGCUCUCUUGGUUUGGCUGCGCAGGAGAAGACCGGGCAGAUGGUGGGUGCAACCAAGGACAAGGCGGGGCAGGCCACGGAGGCCACCAAGCAGAAGGCCGGAGAGACAGCCGGGGCCACCAAGCAGAAGGCCGGCGAGGCCAAGGACAAGACGGCCCAGACGGCGCAGGCGGCCAAGGACCGCGCCGCCGAGAGCAAGGACCAGACCGGCAGCUUCCUCGGCGAGAAGACGGAGGCGGCCAAGCAGAAGGCCGCCGAGACGGCCGAGGCGGCCAAGCAGAAGGCGUCGGAGGCGGCGCAGUACGCGCAGGAGAGGUCCUCCGACGCCGCGCAGUACACCAAGGAGUCCGCCGUGGCCGGCAAGGACAAGACCGGCAGCGUGCUCCAGCAGGCCGGCGAGACGGUGGUGGGCGCCGUGGUGGGCGCCAAGGACGCCGUGGCGAACACGCUGGGCAUGGGUGGUGACAAUGCCACCAAGGACACCACCACCAGGAAUCACUAGACGCAUGCGUUCGCGCUUAAUUUGAUCUCCUUUAGUCGUGUUCGGCCGUUCGGUCGUUCACGAGCCUUCUACAGUACAUAUUUUGUAUGUUUCCACUCUUUCGUGAUUUCCGCUCAUUUAGUCCAACAGCCGCGCUAUACUAGCGCCGCACUACAAAUUAGUCGGUUUUAGCGCGUGCGCAACGCGACGGGUCGCUCCAGCGGGCCCGCAAAAAUCGCACGCGCGCUAAAACGAGUUGGGCGCGCUGUCGAAAACACUGCCCCGCGCGGUGUAUUUCGGGCGCCCGCUGCAGCGCGCGGCACACUCGAGCGCUUGCUCUCGCACUUCCUCUCCCGCUUCCAUCCCCAUCCGGCCGCGCCGCCGCCGCCGCCCGCGCCCCCCCCCUAUCAUUGUCAUUCGGCGUCCCGCAACGCACAAUGAACUUCAGGAUGAUCUGAUUGAAGAGUGGUGGGCAUGGUAUGGACGACAAAGAGCAUCAUGAUUUCUGCAUUAUUUGUUGUGUUUAUUGCAUUAUUUGUUAUACUGAACGAUAAACUAUUUGUUUGAGUUGUAAUGAUAACAAAACUGAACUAUUUAUUGUUGAUCUAUUUUGUUUGUUUGAUCAUUUUUGUUCUUCUUUUUUGAAAUGUAUAUGUGGUUUGUGCGGCGCGCGCUGUAUUUUUGCGCUCUGUUGGAGCGGCGCGCGCGCUGCAUUAUAGCGCGGCUGCUGGAGCCAGCGCUGGCGGCCGCGCUAAACCAGCCGAAGCGCGCGCGGCAAACAGAAUUUUUGCGCGCGGCGCUUACCGCGACUGUUGGAGAUGCUUUUAGUGUAAGUUUGCCUCCGAUUUGAUCUACUCGUGUCCGGUUCUGUAGUGAGUUAUAAUCCAUGUACUUCACUCGAAGGCGGCUAUAAAGUUGUACGUGAUCGAAUUUCUUUUGUCACGGUAAUCAUUGAAACUUCAAU
rnacentral:lncRNA from 1 species